rnacentral:lncRNA from 1 species
AAUGAUCACAUCUGAGUUAUCCACGUAGAAGUGAGAAUAAUUUGAUAAUCUGUACCUACGUUGGCUAUGUAGUUCUGUGGAAGUGGGAUGCGCUAAACCCACACUCCCAGCUUGAUGCUAAAUACUACUUCCUUUAGAUCUGUAUGCUCAAAAGCUGAAGAAAAUCCACUUUAAAAGAAAUCUCAUGGUGUAUAAUGAAAACCAACUACAAGUCUGUAAUCUGAAUCUGUAAAGUGGAUUUCUUUAUCUAUUCUAGGACCAAAAAGUCAAAUCUUUCUCAACAAAUUUGAAAAUAUUCUAAUCAUGGGGUGCUUAUAGCACUAACAAUCUUGAAACAACAAUUUUUAAUCAAGGUCUAAUGACCCAAACAUCAAUCUCAUGUUAAAUCAUCUCAAAAUCUAUCUUGGUAAAAUAAACAUUCGUAAAUCAUCUAAAUAUCUGAAAAUUUCAGCAAUAAGCAUGUAAACAGGUGCAAAAUCAUGUAAUUCAACUUCUAAAUCAAUGGGAACCUUAUAAACUUGUAAAUAACAACAAUGGGCAUAAAUCCCAACUUAAAUCUCAUGAAAAAUCAUGUAAAUUGUAGUAAAUUAAUAAUUAAAAUAGGUUUUGGGUACAAGAACGAAAGAAUUGUUCUUGUUCAAACCCCACAUACCUUGAUGAUGAUAAAAUUGUGAAAAGAUUGGACCUUUAAGCUUGAUUGAAAGAAUUCUUGUAGAGAACUUUGAAUUUGGAGCUUAACUUCUUGAUUGUUGAGAGGUGACACUUGGAUUCUAUUCUUGGGAAGAGGGGAAGGGUUUUGGAUCGUAACUUGACUGAUUUGGGGCUUAGGGAUUGUAAAUAAUGUGUUGAAAAGCCCUUAUAACGACCCGGAGUGAUUAGGGAUGGUUUAGGGGUGUGAAAUAACUUCAAUAAGUCAAAACGAAGUGUUUUUGGAACUUGGAAAUGACUUAGGCGGCGUCCAAUCAAACUUAGGCCAUUGACAAGGAUGCUAGUAAACAUGUUUACAAUAAUUAUUCGGUGUUUGCUUGCUAUAUUUGUGUUAUAUUAUAUUCUCAUUGUACUGCUAUUACGUAUUGUCUUACAAGUAUAAAUAGACAGUUUUGGGGAUUUGAAGAAUCGUCGGGUUAUCGAGGAAAGGGCUGUUCAUCCUUUUUUCUUUACUUAUUUUAAUUCAUUGUGUUGUAAUAACUUUUGUAAAUCCCGAUAUAAUAAAUUGAGGACUGCUUGGAUGGGGUUUUAUGUGGUACAUAAAUUACCUAGGCAAACAAACUUAGGAUUCAUUAAUUAAUUGGUUGUUUAGGCAAAUCUAAUUUUGGACUUAUUUCAAUCACCUAGAAAUCUGCUUGUAGGAGUUUAUUUAACUUUUGCCUGGUCAAAUUACAUUUGAAUAUGUCAACUUAGCUUGCAACAUAUUUAUUUACCUUGGCAUGUUUACAAAGUUUUGACAUAUUACAAGUAACAUUUAAGCAUUUUUAAUCACAUUUUCACCAAUUAUAUGGUAAUUUUCAGCAUUCAAAUAACAUUUUUUUCAGCACAUUAACUAAUUUUUCUACUUUGUUUAUGCAAAUAUUUUUAAAACACAACAUUAAUUGUUAAUAUUUUGUCAAAAAUGAUGCUUAGUUUUCUUUUUUAACUUGAAUUGGACAAUGUCUUUCUUAAAUUAUUACUCACAUGAAUACUAUAUCCUAGCCUAUAGUUGGUAAAAAAGCAAAAAAGAAUUAAGAGGUCUAAUUCCGAUGUUUUAAUAUAAGUUAGUGAAAAAGUAAAAAGGAAUUAAGAGGUCUAAUUUUUAUGUUUUAACUUAACCCGUUGCAUUCUCGAAAGUAUCACUCACCAACCUUUUUUUUAAAAUAAAGAAUGUGUAUAUCUAUACCAAUGUAGAUAUUUUUGUCUUUAUAUUUCAAAAGUCAAUUUUUCACUUGGCUUUAAAAAUUAUAUUAUUAUUAUUUUUUACUUAAGACCGAUCUCCAAUCAAAAUUGUUGCUAAGGUAAAAAGGCGUGAUUGACGAUAUCGUGAUAUCUUUCCUAUAAAAGCGACAAAUAUUUUUCUCGAAAAACUUUAUUCAAUUUGAAAAUGAUUUACUUUAUUAACUCAAGUAAUAUAAUGUUUUAGGAUAGUUUAUGAUUCUUAAUAUAAAUAUUUUGUUAUAAAUUGUUUUCCUUCUUUCUCCUCUCUUCUGUACUUCACAUUAUUUGUUAUCCACUUUAUCACCACCCAGUUAAUAAUUAGAAACGAUAAAAUAACAUAUGUUUGCUUAUUUAUUACUUUAUCACUUAGUUAUCAUUUAAGUUAAUAAAACAUGAGACCUUUUGAUCACGUAGAAUCCCCACGUAAAAUACGAAUUUGGCCAAAAACCACCUUUGGACCUCGAAAGGUGCCUAGCACCUUCUUUUCAAGGUAAUUUGAACCAUUACCCGAAUUUCUGGUGGACUAAGAUAAAACAACAAAAUAGGUUCGUAGCAGCCUAGACUGGUGCCUAACGCACCUUAAUUCGUUAGGUGACGACUCUUCACACUCUACCUUUAAACAAUUCCAAAAAAGAGGGGUCAUGUCGAAACCCGCUUUUCGAGAGGAAAAUGAAGCAUGACAGAAUGGCGACUCCGCUGGGGAUCUUAGGUUCUAACCAUUACGAGUUUGUGUUUUAUGUGGGAUUCUUUCACUUUGUUUUUUUUUUUUUGCAUAAUUUCUUUUUCUCGUUCCCUUUUGACAUUGUUACAUGUUAAUCCCCCCUCCUUUCCCUUUUAUGUGUUAUUUAUGUUUACCUCGUCUAUUCUUUCUCCACUUUUUCUUUUAGUGGUUAUAUGUUUUGACAUGUUUUUAUUGCUAAAGCAUGCUAUUGUAUUUUGCUAUGUGCUAUGUGUUACUGUUUUAUAUAACUGGCAUUUUGCUCAUACUUUCCUCCACUUGGAAACCUCUUUUGUUUUCUUUUAACGAACGGUUGCGUGGUAGCAUGGACGUUCUUUCUUAAAACACCUUUCAGGAAAUGCCUUGUGGAUCGAUCGAUCAGCGGUGCGUCGACAGUCACAAGCUCUCCCACUCUCGAGUUUCCCACUCGAGGGAACCAUGUCAUAAACCCAAUCUUGUCCGUUAGGCCUUGGCUACAUGUUUCUUUUACUAAGGAAUAUGCAUCCCAUUCAACGUAGGAUUCCUUGGCAUCCUUGAUGCGUUGAAUGUUAGUCUCAUUCAAAGUCCAAAGAGGUUCACGGCCUCAAAGGACUCACAAUUAUUUGCUGUGUGUUGCAUUUCUAUGUAUAUAUUAACAUCUUGCCUAUCAUGUUGUUUCCGUUCUUGCCUUAGUCACUCCUUACAUUUAGUGUUCCUCACUUUAGACCUCGUUACUCUUAAAUUUCUUGUCAUGUUAGGUCCCUAGGAUACACUCUUAGGGCCUAUUCAAAACUUUCCUUUAAUCUAUCCUCCUGACUCAUCCAUCCGUUAGUAUGUUAAUUCCCCCUAGGUCCAACUCUUGCUUUGAUAAAGAGUUUCAGUCUCAUUCGCAAUCUUUAGUUCAACUUACCAUUUUAGGAUAUCCUCUUCCUAAUGCUUCUAACGUUUACAUACUAUUGUCCUACCACGAUUCUCGGACAUUAAUAUUGUUAUAUUCAUGGCGUACUCUAGAUUUCACAGCCUCUUAGUUACAUAAAGCUCUCACAACUUCUAUUCACUCUAAAUGAGCAUAACUCACUAUUUUCAAAUAAGUAGAAUAUUCAUUCUAGACUCCCAUGCGUACUCUUUGUUUCUAAUCAUUAGUCGUUUCUUCUGAGGUUGACUAAAGUUUAACAUAACAAAUGGCUAGUCAAGCAAUGUUUAUCGAUCUUGUCAAUAGCGAUAAUGAGCAUGAGAAUUUGGGAUUGUGUCAAAACAAAGUUAUUUUGAUCAUCAAAAGAAUAGAAGGGAAAAUUGAGAUAAUUAGGGGAAUAAUGAUUGAUCUUCGAGGUUCAGCUAAUAGGUGGUGCCCUAACGCACCUUAAUUUGUUAGGUGGCAACUCUUCACACUCUACCUUUAAGAAAUCCCAAAAAAGAGUGGUCACGUCGAAUCCCGCUUUCCGUGAGGAAAAUGGGGUGCGAAAAUAGGCUAUAACCUUACCUCUCUGCAUCAAAACACAAUCCAAAUCAAUUCUAGAAGCAUCACAAUCGACAACAAACCCAUCUAUACCAUCAGGUAAUGCUAAAAUUAGGCUGAAGUGAGUCAAGUCUUCAACUCAUGGAAACUCUUUUCACAAGAGUCAGACCACUAAAACUUAACUUUAUUUUGAGUUAAUCUAGACAUAGGGGACAUAGUAGAAGAAAAACCCUUAUCAAAACGUCUGUAAUAGCCAGCUGAAACAAAGAAACUUCUCAUGUAUGAUAGAGAAAUAGGUCUAGGCCAGUUUCUUACUGCUUCUAUAUUUUGGGGAUCAACUCUAAUCUCCUCACUGGAAAUAAUAUGACUGAGGAAAGCUAUUAAUCUUAUCCAAAAUUCACAUUUAAUAAACUUGACAAACAACUGAUGAUCUCUAAGAGUUUGCAACACAAUUCUAAGGUGAUCUGCAUGAUCAUUCUCACUACGAGAAUAGACAAGAAUAUCAUCUAUAAAGACUAUGACAAAAAUGUCCAAAUACUGUUUGAACACUCUGUUCAUCAAGUCCAUGAAGGUUACGGGGGCAUUUACUAGUCCGAAGGACAUGACUAGAAACUCAAAAUGACCAUAACUGGUUCUGAAAGCUUUCUUUAGAAUAUCACAUUCCCUUACUCUGUGUUAAUGAUAGCCGGAUCUAAGGUCUAUCUUUGAAAAGUAACUUGCACCUUGGAAUUGGUCGAAUAAGUCAUCAAUUCUAGGAAGAGGAUAUUUGUUUUUGACUGUGACUUUAUUCAGUUGAUGAUAGUCAAUGCAUAUUUGCAAAGAACCAUAUUUAUUUUUCAUGAAUAGGACAGGAGCGCCGCAUGGAGAAACAUUGACCUUAUGAAACCUUUAUUUAAGAGGUCUUUAAGCUGUUUUUUUAACUCUUUAAGUUCGGUUGGAGCCAUAUGAUAUGGAGAAAUAGAGAUAGGCUGAGCAUCUGGGAGAAGCUCAAUACCGAAUUUUAUUUACCUAUCAGGAGGUACCCCUGGAAAAUCUUAGGGAAAGACAUCAGGAAACUCAUUGACUACACGAACUGAUUGAACUGUUGGGGUUUCAGACUUAGUCUCUUUGACUCGAACUAGAUGAUAGAUGCACCCUUUUGAGAUCAACUUUCUGUCUUUAAGAUAGGAUAUGAAAUGACUCUUGGGAGACACUGAAUUACUUUUCCACUCAAAUAUUGGAUCAUCUAGAAACUGAAACUUCACCACUCGGGUGCGACAAUCUAUGGUUCACAACAAGAAUAGAGCCAAUCCAUACCAAAAAUAAGGUCAAAUUUGACCAUAUCUAACUCUAUUAAAUCUUCUAACAUAAUUUUAUAAAGGAAAGUGAUAGAACACUUUCUAUAGAUCUGUUUGGAAACAACUGACUCACCCACUGGGGUAGAAACUAAGAAAGGCUCAGGGAUCUUUUCAGGAACAAUUUUAAAAUUUAAUGCAACUAAUGGGGUCACAUAAGAGAAAUUUGACCUAGGGUAUAAAACACAUAUAUAUCAAGAUGAAAGACACGAAGCAUACCAGUAACAACAUGUGGUGAAUCUAGCUGCUCCUGAUGGGAUGGUAAAGCAUAAAACCAAUUCUGGCGCUGACCGCUACUGGUAUUAGAUGAUGCUCUUUGAGGAGGGACUGGACGACCUAAAGAAGCUGGUGCACUAGUAGCCUGAGUCUGGGGAUGAACAUCCCUGUUUCCCUGCCUAGCAUGAGGACACACUUUGAUUUUUGCCUCAACUUAUCACAACCAUAACAACCUUUCUGUCCCAACAAGCACUCACCAGGAUAAUUCUUACCACACUUAGCAUAUGGGGGAUAACUGGAUAUUCCACUAACGCUAUUCUGAGAUCUGGACAUAAAAGUUUUACCCCACUACUUCUGUCUAGCUUUAGGAGCAGGAGCGCUAGCUGAAGAUGACGCUGACAUAGAUGAACGAUUCUAAAACUGUGAACGAUUUUCCCCUCCAUACUUUGUCUAGCCAUAUGCAAAUUUUUUGAUUCUAGCCUUCUUAUUUUCUCUCUCUCUCCCCUUCAACUUUUCUGCUUUAAUCUGCUGGGCAUGAAUUAUCAACCUAGCAAGAUCCAUGUCCCCAAUUAUCAUGGCAGUCCUACAUUUCCUGACUACUAAACCAGAUACUCUAGUAACAAACUUACUCAUACUUGCCCUAGGGUUAGCCAUCGUAUCAGUGGCAUACUUAGACAACUGGUUGAACUUAAGGUUGUACUCCUUUACUAUCAUCGAGCCCUACCUCAAGUUCAUAAACUCAUCUAUCUUAGCUUCUCCCAUUUCACGCAAAAAGAACCUAUCUAAAAAUUCAUCCUGAAAUACCUGCCAACUCAUAGGAGUUGCAUUUUCACCUCUACCAUUCUUCCACAUAACCACCCAAUCAUACGCUACAUCCUUCAAUCUAUAUGAUGUGAACUCUACAAUUUCCUUUUUAGAAACAUACAUAAUCUGGGUGAUCUUCUUUACCUCAUCUAAAUAAAGUUGUGGGUCCUCACCUAUUUUUGACCCAAACAACUUUGGCAGAUUAUUCUCAUGAAGUCACGAAUUCUGGCUGUUGCUAACUCCCCAUUCUGCUGAAGUGGGACUGCCGCCUAAUGGUUGCCCUAAACAUUGGCAGUCACAGCCUGGGCCAAUGCUUGAAAAGCAUCUCGAAAUUCAGCAUGAGAUAUAUUCUCAUUUAGAGGGUCAGCCGGCUGGGGUGGCUGGUUAUCAUUUUUUGGGGUGUUAGCUUGACGAUGAAGCAUAUUCAACUAUCACGUAAGAGCAUGAGUUAAAAGCAGACUGAGAUACUGUAAGUGUUGAUCAUAAAAGAAAUAGAUGAUUUCCUAAGAACGUCUCGUCGCCUCUUGCUCAUAAAUGUGGCGCACUUCACACCUAUGAUCAAGACUCUAAGUAACACAGCUUGUCUGACUCGCUAGGACUCUCUAAACCUUAGGCUCUGAUAUCAAGUUUGUAAUACCUCAAAAAUGGGUCCCAAGAUGUCACACGAUGCUCAAGACUACGAGUAGCCUUAAGUUAACCAUGUCUGCCUUCCACUGGGUCUGAAUCUCAUAAUAAGGAAAUAUAGAUAUAAAAUUAAAACUAAAAUAUGAAAAACUGUCUGAGCUAACCGAGUAUGUCUAGAUAUAAUCUCUGAAAAUACUACACUCAAGAUUCUGAUAAAUCAAUACUAAAAAUCUAAAUCAUAUCUAGCAGUCUAACAAGCCUCUACUACUAAUAACUAGAGAGUCGCUGGGACAAGCCCCUAGCUGACUCGAACUGUCUGAAAAUACUGAAUUAUCUAUACUAAUAAACUUAAAAUUGAAAGACUAAGUCCUCAAACUAUGAGGACUCACCAACUGUCGGGAUGUAGAUUGUAACGCCCCAAAAAUGGGUCCUGAGACGUCACACGGUGGAUAGGGCCAAAAGCGAUCCCAAGCUAACCCUUCUACUAGCAUAACUUAUAAGCAACUGAAUAAAAUACAUAAAUCUGAACAAAAUCAGUGGAAACAUAAAUCUUCUCUGAACUUGAUCAAUACAAAUCUAUACUAAAAUGAUUCAUCUCUGAUUUUACAAAACAAACUGGAGUUCAAUUACAUCAACUUCUACUGACUGUCUAUGAAGCCUCUACUAGUAUUGACUAUAGGUAGCCGGGUCAUGACUCCCAACUAUCCCAACUCAAUACGACUGAAUAAAGAAAAAAUAAAAUAUUUCUCAAACUGUAUAACUGACUCGAGCCCUUGAAUCAAAAGGACUCAUCACCUGCUAACUGAAAGCUGCAAACUGGCUGAAUAUGGUAUGUGUGCUAUAACUUGUACCUGCAUUAUGAGACAAUGUAGCACAUAGACAUAUAUGUGGAUCAGUACUUUGAGGAUGUACUGAUUAUAUGGGGGGUGCAAUGCAUAAAUAAAACAUUAUCUCAUCAUCAUAAUUUAUAAAACAAUGCAUGCUAAAUGUAAAUGACUCACAUAAGCUGGAAUAUCUGCAAUACUGAAAUAUAAUAAUCAUGAGAAGCAAAUCAUAUUUUUUAAAUCUAGUUAGUCAUAACAUUCAGUUCUAAAAGUUGUACUUAUACUUUUUAUUUAAAUCAUGAUGUCUAAGUGUGUAACACCCCAAUUUUCUGAACCGGAAUGCUACACGAUGCUCAUGACCCCAAAGGACCACAAGUUAACCCAUGACUGAUAUCUGUACCUGUAACUUCAUAAUAUUAAUAUAAAAUGUGGAAACAUGAACAAAGAGGGCAUAAGGUUCAAUCUUGAAUAAUAAGAUAUCUGAAAUAAGGUGGUAUCACAAUAGCAAAACAAAACUGAAAAUACUAGUCUAAAUCUGAAAACUCUAUAAUCAUCUGAAAGCCUCUAAACUGUCUGAAUAAGGAGUUGAAGGAACAUGUCUCCAACUAACUCCCUAAACUGAAAAUAAAUUGAAAUAUUGGAAUAAUAAAUGUAACGAUUAUGUCCUUGAAAGAUAAGGACUCACUGCUUACUGAACUACUACUGCUGAUCUAGAAUCUGCACCUAAGAACCUAUGGUGUAACAUAAAAAGAAAGCACCAUAGUGCAAAUGCGUCAGUACAACUAAAGUACUAAGUAUACGUGGGGGUAGGCUAAAUGAAUGGGGUUUAUAUGCAUGAACAUGCUGACUAAUAUGAACCUAAGAAUACAUACAUACAUACAUACAUAACUUCUACAGAACUCGUGGAGAUACUGACUACUUGAGUUUGAACUUUGACAACAUGAGUUUCGUAAUACUGAGAUACUGAAUGACUGAUGAUAUAGAUGACUGUAUCUAACAGUCCUAAUUUAGGGGAAAACUAUCUGAGUUCCAAACUAUAUUUGAACAUCUAAGUCUGAGAUCAGUCCUAGCUGACGAGUGAUCUCUGAAACUGAUAGUGAGAAUACUCGAUUGAAUCUGAGAUUGAGAUCAAGCCUGUCUGUCGAGUGACCUCUAGAUAUAAUAAUAAGCAUUUGAAUAUGGGACCAAGCCUAUCUGACGGGAAGGUCCAGGAAUCAUUGGAACUAUCUGAGUUCCUUACUGAGAUUGAUGACUGUAUCUGACAGUCCUGAUUUCUAAUUUCUACUCUAAAGACUGAUACUAAAAUUGUAACUGUACUGUGACUAUGGGAGGUAGUAACCUAACUGACAUGCCCCGCUACUGUACUAGUUGGGUCCAAUCUUUGCCCUGAUUGGAAGGGUGUUAAUACCAUGCCACGGGUAGAGACCUCUGCUAUGGUCAAGCCUCUCUAACAGGUGACCCUGAAUAGGAAAUCAAGCCUAAGGCAAUAUAAUAGUCAAGUUUAGCCUUAAUCUGACGGGUGACUCCUAUCCUUUGCUGGCUAUGAAGUUCUAGAGUACAGGGAUUGCUGCUAACGGUUCUACCUCUCUAAUGGGGAAACCUCCAUCCCCAUACUCGCUCGGUGCUAGUUCUAACUCCCAACUGAAAGACACUGAACAAAUUAACUGAGCUGAGCUGACUAACUGAACUGAAUUGAUUUUGAGUUUACUGAGUUCCUUGGACUGAUGGAACCCUACUAACAUCUGAUAUCUAACUAAGUCAUGAGAUUGCAGAUCUUACUGAGUACUGAGUUUUCAUGAGAUUUCUUAGUCUUUCCUGAGUCACAUGACUAACUGCAAUCUAUGGAACAUAGCUUGACUAAGGAUGUCUUGAAACAUGACACUAGCUCUAGGCACACAACUAUAGUUUUCGGGUACAAGUAACCCCAGGACUCGAUGGAAGGAAACUGACACACAUGAGUGACUUGAUCAUAAAAGUAGAGUCCAUAAUUCACAAUAUCAUAAGUAAGGAUUUCAUAAUAAGAAUGAUUCUCAACAAACUAUCACAUGAUCGGAAAUGCACACAACAUGUAUAUACUUGCACGACUUCAAUAUCAUGGUCAUUCCAUAUCACAACAAUAUCAUGAGCAUCUCAUACAAUAUCUUCAAUUCAAGAAAAUAGCAUGGGGAUCACAUUGAACAUAAACUUAGAACAUGGAACAGUCAUUUAGGGCUUAUUAUGUCAUAAAAAGCAUGAUUUCUAUUCCCUUAGGUAUUUUUACAAAAACCUUACAUGCACAUCUUAGGCAUAGAUGGAUUCAUCAAGAUUUCAAACAUUCAACCACCAAUUUCAUAUGUUUAUACGUUAAAUACCACCAUAUCCUUACAUAAAACAUACAAAGAUCCCAUCUUAGGCAUCAUCAAACUCCAACCACAUGAACAUCAACCACCAACAACAUAAACAUCAUAAUACAUAAUUUAGAAGAUGGUUCUUGNNNNNNNNNNNNNNNNNNNNNNNNNNNNNNNNNNNNNNNNNNNNNNNNNNNNNNNNNNNNNNNNNNNNNNNNNNNNNNNNNNNNNNNNNNNNNNNNNNNNNNNNNNNNNNNNNNNNNNNNNNNNNNNNNNNNNNNNNNNNNNNNNNNNNNNNNNNNNNNNNNNNNNNNNNNNNNNNNNGAGGAAUUUCCUUGAAAUCGGAUCUUCAAGCUUAGUUACGUAACCCUAGUUGUUUUUCUCUUUUAUUCUCUUGGAUGAUGAUGUUUGAGAUGAUAAUAGGGUUGUAAUAUGUUUAGAAGCUAUAUAUUUUGUAGGGUUAAGUUUAGGGACAUGUAAGGAGUGUUAAAAGACUUAAUUACCCUUAAAAUAACUCAAAACAAAGUGUUUUUGGCACCUGGAUUUGAAUUAGGCGGCGCCCAAGUGAUUGCCUAAGCUAGGUGUGGCGGCGCCUAACCAAUCGCCUAUGUUUGGUUAGGCGGCGCCUAACCAAUCGCCUAUCCUUACUGUCUCUCACGAAAAUGGGCAUAGCUUUUUGCUCGGGUAUUGGAUUAAGGCAAAAUUGGUAUCGUUGGAAAGCUAAUUCAUUUCUCUACAAUUUAGGGGGUCUAAAUCAGCCAAAAUACCACAUUAACAUCGAGUUAUACUCGUUCAAUAAUGACCCUUGCAAAAUCAAACACUAAAACUUGAUGGAUUCAAAAACUCUUAGCUUGUAUUACCUUAAGUGACUCAUAUAAACAUGCUUAAUGCAUCAUAAGUUAUCCUAUCACUAGGAUAUUUAUUGUAAGUCAUGUACUCAAAUAUGAAUCACAGGAUAGGAGAUUUCAUACGUAGGAAUACUUAUUCACUUCCUAUCUUAGAAACAUGUGGGGUAUUACAAUAUUUCCCCCUUGGGAACAUUCAUCCUCGAAUGAGAAUUAACUGAGGUGGGAGAGAUGAUAAGAUGAAGUACAUACAAGACAUACACUACUGAAACAUGGAUUCAUGACUGACAUGACUAAAAGCGGAGCACAAUAUACUGAACAUGCAUAUCUGAUGCAUGGGAAGCUGAUUAAUGAAUAUAAGACUGAGGACUCUAAUAAAGUGAGUUUUCUCAAAAUGAGAAUGCAUUUCUGAUGCACAACUGAAAUACUGAAUCCAUGCAUAUAUGAUGCAUGAUUACAUGACUGACAUAAUAUGUAAAUGUAUUAGUGAAGUUACUGAUAAAUAGUACUUUCUCUACUGAACAGGUAUAUCUAAUGCCUGAAUAUCUGACUGGGCUGACUCUUGAAAUCUUGACUGAUUAUGCCAUGGCACUUGAUAACUAAUUUAUAACGAGAACAUGAAAGCAUCCAGAAAUGGGUGGGGUAUCUCCCCCUUGGGACACUAUGUCCCUCUAGGAAUGUUUACCUUGCUGAGAUACUGGGGUGAUGCACAGGGCAUCUACGAACUAGAUCAUAACUAAACAUUGGAGAGCUGAGACUAAUGCAUGAUGCAUGAACUGAACUAGACCUGCUAUUGUUACUGACUAAUUCAUGUGGAAACAUAAGCUCAAAUGAGUGCAAGAUAUCUAACAAUACAUACAAUAAUCAUGAAAACUUGUAACGUACCCGAAUCUAGGUUGGGGAAACUUUCUGGAUCAUGGUGAGUUUGGAGUGAAUAGAGUCGAUUCUAACGCUGACCACUAUAGGUACUGGGAUUUUUGGCCCGCUCAUGUGAAUCUCUACCUUUCUGAGCUAACACUCUACACUCCCGCACUCUGUGGCCUGACUUACCGCACCCAAAACAUACCUGACUAUUAGCUCUACAUACACCUAGAUGAUUCUUGCCACACUCUCUACAAAGCGGAUAAGUGCGCUCACUUCUAACAUUACUCUGGGCUUUGGAGCCUGGAGCCCCACCAUGACUAACAUAUCCAAAGUUAGGUGUGGGCACACUAGCUGAAGAUGGAACAGGGGCUGAAUUUUUCUGACUAUGGUGAGAACAAUUACCACCCUGUGACCCAGCCAGAGAAAAGCUGUAACUACCUGCUCUGAAUCUCUUAUUAGAUCUCUCCCUCUCCUUAGACUUAUCUGCGUAUAUCUACUGAGAAUACAUCAUUAAUCUAGCAAGAUCUAUCUCCUUAUUGAGCAUAGCUGUUCUACCCUCUUUCAAUACCAACCCGGACACACCAGUCACAAACUUACUCAUACUCACUCUAGGGUCAGCUAUCAAGUUAGGAGCAUACUUAGAUUACUGGUUGAACUUAAGACAAUACUCCUUUACUGUCAUGGAGCCUUGUCUCAGGUUCAUAAACUUUUCUACCUUAGCUUCUCUUAUCUCUAAUGGGAAAAACUUAUCUAAGAAGGCAUCUUGAAAUAUCUUCCAAGUCAUGGGAGUUACAUCUUCCCCUCUACUCUUCUUCCACAACACUACCCAAUCAUGAGCAAUAUCUUUCAGCCUAUAGGACGCUAAUUCCACACCCCUCUCCUCUGACACAUGCAUGAUUUGGGUGAUCUUCUUUACCUCUUCUAGAUACAGCUGUGGGUCCUCACCAGUUACUGACCCAAAGAAUUUUGGAGGGUUCAUUAUCAUAAAAUUUCUGAUUCUGGCUGCAGCUAAAUCCUCAUCUUGCUGGGGUGGGGCUGCAGUUUGUCGGUUUCCCUGAACAUUAGUGGUUACAGCCUAGGUUAGCGCCUGAAAAGCUGCCCGAAAUUCUACAUGUGACACAUUCUCAUUCAAAGGAUCUGCGGGCUGCGGAGCUGACUGAUUCCCUCUUCUCUUCUUAGGAGGCAUGUUCUGCAAACGGAAGAGGAACAAGGAUUAAACUGAGAUUUCAACUUGAGCUUUUGCUCACUAGCAUGAUAUGAGUACUGAAAGAAGGGAAACUAUUCCUAAAACAUCUUAUAGCCUCCUAUACAUAAAUGUGGCGCGCAAUACACCCAUGUACAAUACUCUACUAGAUGCGGCUUUCAGACUUCCUAGGACUCUAUUGAACCUUAGUCUCUGAUACCAAGUUUGUAACACCUCAAUUUUCUGAACCGAAAUGCUACACGGUGCUCACGACCCCGAAGGACCACAAGAUAACCCAUGACUGAUAUUUGUACCUAUAACUGCAUAAUAUUCAUAUAAAAUGCGGAAACAUAAACACAGAGGGCGUAAGGUUCAAUCUUGAAUAAUAAGAUAUCUAAAAUAAGGUGGUAUCACAGUACCAAAACAAAACUAAAAAUACUAAAGUCUAAAUCUGAAAACUCUAUAAUCAUCUGAAAGCCUCUAAACUGUUUGAAUAAAGAGUUGAAGGAAGAUGUCUCCAACUAACUCCCUAAACUGAAAAUAAACUGAAAUAUUGGAAUAAUAAAUGUAACGAUCAUAUCCUUGAAAGAUAAGGACUCACUGCUUACUGAACUGCUACUGCUGAUCUAGAAUCUGCACCUAAGAACCUAUGGUGUAACAUAAAAACAAAAGCACCAUAGCACAAAUGCGUCAGUACAACUAAAGUACUGAGUAUACGUGGCGGUAGGCUAAAUGCAUGGGGUUUAUAUGCAUGAACAUUCUGACUAAUAUGAACGUGAGAAUACAUACAUACAUACAUACAUACGCAACUGCUACAGAACUCGUAGAGAUACUGACUACUUGAGUUUGAACUUUGACAACAUGAGUUUUGUGAUACUGAGAUACUGAAUGACUGAUGAUAUGCAUGACUGUAUCUAACAGUCCUAAUUUAGGGGAAAACUAUCUGAGUUCCAAACUAUAUCUGAACAUCUAAGUCUGACAUCAGUCCUAGCUGACGAGUGAUCUCUGAAACUGAUAGUGAGAAUACUCAACUGAAUCUGAGAUUGAGAUCAAGCCUUUCUACCGGGUGACCUCUAAAUAUAAUAAUAAGCAUCUGAAUAUGGGACCAAGCCUAUCUGACGGGAUGGUCCAGGAAUCAUUGGAACUAUCUGAGUUCCUUACUGAGAUUGAUGACUGUAUUUGACAGUCCUGAUUUCUAAUUUCUACUCUGAAGACUGAUACUAAAAUUGUAACUGUACUGUGACUGUGGGAGGUAGUAACCUAACCGACAUGCCCCGUUACUGUACUGGUGGGGUCCAAUCUUUGCCCUGAUUGGAAGGGUAUCAAUACCAUGCCAUGGGUAGAGACUUCUGCUAUGGUCAAGCCUCUCUAACGGGUGACCCUGAAUAGGAAAUCAAGCCUAAGGUAAUAUAAUAGUCAAGUUUAGCCUUAAUCUGAUGAGUGACUCCUGUCCUGCGCUGGCUAUGUAGUUCUGGAGUACAGGGAUUGCUGCUAAUGGUUCUACCUCUCUAAUGAGGAAACCGCCAUCCCCAUACUUUCUCAGUGCUAGUUCCAACUCCCAAUUGAAAGACACCAAACAGAUUAACUGAGCUGAGCUGACAAACUAAACUGAAUUGAUUCUGAGUUUACUGAGUUCCUUGGACUAACGAAACACUACUAACAUCUGAUAUCUAACUAAGUCAUGAGAUUCCAAAUCUUACUGAGUACUGAAUUUUCAUGAGAUUUCUGAGUUUUUCCUGAGUCACAUGACUAACUGCAAUCUAUGGAACAUAGCUUGAAACAUGACACUAACUCUAGGCACACAACUAUAGUUUUCGGGUACAAGUACCCUUAGGACUCGAUGAAAGGAAACUGACACACAUGACUGACUUGAUUACAAAAGUAGAGUCAAUAAUUCACAAUAUCAUAAGUAAGGAUUUCAUAAUAAGAAUGAUUCUCAACAAACUAUCACAUGAUCGGAAAUGCACACAACAUGUAUAUACUUGCACGGCUUCAAUAUCAUGGUCAUUCCAUAUCACAAAAAAAUCAUGAGCAUCUCAUACAACAUCUUCAAUUCAAGAAAAUAGUAUGGGGAUCACAUUGAACAUAAACUUAGAACAUGGAAUAGUCAUUUAGGGCUUAUUAUGUCAUAAAAGCAUGAUUUCUAUUCCCUUAAGUGCACAUCUUAGGCAUAGGUGGAUUCAUCAAUAUUUCAAAUAUUCAAUCACCAAUUUCAUAUGUUUAUACAUUAAAUACCACCAUAUCCUCACAUAAAACAUACAAAGAUCCCAUCUUAGGCAUCAUCAAACUCCAACCACAUGAACAUCAACCACCAACAACAUAAACAUCAUAAUACAUAAUUUAGAAGAUGGUUCUUGAUCUUCAUGGACUAAAGGAGUCCAUGAAUCAACUCAAGCAUACCUUAGAAGGAAUAUUCUUGAUGAUUGACAGAGGAAUUUCCUUAAAAUUGGAUCUUCAAGCUUAGUUAUGUAACCCCAGUUGUUUUUCUCUUUUAGUGCUCUUGGAUGAUGAGAUUUGAGAUGAUAAUAGGGUUGUAAUAUGUUUAGAAGCUAUAUAUUUCGUAGGGUUAAGUUUAGGGACGUGUAAGGAGUGUUAAAAGACUUAAUGACCUUUAAAAUAACUCAAAAUGAAGUGUUUUUGGCACCUGGAACUGACUUAGGCAGCGCCCAAGUGAUUGCCUAAGCUAGGUUGGGCGGCGCCUAACCAAUCGCCUAUCCUUACUGUCUCUAACAAAAAUGGGCAUAACUUUUAGCUCGGGUAUUGGAUUAAGGCAAAAUUGGUAUCGUUGGAAAGCUAAUUCGAUUCUCUACAAUUUGGUGGGUCUAAAUCAGACAAAAUACCACAUUAACAUCGAGUUAUACUCGUUCAAAGAUGACCCUUGGAAAAUCAAACACUAAAACUUGAUGGAUUCAAAAACUCUUAGCUUGUAUUACCUUAAGUGACUCAUAUGAACAUGCUUAAUGUAUCAUAAGUUAUCCUAUCACUAGGAUAUUCAUUGUAAGUCAUGUACUCAAAUAUGAAUCACAGGAUAGGAUAUUUCAUACGUAGGAAUACGUAUUCACUUCCUAGCUUAGAAACAUGCGGGGUAUUACAAAGUGUAGGAAGGACUCACUCUUAAAUCUAAAAUCUGAAAUCUAAUAUCUUUCUGUAAAGCGUAAUCUGAUUAAAACCUGUGAGCCUUCACACUUAGUUUUAUAAAAGCUUUUAUAUCAUUCUUUUCUUUUAGAACUUUAAGACUGAGGAGCUUUGUAAACUUUUGAAACUUGAGACUUAGGGACUUUGAAACUUAGAACUUUGGGAAUCUUAAAACCAUAGUGUAAGACCCCACAAAAUCAUAAGUAUAAUUCAGCUCAUUUGUGUUUGUUAAAGGAGCCCCAUACUUAGAAAAUUCUAGCUAAGUUCCAGACUUAGCCUAUUUCUGGCAUUCAAGAGUUCGCAAUAUCAUUUCGCGACCUCAAAGUUCUUUAAUGGUCUAUAUCUUUAGUAAUUCAUGAUCAGGAAGGUCAGUAAGUGUUCCCGAACAAGUUUUAGAAUUUUUGGGAUUCGUUUAAGCCAAGUUCAAAGUUGCAAAAAAGUGGAUCAACGCGAUCUUGGCACGCCGUGUCGCCUAUCGCAUUGGUCAACAUUUGUGCAGAGUUGUAGAGCCAAAAGUACUGAGGCUUGGCGCGAUCAAGGCGCGACGCGUCGACCAUCGCGUCAAUGGGUCAACAUACCGCAUCAGCUUUAGCGUCGAUACCCAGUUUUCAGUCAUUAUAUAUCCACAUUCCUAAGGCAAAGGGGUCAUUUUCCCACCCCUAUAUAAGUCCCAAACACGGGAUUUAACACAUUUGGAACCAAAAUACACCCCUAUUUCUCAAAAUCCUCUCAAGAAUAAGCUAGGGUUUCUCAAAAGAAGAUUCAAGUUCAAGAAUUCUCUCUGUCAAUCUUCACGAACUAAGGUAUAUACAAUGUUCAUUCAGGAUUCCUUUCAUCCAUGAAGCCCAAGAACCCUCUUUUAAAUUACAUAUCAUGAUAUUUAUGUGGUGAAUUGGUGAUGUUCAUGUUGUUAUGGUUGUAUUCCUACCAAGAUUGAAUUUUUAUCAUGUAUUUCAUAAAACCAUGUUAGUUUAGGGUUGAAAUCCAUGCAAUGAAGUUAAAUGGUGGAAUCCUAUUUUAUUUAAUUGAUGAUCAUACCUAUGCCUAAAGGCAGCAUGCAAGGUGUUUGAUAAAAUGCCUAGUAUAAUAGAAAUCAUGUAUAAUGACUCAAUUGUGUUUAAAUGCUAAAUGCAUACAAUUUAUUCAGGCUUAACAUGACUUACAUAUUAUUGAUUAUACAUCAUGCUUGCUUUAUGAAAUGUUCAUGACACUAGAAGUAUGUAAGCAAGCCAUGAUUAUGUGCUCCCUUAUCCAUGUAUUAGAUUAAGGUAAUCAAAUGCGUCAUGAAAUACUCCCCACGAUUGUAUGAUGAAUGUGGGUGUUCAAAAGUGUCAAGUUGUGUCAAUUUUAUUCUAUCGAGUCUUAGGGGUACUUGUGCCCGAAAAAUAUAGUUGUGUUCCUAGAGCCAUAUCAUAUUUCAUGAUACUCUCAGUCAAGCCAUGUUCAGUAGACUUCAGUCAGUCUCACGACUCAGGAAACCUCAGUAAUCUCAUGAACUCAGUCAGUUAAUAGAAUUCAGUAGUAUUCUGUCAGUCAAUGGAAUCAAGUAAACUCAGUAGCUCAGUUUAGUUAAUCAUGUUCAGUGUCUAUUCAAUGGGAGUAGGAAUUAGCACCGAGUGAACCAAAGGAUGGGAACACACACUGUCAGAUAAGGGUGUGAUUUCUAGAAGCAAUCCGUACAUUCCAGAACUAUGUAGCCAACAUAGUUUGAGACAUCAACACUGUCAAAUGAGGGUUGAUGAGGUAGAUUAACACUGUCAGAUGAGGGUCCCACCAUUCUCGUUUGGGGACACUGUCAGAUGAGAGUCACUCAUAACUUGUCCUUACCAGUGGCACGGUAUUGACACCCUUCUAAUUGGGGUUAUAGAUUGGACCCCAACUUAGCUAUACUAGCUUAUCAUGGGCAUAUCAGUUAGAUGACUACUUCCUACAGUAUCAGUCUCAGUAUCAGUAAAAGAACUCAAAUAGUUCUUCAGAUUCAAGACGGUCAGAUACAGUCAACUCAAAACAGUAUGGAACUCAGCUAGUUCCAUUAGAACUUAGACUAUCAGAUACAGUCGCCUAAUAACAGUAUUUAGUUAUAUCAAUUAUAUUAGUUCUAUCAGUUAUCAGUAUCUCAUGCUAUCAGUAAUCAGACUCAGUAAUCAUGUUUUCACGAACUCAGUUAGUCUCUUAAUCAUGCAUGUAUUCUCACGCUCAUGUUAUACGGUCAUUUAGUUUAUGUCCAUACAUAUAAACCCUUGCAUUCAGCCUACCUUACUUGCAUACCAGUACAUUCAGUUGUACUGAUGCAUUCGCGCUAUGGUAUUUUACUACCAUAGGUCCAGAGACACGAGCUACAGAGCAGCAGUAGGACUUUAGAUAUUUAGUAGACAGACUAGUAGUGAGUCCUCAUCACUCAAGGAUGCAUUAUCAUUUUAGCUUUCAGUACUGUUUUCAGUUUUAGUAGCGGAGUUAGUUGGGGACAUGUCCCAUCGACUCCUUAUUUAGAUAGUUAAGUUUUAGAGGCUUUUCAAACUACAGUACUAUGUUAUAUUCAGACGGUAUGUUAGUUUUGGGUAUUCUAUUACCCCACUCAGAUGUUUUAUUUUUCAGUUAUACAGUUUUGAACCUUAUAGCCUUUCAGCCUUUAUUUCUGCAUUUUAUACAGUAUAGCAUGUAGUGUACAGGUACAGAUAUCAGUCAUGGGUUAGCUUGUGGUCCUUUAGUGUCAUGAGCACUAUGUAGCAUUUCGGGUACCAAAUUCAGGGUGUCACAAACUUGGUAUCAGAGCCUAAGGUUCAAUAGUGUCCUAGGAAGUUUGAAAGCCGCAUCUAGUAGAGUCUUGUACAUGGGUGUGUUGCGUGCCAUAUUUAUGUACAGGAGGCUAUAAGAUGUUUCAAGAAUAGUUUCCCCUCUUUCAGUAUUCAUGUCAUGCCGGUGAGCAUAAGCUUAAGCUUAACUCUCAGUCUAAUCCAUUUCUCCCUUUUUUUACAGAGCAUGCCUCCUAAAAGAAGAGAUGGGAAUUAGUCAGCCCCUCAGCCCAAAGAACCUUUGGGCGAACAUAUUUCUCAUGCAGAAUUUAAAGCUGCAUUCACUACUCUUACUUAGUCAGUUGCUGCUCAGAAUGAAUGACCAGCUAUCGUUUUGGCCAACCCAGUGGCCAAUUCAGCUGCAGCUAGGAUUCAGGACUUCACCCGAAUGAAUCCUCCAUUCUUUUUUGGGUCUAAGACAGACGAGGACCCUCAAGAAUUCCUAGAUCAGGUGAAGAAUGUUACAAAAAUUAUGGAAGUUACUGCUAGUGAGAGUGUUGAUCUAUCUGCAUAUCAGUUGCAGGAUGUGGCUCAUACUUGGAACAAGUAGUGAAAGUAAGAGAAGGCAGUUGAUACAGGGCCUAUAUAUUGGGAGGAGUUUGCCUUUGCUUUUCUUGAUAGAUUCUUUCCACUAGAGCUUAGAGAAGCUAAGGUUCUAGAAUUUAUCAAUCUUAGGUAAGGAAACAUAACAGUGAAAGAGUAUUCUCUUAAGUUUACUCAACUAGUUAGAUAUGCUCCUCAUGUGGUUGUAGAUAGUAGGACCAAGAUGAGUAAGUUUUUUUUAGGGGUGAAUGAUAACAUGGUGAAUGAGUGCAGGUCAACUAUGUUGAAUAGUGACAUGAACAUAGCUAGACUCAUGACCCAUGCUCAUCAGAUAGAAGAGCAAAAGAUUAAGAUGAGGGAGAAGCAGAAUAAGAAUACAAGGUCAGGUAGUUUCAACUUUGCUUAGCCUAAGUUAGAGAGAUGGAAUCACUCAUAGUUCUGUCCUACAUCAUCAGUUCCAUCUCUUUUUUUAGCCAGUGCUCCAGUUCUUAAGUUCAGGGAUGGUAAUAGAGAUAGGGCACCAGGAUCUAAGUCUCAGGGCAGUGUUAGUAGUGCCCGAACCAAUCCCCUUUGUCAGACUUGUGGUAAGAACCACAAGGGUGUUUGCAGAGCUGGUAGCGAUAUCGGUUUUGGAUAUGGCAAGCCAGGCCACAGAGUUAGAGAUUUUCCCCAGUCAGGUUAUCAAGGUCAGCAGAACCGUUCCUCAAUCCAGUCCGGUCGCCCAAACCAGCAAGGUGCUACCUCCAGUGCUACUAAUGGACAGCGCCCAAAUCGACUUUAUGCUCUCAAGUCCCGACAAGAUCUGAAAAAUUCUCCUAAUGUGGUUACUAGUGCGUUAUAGAUCUUUCACUUGCCUUUUUAUGCUUUACUAGAUCCAGGAGCUUUCUUGUUUUUUGUUACUCCCUGUAUAGCAGUUGAUUUCGAAGUCAUUUCCGAAAUUCUAGCAAAGCCCUUCUCAGUCUCUACCCCAGUGGGUAAAACCAUCAUAGCUUGGUGGGUAUACAGGAGCUGCCUGAUUAUGAUAUCUCAAAAAGUCACUUCAGCAGAUUUAGUCGAAUUAGAGAUAACUGAUUUUGAUUUCAUUCUCGACAUGGAUUGGCUUCAUUCCUUCUAUACCACAGUCGACUGCAGAAGCAGAAUAGUUCAGUUCUAGUUUUCGAAUGAACCCAUCCUAGAGUGGAAGGGUAGUGUAUCCGGUUUUAGAGGUCAUCUCAGUUCCUACCUUCGGGCAAGGAGAAUGAUACCUAAGGAAUGUGUCUAUCAUCUCGUUCAUGUUAAGGACUAUAGUUUUGAAAUUCCCACCCUUGAAUCAGUCCUAUUCAUAAAUGAAUAUCCAGUUGUCUUUUCCAAAGAUCUUCCAGGCAUUUUUCUUAAAACAGAAAUAGACUUUGGCAUUGAUCUUCUUCCGGAUACACAGCCUAUAUCUAUCCCGCUAUACAGGAUGGAACCCGCAGAACUUAGAGAAUCGAAAGAGCAGUUAAAGGAUCCUUUAGAUAAGGGAUUCAUCAGACCCAACGUGUCCCCGUAGGGUACACCACUCUUAUUCAUGCACAAGAAAUAUGGUUCUCUCAGAAUGUAUAUAGACUACCAUUAACUCAAUAAAGUCACGGUCAAGAACAAGUAUCCACUUUCCAGAAUCGAUGACUUAUUUGACCAACUUCAGGGUGCUAGUUAUUUCUAUAAGAUAGACCUCAAAUCAAGCUAUCAUCAGCUAAGAGUCAGAGAAAGUGACAUCCUAAAAAUAGUUUUUUCGUACUCGAUAUGGUCACUUCGAAUUUUAAGUCAUGUCCUUUGGUUUUACCAAUGGCCCUGCAUCUUUCAUGGACUUGAUGAACCGUGUGUUCAAGAAGUACUUGGACAUGUUCGUCAUAGUCUUCAUAGAUGAUAUUUUGGUCUAUUCCCAGACUGAGCAUGAUCAUGCAGACCAUCUCAGAACAGUACUUCAGACUCUCAGAAAUCACCAGUUAUUUGCCAAAUUCAGUAAGUGCGAGUUUUGGCUAAGUUCAGUAGCAUUCCUUGGUCACAUCAUUUCCGGUGAUGGUAUUAGAGUAGAUCCUCAAAAGACCAAAGCAAUAAGAGUUACCUUGAACUCGUAAUUAGCAUGAUUCAGUUUGGGUCAUUGUAGACAAAAGGACCAAAUAAGUUCAUUUUCUUCCAGUCCAUACCUCUUAUUCAGCCAAGGAUUACACCAAACUCUAAAUCAGGGAGUUGGUUAGAUUGCACGGUAUUCCGUUAUCUAUUAUCUCAGACCGAGGUACCUAGUUCACCUCUCACUUUUGGAAAGCAUUCCAAAAGGGUCUUGGUACCCAAUUUCAUCUCAGUACAGCCUUUCAUUCCCAGAUUAAUGGUCAAGCAGAAAGGACCAUCUAAACCUUCGAAGAUAUGCUAUGAGCGUGUACAAUUGAUUUCAAGGGAAGUUGGAAUGACCACUUACCUUUGAUUGAGUUUGCAUCCAACAACAACUAUCAUUCCAAUAUUCAGAUGGCUCCAUUCGAAGCUCUCUAUGGUAGGAUAUGCAGAUCUCCAAUCGGUUAGUUCAAAAUUAGUGAGGCCUCAACCAUAGGUCCUGUCUUAGUAUUCGAUACGCUAGAUAAAGUUCAGUUGAUCAGAGAGAGACUUUGGGCUGCUCAGAGCCGACAGAAGUCCUAUGCAGAUGUGCGCAGAAAGGAUCUCGAGUUUGAGAUUGGUGAUUUUGUCUAUCUCAAGAUCUCUCCCAUGAAGGGAGUGAAGUGAUUCAGUAAGAAGGGAAAGCUCAAUCCCCGAUACGUCAGUCCCUUCAAGACUCUCAGUCGCUUCGACAAAGUAGCUUAUGAGCUCGAGUUACCAUCAGAUCUAGCUUCAGUCUAUCUAGUCUUCUAUGUUUCUCUUCUCAUGAAGUGCAUAGGUGACCUAUUAGUCGUAGUCCCUAUUCAGAGCAUUGAUGUUCAGAACAACCUCUCUUAUGAAGAGAUUCCAGUCAAAAUUCUUGACUACCAGACUUGUAGACUGAGGAACAAAAAGUUUCUAUAGUUAAAGUUCUUUGGCAGAACUAGUCCGUUGAGGGAGUUACUUAGGAAGCAAAAUCAGAUAUGCGUACCAAUUAUUCUCACCUCUUCUUCGCUAACUCAGACUCAGCUCAAGGUAAUAGCUUUUUCUUAAGCUUUUCAGUUUCAUGAUCAGAUUUUAGUUACUGCUUAGAAUCUAUUUCAUGUUUAGAAUUCCAUUAUAAACUUGCUACUAAGUACCAUUGAAUUUUCAGUCAUGCAUUCAUGUAUAAGAUCAAGUCAUUAGUCAUGCAUCAGAUAUGCAUAGAUUCAGUUUAUUAGUUAUCCAUGAAUCAGAUAUGCAUGUUCAGUAUGAUAUAUUCAGCUCUUCAGUCAUGUUAGUCCUGAAGUCAUGUUUCAGUAGUGUAUGUCUUGCACAUACUUCAACUUAUCUUUUCCUCUCUUAGUCAGUCUCAUUCGAGGACGAACGUUCUCAAGGGGGAGAUAUUAUAAAACCCCAUAAAAUCCUAAGCAUAAUUCAGCCCAUUUGUGCUUGUUAAGGGGAUCCCAUACUUAAAAAAUUCUAACUAAGUUCCAAACUUAGCCUACUUUUGGCCUUCAAGAGUUCGCAAUCUCAUUUUGUGACCUCAAAUUCCUUUAAUGGUCUAUAUCUUUAGUAUUUCAUGAUCAGGAAGGUCAAUAAGUAUUUCCGAACAAGUUUCAGAAUUUUUGGAACUCGUUUAAGUCAAGUUCAGAGUUGCAAAAUAGUGGAUCAACGCGAUCUUGGUGCGCCACAUCGCCUAUCGCAUUGGUCAACAUUUGUGCAGAGUUGUAGAGCCAAAAGUACUGAGGCUUGGCGCGAUCAAGGCGCGACGCGUCGACCAUCGCGUCAAUGGGUCAACAUGCCGCAUCAGCUUUAGCGUCGAUACCCAGUUUUCAGUCAUUAUAUAUCCACAUUCCUAAGGCAAAGGGCUCAUUUUCCCACCCCUAUAUAAGUCCCAAACACGGGAUUUAACACAUUUGGAACCAAAAUACACCCCUAUUUCUCAAAAUCCUCUCAAGAACAAAUUAGGGUUUCUCAUAAGAAGAUUUAAGUUAAAGAAUUAUCUCCGUCAAUCUUCACGAAAUCACGAACUAAGGUAUGCACAGUGUUCAUUCAUGGAUUCCUUUCAUCCAUGAAGCCCAAGAAUCCUCUUUUAAAUUACAUAUCAUGAUAUUUAUGUGGUGAAUUGAUGAUGUUCAUGUUGUUAUGGUUGUAUGCCUACCAAGAUUGAAUUUUUAUUAUGUCUUUCAUGAAACUAUGUUAGUUUAGGGUUGAAGUCCAUGCAAUAGAGUUAAAUUGUGGAAUCCUAUUGUAUUUAAUUGAUGAUCAUACCUAUGCCUAAAGGCAGCAUGCAAGGAGUUUGAUAAAAUGCCUAGUAUAAUAGAAAUCAUGUAUAAUGACUCAAUUGUGUUUAAUUGCUAAAUGCAUGCAAUUUAUUCAUGCUUAACAUGACUUAUAUAUUAUUGAUUAUACAUCAUACUUGCUGGAUGAAAUGUUCAUGACACUAGAAGUAUGUAAGCAAGCCAUGAUUAUGUGCUCCCUUAUCCAUGUAUUAGAUUAAGGUAACCAAUGCCUCAUGAAAUACUCCCCACAAUUGUAUGAUGAAUUAUGGACUCUAGUCACAUGUUCAAAAGUGUCAAGUUGUGUCAGUUUUAUUCUAUCGUGUCCUGGGUGUAGUUGUACCCGAAAAAUAUAGUUGUGUGCUUAGAGUCAUGUCAUGUUUCACGAUACUCUCUGUCAAUCCAUGUUCAUUAGACUUCAGUCAGUCACACGACUCAGAAAACCUUAGUAAUCUGAUGAACUUAGUCAGUUAAUAGAAUUCAGUAGUAUUUCAUCAGUCAACGGAAUCUAGUAAACUCAGUAGCUCAGUUUAGUUAAUCAUGUUCAGUGUCUAUUCAAAUGGGAGUAGGAAUUAGCACCGAGUGAACCCAAGGAUGGAAACACAUAUUGUCAGAUGAGGGUGUGAUUUCUAGAAGUAAUCCUUGCGCUCCAGAACUAUGUAGCCAGCAUAGGUUGAGACAUCAACACUGUUAGAUGGGGGUUGAUGAGGUGGAUUAACACUGUCAGAUGAGGGUCCCACCAUUCUCAUUUGGGGACACUAUCAGAUGAGGGUCACUCACAGCUUGUCCUUACCAGUGGCGCGGUAUUGACACCCUUCCAAUUGGGGUUACAGAUUGGACCCCAACUUACCUAUACUAGCUUAUCAGGGGCAUGUCGGUUAGAUUACUACUUCCCACAGCUUAAGUCUCAGUAUCAGUAAAAUAACUCAAAUAGUUCUUUAGAUUCAGGACUGUCAGAUACAAUCAACUCAGAAUAGUAUAGAACUCAGCUAGUUCUAUCAGCACUUAGACUGUCAGAUACAAUCGCCCAAUAACAGUAUUCAGUUAUAUCAGUUCUAUCAGUUAUCAGUAUCUUAUGCUAUUAGUAAUCAAACUCAGUAAUCAUGUUAUCACGAACUCAGUUACAGUCUCUUAAUCAUGCAUGUAUUCUCACGCUCAUGUUAUACGAUCAGUUAAUUUAUGUCUAUUCAUAUAAACCCUUACAUUCAUCCUACCUUACUUACAUACCAGUAUAUUCAGUCGUACUAACGCAUUUGUGAUAUGGUGUUUUACUACCAUAGGUCCAGAGACACGAGCUACAGAGCAGCAGUAGGACUUCAGAUAUUCAGCAGACAGACUAAUAGUGAGUCCUCAUCACUCGAGGAUGCAUUAUUAUUUUAGCUUUCAGUACUGUUUUAAGUUUUAGUAGCGAAGUUAGUUGGGGACAUGUCUCAUCAACUCCUUAUUCAGAUAGUUUAGUUUUGGAGGCUUUUCAGACUACAGUACUACAGUAUAUUUAGAUAGUAUGUCAGUUUUGGGUAUUCUGUUACCCCCACUCAGAUGUUUUAUUUUUUAGUUAGGCAGUUUUGAACCUUAUGGCCUUUCAGCCUUUAUUUCCUCAUUAUAUACAGUAUGUCAUGCAGUGUAUAGGUACAAAUAUCAGUCAUGAGUUAGCUUGUGGUCCUUCAGGGUCAUGAGCACCAUGUAACAUUUUGGGUACUAGAUUUGGGGCGUUACACAUAGCUUUCAAAACAUAUACUUUAUUUUGAGGAGAGUAGGGGACUUCUUUUAAAACUUAGGGAUUAAAGAACUUUGAGACUCAAGGACUUGGGCUUGGGAGUUUCUUCUAACCGACAUAAAUCAUGUGAGCUGACAUGGAAUCCAACGUCUUGCCCACAUUGGGGAGAGCUAUUCUACCCUUGCCAUCUGAAUAGAACCUUAGCUUUAGUGAUCACUAUCUUAGCCCACUAUGAGCGAAUCAGACGGUGGCACGUAGUUCUGGGGCAUGAGACCUUGGAAUCAUACCCAACUCGGUGCUAAACACUACUCCCAUACUUACGCUAAGAACUCUUUAGGAAAUCCACCUUAAAACAAUAUAAGGGUCUAUAAUGAAGACCAUUAUACUUCUCUUUGCUUUAAAUCAUAAAUAAUAUGGAUUUCUAUCUUAGCUUAGGAUUAAAAGAUCAAUCUUUAAUUUUGAAAGAACUUAUAAAAACUUGUCAAUAAAGCUUGAGAUUAUAAUCUCCUUAUAAACUCAUAACUUGUACUUAGGGCUCAAAAUGUAAAGCUUUAAAGCAUCAACAUCAUAUUUAAACCUUUUUCUCAACAAUUAUCUUUAAAAUCUUUCAACUUGCUCAAAAUAACAAUCUUUAAAUAGGGGUUAAUGACCCAUAUAUCAAACUCAUGUUAGAACACCAAAAGAUUCAUGUUUGAUAAUGUAAAUAUUGAUGAAUCAACUCAAAAUAUGGAAAUUUCAGCAAUAAGCAUGAAAAUAUAAAUAUACUCAUGUAAUAUCAUAGCAAAACAUCAUAGUCAAUAUGCUUAUUGAAAAUACUUCAACAAUGUCAAAAUAUAAAAAUCAAGAAUCACAAUAUAAUGCUUAAACUCACCUGAAAAAAUCUGAAAAAUCACAUUACUUGCAUAAAUUUAUGAAAUUAGUCAUGCAAUUCCACUUCUAAAUCAUUGAAAACCUUAUAAGCUUGUAAUUAACAACAAUGGGUAUAAACACCAACUUGAAUUUCAUGGAAAAUAAUAAAAAAUUCAAUAAUUCAUAAUCUAAAAUAAGUUUUGGGCACAAGGAUGAAAGGAUUAUCCUUGUUGAAAUCCCACAUACCUUAAUAGUUUGGAUUUGAUGAAGAAAACUUGACUUUGAAACCCUAGGAGAUGAUCUUGAAUGCUUUCUUUAGAUUUUUGAAUUAUGAUGCUUAACUCUUGGUUUCUUUAUUGAAGAGGAUGACUUGAAUUUCAUGUUUAUUGGAUUGGAAACUUAGAUUCUUAACUAUCUUGAAGAAAAUUUUGAUGGAGUUUCUUGGUGUUCUUGAGGAGGCUAGGGCUUUCUUUGGAUAGAAAAGGAUGAAUAAUUGACAUUAUGAGGCUUUUGGGGCUUUAAUUAUCUAUUAUGGACGAGUUAGGGUGAAGGGAAGGAAACUUUUUCCCUUAAAAAUGUAAAAACAGAACCUGGAAAUUGGGUGCGUGCGAUAGAGAUCGCGUGCAACUACUGCCUCACUCACGAAAAUGUCCAUAACAUUUCGCUCGGGUAUCGAAUUUUGGCGAAAUUGGUAUCGUUGGAAAGCUAAUACAAUUAUCUACAAUUUGGUGAGUCUUGAUAUGAAAAAUUUCAUGUAUACAAAAAGUUAUACAUGUUUUAAGUAGACCCUUGUAGAAUCAAAUACCAAAUUUUGGACGAAUCAAAGGAUCUUAGCUCAACUUGGCUCUAAAUGAUUUAUAUGAACAUUUUUGACUUCAUGAGCAUUUAAAACACGAGUAUAAGGAUCAUGAAACUUAUAUUCACAUGAAAAUCAGUUGGAUAAUAACUUAUACACGUAGGAACGAUGGUUCAAAGACUAGCCAAAAAAUACGGGGUAUUACAUUAUCUCCCCCUUGGGAACAUUCGUCCUCAAAUGUGGCUAAUUAAGAUGAAAACACUAAGGAAUCUGAGGCUAUAAGUUAUCAUGCACAACUGAAAUAAGCUGAAUCACCGAAUCUUAAACAUAAUGAGAACUGAUCUACGAGUGCAUGAAUUCUUGAAAAAAAUAGCUAUAUGGCCGAGAUAGAAAUGUGCAUAUCAACUUAUGAAUAACCAUUACUUUAGGCUGGAUCUGAUUUCGUAAGAAAAGAUGAUAGGUUUAAAACUCGGGGUAUUACAACACCCCUCUUGGGAUCGUUCGCCCCUGAAUGAUACUAAUUUGGUUGAAAUACUAGGAAAAGACUGAGACGUUACACAGGAUACUUACAAACUGAGUCAUGACUUAAUAUCUGAAACUGAAGUUGAUGCAUGAUCUGAGCUGAAUUAUCUCACAGAAUAGCAAUACUCAUGAAACUUUAGAUAGUAUGACUAGAUGAGAAGUUGGAAAUCUAUAGGAGCUUAUCGGCUUGCGUGUUAAACUGGAUUGUAGGCCAUAUGGACUGAAUCACACUGACUGCCCAUACUCAAAUAGAUUAUUUCUUCAGCACUCUUCUAUGAAAUUCUAUUAACAUUAGGGAGAAAAGAAUUUUGGGUAUGAUCUGAACAAGACAUCUGAAUAAGGAAUCACAACAUCAAUACAACCCUAUAGCUUGGAAUUACUAGGCCUCAAGCAACACAAUGCAACUCGUUACCUUCAAAAUCAGCAACACUUCUCAAAUAUUCCCUCAACUAUACUAUUCCCUUUAAAUACCAUAUUCAUUGAUUAAACUCCUAAUUCUCACACGACCUUUCAUAAUUCCUUCUACUAAUGUCAAAAUUGAUCUAAGUCUUCUCACUAUGAUCAAGUCUAACUCGAGAUCACAAGGUAUAACAUGCCACACCACAAUACUAGUCUAUACCACAUGAUUCAAUAUUCUAUAUCUUUUUAGAGCUCACACCCUAAGCAUAACAUGCCUCACUACUUCAAUGACUAACUCAAAACUCUUACUAUGGAUUCACUAGCGCAUAUUGCAUUCAUCCACUUACACCCAACACUACAUUCAAGCCUAUUACUAUAACUACAUAUGAACUUCAAGGCAACACCCAUAAAGUCAUACUUCUCAUAUUCUCUAAACCUCUAUUAAUAACAACUCUCACGCACUACCCCAAGAACAUACGUACACAAAUUUCAACUAACCACUACAUGUAAUAAAGAGUUGGUCCCAGUCUUACUUCACACUUAUGGCCUCGUCUAAAGCAAGCAUACAAUGAUCUUUCAUCAACAAGAACCAUUUACUCAUCACCACUAUUAUUACAUAAGGAGGAGUCACUAAAAGGUUAGAACAUGAGACCUUGAAGCAUGGAAGGAUACUAUACGAAACUUGACACUUAACUGAGGCCUAGGGAAUAGAAUAUCAAAGGCAUGGAUUCAUUAAGGAGAUCUAAGCGAGGACAUACAUGAUAUAAUGCGAAUUUCACUUGUAUCAUGAGUUCUAAAAGUUGUUCAUACUCGAAAACAUGAGUUCACACUUAUCAUAAGUUGUUCAACAUAAGACUGGAGUCCAUAGAUUUUUUUGAGGGAUAACUCGAAUUAUAGAGUGAAGCUGUUACUUAAUUACUAAGAGUUGAGAAUGAACUUGAAUAUGCAUGACGUAUAUAAACAUUGACCCUUAAAUAUGUUAAAAUAGGAGCUGGAAAAAUAAAAAAGUGUGCUAUAGAGUGUGCGUCGCACGCUAUGGAGCACCGAAAUGGAGCAUAUAUUGCAUGCUCUAUUGUAUGCUCCCUAGGGGUGGACUGGAGAGUGCGGCGCAUGCUAAUUGCAUGCAGCUACUGGUUUGGGCAUCCAAACAUGCCCUAAAUAGUGUUCAAAAAUUCCAAAACUCACCUAAGAUGUACUAUUGACUCCCUUAAUCGUGAAUUAGCUUGAAAAUUAACUUUCGAAGGUCAGGAAGGCCAUAAAUAAAUUCCUCAAAGUUUGAGGGCCUUAGAAAAGACUAAGUGUUAGCACUUAGCUGAAAAUUUUCUAAGUUUUGGACCCCUUUAGGUGCAAUAGGGAACUGAAAUAAGCUAGGAUCUUACAGGGUCUUAUAAUAUCUCCUCCUUAGAUUAAAGCCAUCCCUCUAAGCUUAUGGAUCUAUUUCACAUUCCUAGGAGUGAGUCAAAAUAUCUUUUCUCUAACAGUCUACACAUAAAUGCUAAAAUCACAUACAUACACUAUAUUUUGAACUUACUGAUUUCAUUCUUCGACACCCUUCCAUAUACCAUCUAUCCAUAACUCCUUAACUUAGCUAUCUAAAAUACCAUGUACUCGACAACUAUGCUUCUUCUACUUAAAACUCAAGGGUACUACUAACCAUACACAAUACUUAAUAAACUUAGAAAAUAAUGCAACCUCAUAUCACCUUGGGCACACCUCUACCUCGUUCCUGCAACAUCAUACUUAAUAUCAAAUUGAUAAACUUAAAUUCUUGAAUUCACUAUUUCAAGCCUAUUAAUUUACCUCCGUAUAACUAGCUUCACUAACCAAGCAAUCAUUACAUCCACCUUGAUGACCAUCCACUGUUCAAACUUAGUGUCUAGUGCUAGGCAUGAUGAACAACACAAUCUCGCAUACAAAUUCUCACUUGAAAACUAUAAAAAAAACAUCAAGAAACACAAGUCCGCUAAAACCUCAUAAGAAUAAUAAUUGAUCAAGAUCAUAAGGCCUAUCGUAAUAUAAUCCAUUAACACAUCCUUCUUCUACACAUCAUUACAAUUCACCUAUCUAUACACCUAAACUUCCUUCAUAGCUCUAUAAGUUUCAACUAAACUCCCUUUUUGCAACCUUAGGGAAGCCUAAAUUAACAACACUCAACCACCAAGUACUUUCAUCAAUAACCUAUACUUUUCUAACACUACAAAUACUAUCAACAACUCUUUUCAUAGUUCAAGCAAACAAUAAUUCACUAUAACUAAUAACGCCUUCUCUACCUUCUACUAAACUAACACACAAGAACAUAUCACUUCAUUACUAACUCAAUCAUAUGCAAAAAGAUUUGCCUAUAUAUAUAUAUAUAUUCAAUAAAUUUCCCUUACCACCUUUCUUGUCACUACACUUCUAAACCCCUACUUCCAACUAUAAGAAGGUUUAACUACUUGUGAAUCAUAACACUCUAGGUUUCAAUAUCUCAUGAAUACAAACUCUAUUCAGUAAUCUAUACUCAUACUAUCUCUUCUCAUGAGUACUAUCUGUAUUGAAAGGCUAAUGAGAAAUCUGAAUACACAUGUUACUCUGUCUUAACUGAAUGACUCAUAAGAAUGAGAACAUAAACUUUCAACUUGAGGGAAUUAUGACACACUAGAGAGCUCCUCUCAAGCCCUUUGUGUGACUUCAGAAAUUUCUGGUAGUAAAUCUGAGAGCAUUAUCUGGGGAGGAACUGGAAUUUGCUAAUUAUGUUAUCUCACGAACAAUACAUAGGUGAGGAAUUUCGGGGUAAAACACGAAUAGAAAGGAGAUUUUGAGAGAACAACUUUACUGCAUGAUCUAGAGUAGGAAACAAAGGAAACUUUCUUAAAUGCCUUGUAGCCUCUCAAAGAAAGGUACAAACGUCUCCGUACCGUUUCACAAGACUCUACUAGACACGGCUUCAUAGACACCCUAGGACACUUGAACCUUGUGCUCUGAUACCAAGUUUGUAACGCCCCAAAAAUAGGUCCCGGGAUGUCACACAGUGCUUAGGGCCAUAAGUGAUCCCCAGCUAACCCUUCUACUGGCAUAACUUAUAAACAAGUGAAUAAAAUACAUAAAUCUAAACAAAAUCAGCGGAAACAUAAAUCUUUUCUAAACUUGAUCAAUACAAAUCUUUAUUAAAAUGAUACAUCUCUGACUUUACAAAAAAACUGGAAUUCAAUUACAUCAACUUCUACUGACUGUCUAUGAAGCCUCUACUAGUAUUGACUAUAGGUAGCCAGGUCACGACUCCCAACUCAAUAUAAUUGAAUAAAGAAAAAAUAAAAGAUUUCUCAAACUGUAUAACUGACUCGAGCCCUUGAAUCAAAAGGACUCAUCACCUACUGACUGAAAGCUACAAACUGGCUGAAUAUGGUAUGUGUGCUACAAAUUGUACCUAUAUUAUGAGAUAAUGUAGCACAUAGACAUAUAUGUGGAUCAACACUUUAAGGAUGUACUGAGUAUAUGGGGGGUGUAAUGCAUAAAUAAAAUAUUAUCUCAUCAUCAUAAUUUAUAAAACAAUGCAUGCUAAAGGUAAAUGACUCACAUAAGCUGGAAUAUCUGCAAUACUGAAAUAUAAUAAUCAUGAGAACAAAAUCAUACUUUAUAAAUGUAGUGAGUCAUAACAUUUAGUUCUAAAAGAUGUACUUAAACUUUUUCUUUAAAUCAUGUUGUCUAAGUGUAGGAAGGACUCACUCUUAAAUCUGAAAUCUGAAAUCUAAUAUCUUUCUAUAAAGCUUUAUCUGAUUAAAACUUAUGAGCCUUCACACUUAGUUUUCUAAAAGCUUUUCUAUCAUUCUUUUCUUUUGCAACUUAAAGACUUAGGAGCUUUGGAAACUUUUGAAACUUGAGACUUAGGGACUUUGAAACUUAGAACUUUAAGAAUCUUAAAACCAUAGCUUUUAAAACAUAUCUUGAGGAGAGUAGGGGACUUCUUUUAAAACAUAGGGAUUAUAGAACUUUGAGACUCAAGAACUUGGGCUUGGGAGUUUCUUCUAACCGACAUAAAUCAUAUGAGCUGACAUGGAGUCCAACGUCUUGUCCACGUUGGGGAGAGUUGUUCUAGCCUUGCCAUCGGAAUAGAACCUUAACAUUAGUGAUCACUAUCUUAGCCCACUAUGGGUGAAUCAGAAACCUACGGUGACACGAAGUUCUGGGGCAUGAGACCCUGGAAUCAUAUCCAACUCGGUGCUAAAUACUACUCUCAUACUUACGCUCAGAACUUUUUAGGAAAGCCAUCUUAAAAUAAUGAAGACCAUUAUACUUCUCUUUGCUUUAAAUCAUAAAGAAUGUGGAUUCCUAUCUUCACUUAGGAUCAAAAUAUCAAUCUUUGACUUUGAAAGAACUUAUCAAAACUUGUUAAUAAAGCUUGAAAUCAUAAUCUCCUUAUAAACUCAUAACUUGUACUUAUGGCUCAAAAUAUAAAGCUUGAAAGCAUCUACAUCAUAUUUAAACCUCUUGCUCAACAAUCAUCUUUAAAAGCUUUCAACAUUCUCAAAAUAACAAUCUUUAAAUACGGGUUGAUGACCCAUAUAUCAAACUUAUGUUAAGACACCAAAAGAUUCAUGCUUGAUAAUGUAAAUAUUGAUAAAUCAACUUAAAAUCUGGAAAUUUCAGCAAUAAGCAUGAAAAUAUAAACAUACUCAUUGAAUAUCAUAGCAAAGCAUCAUACUCAAUAUGAUUCUUGAAAAUACUUCAACAACGUCAAAAUAUAAAAAUCAAGAAUCACAAUAUAAUGCUUAAACUCACUUGAAAAAAUCUGAAAAAUCACAUUACUUGCAAAAAUAUAUGAAAUUAGUGAUACAAUUCCACUUCUAAAUCAUUGGAAACCUUAUAAUCUUGUAAUUAACAACAAUGAGUAUAAACCCCAACUUGAAUUUCAUGUAAAAUAAUAAAAAUUUCUGUAAUUUAUAAUCUAAAAUAAGUUUUGGGCACAAGGACGAAAGAUUAUCCUUGUUGAAACCCCACAUGCCUUAAUAGUUUAGAUUUGAUGAAGAAACUUGACUUUGAAACCCUAGGAGAUGAUCUUGAAUGCUUUCUUUAGAUUUUUGAAUUGUGAUGCUUAACUCUUGGUUUCUUUAUUGAAGAGGAUGACUUGAAUUUCAUAUUUAUUGGAUUGGAAACUUAGAUUCUUAACUAUCUUAAAUGAAAUUUUUAUGGGGUUUCUUGGUGUUCUUGAGGAGGCUAGGGCUUUCUUUGGAGAGAAAAGGAUGAAUAAUUGAUAUAAUGAGGCUUUUUUGGCUUUAAUUAUCUGUUAUGAACGAGUUAGGGGUGAAGGAAAGAACACUCUUGUUCUUAAAAAUGCAAAAACAAAAACUAGAAAUUGGGUGCGUACGAUUGUAACGCCCCAAAAUCCCAUCCUAAGGCGCCACACGGUGCUUAAGGCUACAAGUAGCCUUAAGCUAACCCUUUGAGCCUGCUGCUACAUCUUACACUUACUUUAAGAAUUCAAGUCAAAUAAUAGAACUAAAUCUUAUCAAGUCACAACUAAAAUAUAAAAUGUCUGAAACAUGCUGUUUGAUAAAACAACUGACAAUCUAGUCUGACAAAGCCUCUACUACUCAAGAACUAUAGAGCCAUUGGGACAAAUCCCCAACUGACUCAUAGUCAACUGAAAAGAAAUAAUCAACUGCUAACAAGACUGAAAUCCGGGAAGGACAGGUCCUCGAACCAUAAGGACUCACCAACUGCUGAGUGUAGAUAAAGGUACUCAAAGAUCACUGUCGUGGCUGAUAUUGAGCACGCAAACCUACAUUAUAAGACAAUAUAUCACAUAGAAAUAUAUUUGGAUUACCACUUUGGGAAUGUUUACAUAAAACAACAUCAAUAUUCUUAAUAAAAUCAAGCAUGCAAUUAUGAAUGACUCACAUGGCUUGAAUAAGUAAAAAAUAUAAAGCUCAUAAAUCAUGAAUAGUGAAAUAGGUAACACAAUUCUCGUGAGUCAUUAAACUUUAGAUUUAAAAUCUAUACUCUCCUCUUAUUGUCAAUAUUUGUAGACUACAAGAAAAUUUAAACAAUACUUUCAAACUUAUGCUUUAUCUUGAGAAGAGUAGAACUUCUUCAAAACUUAAGGACUUAGAACUUUAGUAACUUUAAGACAUGGGAACUUUGGGACUCUUUGGGACUUGGUAGGUUCUUCUAACCGACAUAAACUAUAUGAGCUACAUGGAGUCUAACAUAUUGCCCACGUUGGGGAGGGCUGUUCUAUCCUCGCCAUUGGAGUAGAACCUCAUCUUUAGUGAUUAUUAUCUCGACCUUAGGCCUAAAAAUCUCAUUCCUAUGGUGGCACGUAGUUCUGGGGUAUGAGACCUUGGAAUCAUACCCAACUCGGUGCUAAAUAUUGCUCCCAUACUCAGCUCAUAACUCUUAGGAAAUCCACCUUAAAAUAACUCAAGGGUCUACCAUGAAGAUUAAAACAUACUUCUCUUGCUUUAAAUCAUAAUUAGUGUGGACUCCUAUUUUAGCUUGGACCCAAAAAGGUCAAAUCAUUAACUAAAAUUUGAAAAUAGCUUAGUUGGGGUGUUUUUGACCCAAACAAUCUUGAACAACAAUCUUUAGAUGGGGUCUAUUGACCCAAACAACAAUCUCAUAUAAAACAUCUUAAAAAUCAUGCUUGGUAAUGCAAUUACUCAUAAAUUAUCUUAGAAUAUGCAAAUUUCAUCAAUAGACAUAGGAAUAUAGACAAAAUCAUGUAAUUCAACUUUUAAUCCAUGGGCAAAUCUCAAAAUCUUGCAAAUAUUAGAAAUGGGUAUAAAUCGUAACUUAAUUUCAUGGAAAGUCUCAUAAAUUGCAGUAAAUCUAUAUUUAAAAUAAAGUUUUUGGCACAAGGAUGCAAGGAUUAUCCUUUUUCAAACCCCACAUACCUUAAAUUUAGAAAUUAGAUGAACUAGCUUGCUUGAGACUCUUUUUGCUACUCUUGAGUGAGGGUUCUUGAAACUCUUGACAUGGGAACCUUAAAUCUUGACUCAAUUUGUGAAAACUUUGGCGAGUUCUUGAAUUUCUUGGAAGAAGAUUUGGAUUUUCUCUAGAGGGUUAAUCUUGAGAGAAAACCCUAGUUUUUGAUGUCUUUGAAAAUAUGAAGCUAUGUGCUUCGUUUUGGCUAUAUCUGAGUGUUAAAAGGGUGGGAAAAGACUAAAAACCCCUUUUAAAAUGACUCAAAAUCACUUAACGGGAUCUACAACAGUGGGUGCGAUGGUUUGUUGCUAGCUCGACGGUCUAUCAGUCCUAACCAUCAUACCUGGGCCAGAUAGGGACAUAAUGCCUUAUUUACGAUGGCUUGGGUGAUAGUCCGUCGCUAGAUCGAUGGUCCGUCGGCCUAUCCAUCGCACUUAACCAAAAUGUGGUCUUUCUGUCUCAUCUACGAUGGUCUAGGCGACGGUCGGUCGAUAGCUCGAUGGUCCGUUGGUAACUCGACAGUCCGUCGGCUCUUUUUGUCAAACUUGACGGUUCUGACUACCUUCUGUAAUCCAGCCAUAUCUAUCUACUCCUACAUUGAAUUUUGACGAAUUUGGUAUCGAUGAAAAGCUUAUUCAAUUUUUCAUAUGACAAAAAGUCGAUUAUAGGAAAAUUCUAUAUGGUUUAAACACUACUCACUUUGGAGGUUAUUCCUUAAAACUUUAGAGGUGAAAUCGAGCUUUCAAAAAGUUUGGGGUAUUACAGCGAUAAAGCGUGCAUCACACGCUAAUCACGCAAAGCUACUGCCUCACUCACAAAAAUGGCCAUAACUUCUUGUUCGGGUAUCAGAUUUUCGAGAAAUUGGUAUCGUUGGAAAGAUAAUUCAAUUAUCUACAAUUUGGUGGGUCUUGAGAUGAAAAAUUCCAUGUAUAUAAAAAGAAAAUUUGGUGGGUCUUGAGAUGAAAAAUUCCAUGUAUAUGAAAAGUUAUACACGUUUGAAGUAGACCUUUAUAGAAUCAAAUAUCAAAUUUUAGACUAAUCAAAGGAACUUAGCUCAACAUGGCUCUAAAUGAUUUCUAUGAACAUUUUUAACCUCAUGAGCAUUUCAAACACUAGUGUAAAGAUCAUUAAACUUAUAUUCAUAUGAGAAUUACUUGGAUAAUAACUUAUACAUGUAGGAAUGAUGGUUCAAAGACUAGCCCAAAAAUGCAGGGUAUUACAUAGAUGGAGAUGCUUAAAAUCACUCACACUGUUGAAACUGAGCACCUGAGCCUUCAUUAUAAGAAAAUGUAGCACAUAGACGUAUAUGUAGAUUAGUACUUUGAGAAUGAACUAAGUAAAUAGGGGUUAAUGCAUAAGUAAAAUAACAUCUCAACGUCAUCACAAUUUAUAAAAUCAUACAUGCUAAAUGUAAAUGACUCACAUAAGCUGGAAUAUCUAAAGCUGUAAAUCAUAAUAAAAAAUAGCAAAAAAUGUUGCAUAAAUCUAGUGAGUCAUAACAUUUAGUUUCUAGAAUUUGUACUAGUAUUCUGUCUUUAAAUCAUACUGUAUAAUUGUAGAAAGGACUCACUUCUGUAUCUGAAACCUGAAAGCUCAAAUCUGUCGCUGAAAACUUAUCUAAGACAAUGUCUGAAUAAAACUGUGAGCCUUUACACCUAGUUUCUAAAAGUUGUUCUGUUAUGAUUAUUCUGUUCUGUAAGAUUGUACUUGUAGGGAGGUUCUUCUAACCGACAUAAACCAUGCGAGCUAUCAUAGAGUCCAAUAUUUAGUUCCCCUAAGGAGAAAAUCUCACGUUGGGGAAAGGUUUCAUACUCUUGCCAAGGAGUAUAACCUAAUCUAAGUGAUCACAUCUGUAUCUGUCAUCCAUAUAGAAAUGAAAAUAAUCUGAUAAUCUGAACCUAUGUUGGCUCGUAGUUCUGGGGCAUGAGAACAUACCCAACUCGGAGCUAAAUACAACUCCCUUUAAUCUGUAUGCUCAUUCUGUUAGAAAUCCACUUUAAAAUCUAGUAUAACAGUUUAUUAUGAAAAUCAACUGUAUAUUUGCUAAGUUAAAGUGUAAUUUGAAACUGUAAAGUGGUUUCAUAUCUAAGCUUAGAUCAAAAGAUCAAAUCGUUAUCAAAAAUCUAAAAACAAUCUAGUCAUAGGGUGCUCAUAGCAUAAUAAAUCUUGAAAUAGAAAUGUUCAAUUAGGGCUUGAUGACCCAUGCAUCAAAUUCAUGUAAAAAUAUAAUAAUAUUCAUGCUUGAUUAUGAAGGUAUUGAUAAUUCAACUCAAAAUCUGAAAAUUACUACAAUACGUAUGAACAUACAAAAAUAAACAUGAAAUUCAUCAUCUAACUCACUUCAAAACUCAAAAUCCUUCAAUUAGCAAUAUCGGGUAUGAAACCUAAUGUGAAAUUCAUGAAUAAUCGUACAAAAUUAUGUAAAUUUAUAAUUAAAACUAGUUUUGGAUACAAGGAUGGAAGAAUAUCCUUAUUCAUAAACCCCACAUACCUUAAUUGAUGAAAUUGAAUAAAAAUCUUGAUCUUGAAUUCCUACUUGUUCUUUGGAAGAUGACCUCUUGAAGUCCUUAAAUUGGUAAUCCUUAAUUUCCAGCUAUCUUGGAAAAAAAUGGAGGAAAUUUGAUUUCUUGGAGGUUAAGUUCUGAGGUUCUAGGAUUUUCUUGAGAGAUAAUUGAUGAAAAUUGAGUAUAGAAUGCUUAGAAUAGGCUUAAUUAUGUGUUAUUCACGACUUGGGGGCUUGGAAAUUGACUAAAUUGCCCUUUAAAAUUUAACUCAAAAACUAAAAAAUCCCGAUUUGUCCACACAGCGUGAUGCACCACUAUCAAGGUGGCUCACUGGAAAAAGGAUGAUCCCAGUUUUGCCAAUCAACACAAUGCGAGGCUAUCACAUUGGGCUACUAGAAAAAGGACAAGCCCCAUUUUGUCCAUUACCGCAACAUGGUGAAAUCGCGUCAUCUUACUGAAAAGGGAUGAAUGGAAACUGGACUUUCAAUGUAAUGCGACAUAAUCGUGGCGCUCCACUGGAAUUUGACAAUUGCGUAAUCGUCCUUCACCGCGAUGCAGUGCAUGUCAAAAUAGCAUACUGUUUUACUAAAAAUGUCAUAACUUCUCAAUCGAGUAUCGAAUUUGGGCGAAAUUGGUAUCAUUGAAAAGUUAAUUCAAUUUUCUACACAUUGAAGGGUUAGAGCUGGAAAAUUAAACACGCAUCAAGAUUUACCUAUUUUCAAAUCUAACUCUUGAUACUCUAGAAGCUAAUUGGAGCUAGGAAAGAGUACGGGGUAUUACACAUGGUUUGGUCAAACUUUGCGUGUCACUGUUUAGGUGCUUGUUUUAGUCCAUAAAUUAACUUAGUAAGUUUACACACCUUAUUUUCUUUUUCUAGAACUACAAAAAGCUCAGGUUGUUCAAUGUAAAUUUCUUCCUCCAAUUCUCCAUUUAGGAAUGUUGUUUUCACAUCUAUUUGAGGAUUUCAAGAUCAUAUACCGCCGCCAAGGAAAUUAAAGUUUGAAUUGAUGUUAUCCUCAUUAUAAGCGAGUAUGUAUCAAAGUAAUCAAGGCCCUCAUUCUAUUUAAAGCCUUUUACUAUAAGUCUUGCCUUGUAUUUAUCAAUAAUACCAUCCGUUUUUCUUUUUCUUUUGAAUAUCCAUUUAGAACUUAAAGGCUUAUUUCCUAGAGAAAGAUCAACCAACUACCACAUAUGGUUGCAUAAGAUUGAAUCAAUCCCACUAUUGACUGCCUUUUUACAAUAGAAUGAGUCUUAAGACGACAUCGCCUCUUUAAAAGAGGCUCAUUUUCUGAGAGAAAUGUUACAAAAUCCAAUCCAAACGAAGUUGACGUUCCAUGAUGUGUACUAUUCAUUAUGUACAUCCUCACUUAGUUCAUCUCGAGGUCAUUUAGACCCUUCACUAGACUGCUCAUGUCUAGUAUUAUACAAAUAAAUGUGUUCAAAGAAUUCAACAUUAACUAAUUCAAUUACCGUAUGUCAAUGAUAUCUGGAUGUUGGGAUUUAUGAAUCAAAAAUUGACAUGCUUUACUACUUUUAGCACGCAUUCCACUAUCUUAGGUCCUAUUUUCGCCCUUUUAGGCAUAGGAACUUAGACUUUAUAGACUAGUAUUAUACACAAAACAAAUUAACAGUACAACAAACACAAAAGAUAAGUGCAUAAUAAACUAGUACGGGAUGAAAAAAAAGCCAACACCACUAGCCCCAAAACUACAGCCACAACACUACGAACCAGAAACUCCAGACCCAAAGGAGCACUCCCCUAUUACUACUACCGCUCUCCCUCUCCCGAACCCUCUACCCUAAUCCGCGUCCUUCACACAUUACUAUUAAGGGUCAUGUCCUCGGUAAGCUGUAAUUGCUCCAUAUCAAACCUAAUCACCUUCCUCCAAUAUUUCUUCGGUCUAUCUCUAGCCCACCUAAAACCAUUCAUAGCUAGAGUCUCACAUCUCCGCACUGGAGCAUCAGGGGCCCUCCUCAUCACAUGCCCGAACCAACGUAGCCUCAUUUCUCGCAACUUAUCCUCCACCGACGCAACUCCCACCUUCUCCCAAAUAAUCUCAUUUCUCACCCUAUCUUUCCUGGUAUGUCCACACAUCCAUUGCAACAUUCACAUCUCUACAUCAAUAAAAGUUACAAAAUACUUUUUCCCACCAAGAGAUUGGGUUGACUUCAUAUCACAAAUGUCAGUGUGGAUUAAGUCUAAGGGAUUGGAAUUCCUUUCAAUAAACUUAUAUGGAUGCUUAGCAUACUUUGAUUUCACACACGUUUGACAUUUUAAUUUAUUACACUCAAAGUUUGGCAAAACUUCUAAGUUAAUCAGUUUUCGCAAUGUUUUGUAAUUUAUAUGUGCCAAUCGUUCAUGCCACAAAUCAUUAGACUCAAGCAAAUAAUAAGAAACAUAACUUUUAUUGAUUUCAACAUUCAUUAUAUUCAUUUUGAAUAGGCCCUCAGUGAGGUAGCCUUUUCCUACAUACCUCUCCUUUACUAAGUAUAAUUUUUUCGAAAACAAAUAAACAUUUGAAUUCAUUUUUAUCAAGAAGUGAUACAGAAAUCAAGUUCUUCUGUAACUCCAGUACAUACUGGACAUUGUUCAAAGUCAACACUUUGUCUGAUGUCAUUUUUAGUUAGACUUUUCCUGUUUCUUCAACUUUUAUAGUUGUAGAGUUUUCCAGAUAUAUCUUCUCUUCGCCUUGAGCCGGAGCAAAUACAGCAAACAACUCCUUAUUUACACAAAUAUGGUGUGUUGAACCAAAAUCCAUCCACCAUUCUCAAUGAUUUUCCACCAAGUUUUAUUCAAAUAUCAUGGCACAUAGAUCGUCUAUUUCUUUCAUGGAUUCAACCAUAUUUGCUUGGUCCCAUUUUUUGCCUUCCUUUGGGGCACGACAAUUUGUUGACUUGUGGCCAAUCUUUCCAUGAUUAAAACACUUUCCCUUGAAUUUCUUCAUAGGUUUAUUUCUUUCUUGUCUAGCUUUCUUCCGCAUUUUUAAGUUGUUGUAGGCAUCUUCUACAAUGUUUGCUCCACUCAUUGCAGAAUUUUCUUUCAACCUUCUUUCUGCGGCUUUGUUGUCUUCUUCAAUUCGCAGUCUCACUAUGAGAUCUUCGACUGUCAUCUCUUUUCAUUUAUGUUUCAAGUAGUUUUGAAGUCCUUCAACAUAGGUGGCAACAUCUUUAUUAUUGUAGGGACUUGAAAUGCCUCAUUCAUAACCAAACCUACAAUAAAGUUUAUGUGAACAUUAAGAUCAUUUUUAACAUGUUCAACUAAGGUAUUUAUCAAACUCAUACCUUCUACAAGAAGAUCGUGGAUGAUAACCUGCAGUUUCUGUACUUGAGAUACAACAGACUUGCUGUCAAUUAUUUUAUACUCAAGGAAUCCUCCAAUAAGUACUUCUUGGUUCCAGAAUUCUCAGUCUUGUAUUUUGUUUCCAUCGCACUCCAAAACACUUUUGACGUCUUAAUUCCACUAUACAUGAUGUAUAGGUCAUCUUGGAGGCCACUCAAAAUGUAAUUCCUGCAUAGAAAAUCAGAAUAUUUUCACGCCUCCAUAACGACAAAUCGCUCCUGGUCAGAAGUUCCCUCGGGCAACUCUGGAGCUUCUUCAGAUGUAAAUCUUUGAAGACAUAAGGUUGUAAGGUGGAAGAAUAUCUUCUAUUUCCAUCUUUUAAAAUCAACAACCAUGACUUUUUCGGGUUUAUCCGCUGGUGUCAUUGCCUGUGGAGCACUCGUACGAAUCGUUAUGAAAAAUUUAGUUGCUACCACACUCGUCCCAGCAUCAUUCACAUGAUUUUCAGUAGUCAAUUUCCUGUCAUAAAAAAACAGUCAACUUUAGUAUAUCGAAAUACUACUUAUAAAUUUGUAGCAACUUCUCUUGUUUCUAGUUUAACGAUGAAGUUUUUAUGUCUUCAAAUCACAUGUUAAGUUCAAAUGGAGUAAAAAGUGUAAAGCUUUAAUCUCGAAAAAUCAAACAAUACAGAUUGCGAUUUAUUUCCUUAAGAUUGUUGUUAUCUGGUACACAAAAUCCGUAAGUUUAUACACUAAACUUCAACACAGGUUCAACAACAACUAGAAGUUUCAGUAUCUUCAACACAAGAUCAAAAUUGACCUUUCAAUAGAAGUGUGUUUCUAUUAAGAAAUAAGAUGAAACAAAAAUUAAAGCCAAGUCUCCCGGAUUCACGGAGUGUCCUUAAGGAAAUAAUUCUCCUCAAUCCUCCCAGAAUAAAAUGUCUUACAAUCUAACAGUAGUGGUACCUCAAACGAUCGGCUUCUUCUGACUCACUCAAUGGGAGAUAAUUCACAGAGUUUUUAGAAGACAAGAAGUGAUUUUAGCCGUCAAAAAUCAUCUUUUUACUUAAGGAAUAUAUUAGGUAUUUAUAGCCAUAAGGUGUCCCUACAGAAAGAAAGCAUUGAUUCUGGAAAAAUUAAAACUUUUAUGUACAAUCACGUCACCUGCGCCCAGUCUGUGCUGGAACUGUGCUUGCCUUGCAGCCACAAGUGACAUUGUACAAAUUCCAGUAGCUUCUGUGCUACACCUGCGCCCGGAAAUUGCCAGGUGCACGCGUAGAUCACUUUUUUGCUCGAAACAGUGUGCCUUUUACUUCGAGGGUCGCAUCCCUUCGAGGUGCAUUGUGCAUGCAUUUGCAUGGCAUCCGAAAUGCGCCCACAUAUGGAGAAAAAUCUUUCUAUUGGAUUCUUUGGAUUAAAUUCCACUUUUUUUCAAGUCUUAAAUAAAAUUUAUCUAAGAAAUUAAUCUCAUCGAUCAUUUUCCAAAUCCAAAGACAAAGCAAAAACCGAGCAAGCAAGCGACGACAGCGCGAGAAACCUCUUUGUUCUUGACUCACUAUCCAGGUGGAGAUGUGUUUCUCAAUAUAAAUGCAUGAAAGUUUCUUUCUCCUACCAACUUUUCUCAUUUUGAGCACACUUUCCUUUUUAGUGUGGACUCACUUUUUCUCCAUUUUCCAUUCACACAUUCAACUUAAACCCAAUAAAGAUGAAACAAAAAUCCAUAGACAAAGCUUUACCGAUACUGGAAAAUCUUUUCAAUCACAUUUGUUCCCUCCGAUUUCACUUCUAUUCAUUCGCUCUAUGUUGUUAUCAAUUGUUACUAGUUUGUAUCACUUUUAUUCACUUACUAUAAUUUCACUUAUAUUCAUACGUAGCUACUGUUUAGUUGUUACUAGCUUGUGUAGCUAGAUUGUGUGCAAACACACUUAAUUUUAAUGUAUCAACGCAUCAUCACAAUAGGUUGUAUGCACUCACUAAACGAGUUGUACUUUUUCUCCCAUACGACGAAAUAUUGUGAUCCACAUCUAGACAUAGAUACACAAACUGUCAUUGGUGUUGAAGAAACAUUCAAAUUACACUUGUAUGUCAUUGUAUUUUGGUGUAUCACAGUUGUAUUUUCGGAGAUACAGUGUGAUACACUGAGAUACAAUGAAACAUAUACUGUUACUGUAUCACUUGUAUGCUUUGCUAUCAAUUUUAAUAUAGGUAUCUAAUUUGACUAAAUAAUUUUUUUACUGUGACAAAAGUAGAAUUGUGAUCUUAAUAUAUUCGACUAAUGAGAAUUUUUAAAGAAUAAACCAAAAAAUAAAAAGGAGAAAAAGGGAUAAAUAUUUAUUUGCAUUGGGUGUUUCUCUUUAACUGCUCAUUUAAAUCUUAGUUAACUAAAAGAUGAGAUAAGAAUACAUAUCACUUAAUCAUUGACUAAGUGAUAAACUCAUGUAUAAAAGACACAUAUUUUGCAUUCAUUAGGUUAGGUGCAAACAUCGAUGCAGGUAAGUUUUUACCGCGUAUGAUGGAUGUGGAAAUGUGGAAGAGAUGAUGAUGGCUUUUUAAUAGCUCGAAGAGAUGAAUUUGGAAUUUGAAAUUUAUUAUAUAUACAUAUUCACUACUCAGUGAAUUUUUCAAUAAAAAUACAGAACUUGGACGAAACUUACUCAGUUUUACUGAAUUCGUACUUUUAUACAUAUCACAUGCCUCUUACUUUGUACAUCUAAUUCUAAAUAAAUAACAGUUAAAUCUUACUAAGCCUUAAACCUUAAAUCCUGAAAAACAGCAAUCCUUCAAUAUGCUAAUUGAUCUCUAAAUGUAGAGAUCUCCUCAAAUAUUAGAAGCCUUCUUGAUUUGGGCCAGGACCAUUCAUGAAUUAACUGUUCAAGCUCAUUUACAAAAUCAUCAUUCAAAUCGAGGUCUGGUAUGUUUUGCAAGAAGGGUGGGGGUUGUUUCGAGUUCAAUUGAAACAAUAAUUCCUCAACUCGAUUCUUUGUUUUUUUAUCAUCAGAAUUAAGCCAUCUUAAAACUGGCAUGGUAGCUAUUAUUAUACGCAAACUCAGAUAUCUCAGAAUACCAUCACCACCAAUUUCAAAGGACAUCACCUUCUAUUGACCCACAUCUUUCUUGAUCUGCAUCAAGAUGGGAUCUUCAAUCUAUUUUUCAUUAACUUCGGCACAAAGGGAAGAUUUAGCUAUCUCAUGAACAACCACUCCCCCAUAUUAAGAAUCCAAGAGUCGCACCUUAAGAUUCGCAAGUCGGUGAAUAUCCUUCACUAUUUCUCUCUUCAUUUCCUCAACAUGAGAAAGACUGUCCAUAGACAACCUGUUGAGGGCAUCGGCUACAAUAUUCGCCUUGCCCGGAUAAUAGUGCGGGCUCAUGUCAUAAUCCUUCAAAAUCUCCAUCCAACGUCUCUGCCUGAGGUUCAGUUCUUUCUGCGAGAAAACAUACUGCAAACUCUUGCGGUCAUUAAAUAUAUCAACAUGUACACUAUAAAGAUAAUGCUGCCAAAUCCUAAGCGCAGACACCACAGCUGUUAUCUCCAAGUCGUGAGUGGGGUAAUUCAGCUCAUGCACCUUCAAUUGCCUAGAUACAUAAGCCACCACCUUAUCGUGUUACAUAAGUACACACCCAAGUCCCACUCGGGAUGCGUCACAAUACACAACAAAACCCUCUGUACCUUCCAGAAGAGUCAAAACAGGAGCAUUUGUCAACUUAUCUUUUAACUUCUCAAAACUACUCUCACAAGAGUCAGACCACACAAACUUUACCUUUUUCUGUGUCAACUUAGUAAGUGGUGCAGCUAUGGAAGAAAAACUCUUUACGAACCUCCUAUAAUACCCUACCAAACCCAAGAAGCUCCGAAUGUCGAUUGGAGUCGUGGGUCUGGGCCAUUUGUUCACUGCCUCAACCUUUUGGGGAUCAACCUUAAUUCCCUCACUAGACACAAUAUGCCCCAAGAAAACAGUAGCAUUCAGCCAGAAUUCAUACUUGAAAAAUUUGGCAUACAACUUAUGGUCCUUGAGAGUCUGAAGGAUAAUUCAGAGGUGAUUGGCAUGACCCUCCUCACUCUUAGAAUAGACUAAAAUAUCAUCAAUUAAAACUAUGACGAAUAGGUCUAAAAACUGAUGAAACACUCUAUUCAUAAGGUCCAUGAAAGCUGCAAGGGCGUUAGUCAACCCGAAGGACAUGACUAAGAAUUCAGAAUGACCAUAGCGGGUAUGAAAAUCUGUUUUGGGAAUGUCUGACUCUCUAACCUUCAACUGAUGAUAUCCCGAACGAAGUUUUAUUUUUGAAAAACAUCUAGCACCCUGAAGGUUGUCAAAAAGAUCAUCAAUUCUAGGAAGAGGAUAUUUAUUUUUUACAGUGACCUUACUCAGCUUACGAUAAUCUAUGCACUUACGAAGGGAACCAUCUUUAUUUUGCACGAAGAGUACGGGUGCACCCUAGGGAGAAACAUUAGGAUGGAUAAAACCUUUGUCUAGAAGGUCUGCUAGUUGUUCUUUCAAUUCUUUCAAUUCUGCAGGAACCAUUCUAUAUGGCGGAAUAGAGAUGGAAUGGGUGUAUGGCAACAAAUCAAUACCAAACUCUAUCUCCCUAUCAUGUGGUACCCCUGGAAGAUCUUUAAAAAAAAACUUAUGGAAAUUCAUUUACCACAAGGACUGAUUGAAGAGAUGGACUCUUAAUAUUAGAAUCUUUUACUUGGAUCAGAUGAUAUAGACAACCUAUAAAAAUGACCUUACGAGCCAGUUCAUUCGGAAAGGAAAAAGUGACUCUUCGGGUUCUACAAUUUAAUGUGGCAUAACACGAAUGGAGCCAGUCCAUUCCUAAGAUAGUAUCAAAGUCAACCAUCUCAAGCUCUAUAAGGUCUGCCACCAUAUCCCUGCUAUAAAUAGAAAUAACAUAAUUCCUAUACACCCUCCUAGCCAUCACAGAAUCUCUCACCGGAGUGGAAACAGAGAAAGGUGCAACAAUUACAUCGGGCUCAAGCCCAAAACCAAUUGCCAUAUAAGGAGUCACAUAAUAUAGGGUAGACCCUGGGUCAUACAAUACAUAAACAUCAUGAGAGAAAAUCUGUAACGUACUCGUGAUAACGUUUGGCAAGGCUUCUGCCUCCUGGCGGUUUGUCAAAGCAUAUAACCAGUUGCAACCACUCCCGACAGCUGAAGUGUCUCCCUUCUGAGACUUAUCUCCACCAGCAUUCCUUUUAGUAGAAGUACAAUCUCUCUAAAAGUGACCCGACUGACCGCAUAAAUUUCAUACUAGUGAACCCAACUGACACCUCCUUAGAUGAUACCUAUCGCAAGUCUCACACCGCAGAAACGUAUGGUGUUAUUGUGCCACGCUACCCUGAGACUGGGUAUCCUGUGCCCUGGAUCCAUGAUUAGUUUGAAAAUUCUGAGUUCAUCUGUAAACCGAGGGUCUGGCCACUGGGACGCUGGCUGCGAACUGUGCACUACCCCCAAACUUUUUCUUAUACCAUUUAUUACCCCAAUUACCACUCUGCGGCUGACUGUGGCUCUGGUCAGCUGUUCUGGUCCUCUUGGCCUACCUGUCCUUCUCCCUGGACUCAGCGAUUCUCUUCUUCUACUCCUCUACCUAUUGUAUGUGGACUGUCAGUCUAGAGAAGUCCAUAUUCCUGUUUAGCAUUUCCCCCUUACAUUCAAGCACUAAGUCAUCUGAAAGGCCAGAUGCAAAUUUUCUCAUUCGGGCUCUCAUAUUACUAGACAUCUCCGGAGCAUAUUGGGCCAGUUGGUUGAACGUCAGAGUGUACUCCUUGACACUCAUUUUUCCCUACUUUAGAUUUAUAAACUCUUCUACUUUGGACUCCCUCUACUCUAAAGGAAAGAACCGAUCAAGGAAGGCUUUCAAGAACUCACCCCAUACUGUGGGCUCAGUACUCUAACCCUUCAAAUCCUCCCACUCAUUAUACCACUAAUUUGCAACUUCUUUAAGCUAUUAAGUAUCCAAUUCCACCCCUUCCACCUCGUCUACAUGUAUCACCUUGAAAAUUUUCUCUAUCUCAUCCACAAAUUCCUGUAGAUCUUCCUCUACCUUGGUGCCAGUAAACUUGGGUGGAUUCAUCUUCAUGAACUGACCCACCCUAGUAGCCUCAGAUGUAACAGGCGCAGACCCAACAUCUUCCAGUAGUUGAGUCUGUGUGGCCACUAACUUUGCAAGCGUAUGAAUGUACUAUCUGAAUUAUACAUUAGAUACCUCUUUUUCACGAGGCUGAGUGCGGUUAGUCCCCGCCGGAGAGCUCAAAGUUCCCUGGGUGGGCUGGUCUGAGUAGGUGGGACUCCCAGAGUAACAAUAGUCUCCGAAGUCUAAGCUCUAUUUUGUGUCCUCAUCCCAUGAGUGGGAUGGACCUCAUCAGUAUGGGCAUUUUGAUCGAUAAUACGAUGUGGAGGCAUGACUGUUUUCUGAAAUAUAAAAGAUCACAUAAUUAGAGGACAGAUUGGACUCUAAGGCACAAACUGAAUCACAAAGAGGGCAAACAUUCUUAAAUGCCUAGUAGCCCCCGCUUAUAAGUGUGGCGCGCUACAUACCUAUAAACAAGACUCUACCCGACACGAUUUUGCAGACACCCUGGGACCAUGAACCGUGCUCUGAUACCAAGUUUGUCACGACCCGAACUAGGACCCUAGCCAUGACGAGCAUCCUAAACCAGGAAGGCAUGGACACCCUUCUAACUUGUAAUCACAUACACUGUUCAUAUAUGUAAGAUAAUACCGAAAAUACAUAAUAAAACAGAAUCAUGGUCAUUAAAUCUGUCUUCAACUCAUAAUGAAAACUGCAAUUCAAAACAUCUGAAUGAUAUCUGACUCAAUCUGCGAAAUCUCUACUAUAUCUUAAAAUAAAACUAUCUGAAAUCUGGGACAAGGCCCCCAGUAGACCAAAACCAUAGUACUGAUAAAUAACUGUAAGACUUUAGGCCUUCUGGAAUAUAGAAGGCUCACCACUGAACUCUACUCUGAUGUUUGAAGAAUCUACUUCUUAUCAAGACCCCUAGACUGAGCCUUAGAACUUCAGAGUGAGGGGGUUCAAUACAGAUGUACUGGUACACAAAUAAAUCUAAAAAUAAAUCUUGCAUAUAAGUAAAUAGUUGAGAUCUAGUCAUAAACAUCAUGAAAUGUAUAAUUUCAAACGCAUGGGCAUUUUUGAAACACAAAACCUUUCUGUCAAUGCAAUUCUAUCCUUUAUAUUACUUCUGAGUUAGGUGGCACUUCCCUACAAGUUUGAUAUUUCAUGGACUAUAUGGAAUCCUCCAUUGACUCGGUAGGGAAGUACCCAACCCAAGUUUUCCAUAAGGGUUGGAGUGUCUGAGUCUGAUACGCCACUGGGCACUAGGCCAGCGUAGAAUAAUAUACCCGUAUCGGCAAAAUACAGCUUCGAGCAAUGAGUUGUCUGAACUUAUGCCUUUUUUUGGGAAACCAUCUAAGCUCUCUUUGUGCCCAAUUUUAUCCUGUUCUGAAUCAUGCAUUAUUCUAGUUUCUACAUCUAAAAAUCUUGUUUCAAACAUGCAUUCAAUUUUGUUUUGAAAUUUUCAUGGCAUUAUCUGCAUUGUUGUCGUCACACCAAGACUUGCAAGUCCUAUUUAUGAUCCAUAAUGUAACAUGCAUGAUUCUUUCAUUAGAACACAGUUCAGACCACCCAAACAUGCAAGUAGUAUAAGAUAUUUCAUAUUUCGAAACACAAGUCAAAACUAUGCAGAGAUUUUUCAAACAUAUGGUGGUCAUGUGUUUUUGGCAAACAUGCAACUCUUUCAUUAAACAUGUGUUCAACAUUUUAUCAGCAUGUACAACUCUCUCUUUUGAAUUCAAAAAAAAUCAUAUUCAAGUCAUAGCAAUAAUCAAGACAUUCCAUAUCAUGCUUUUCAAGAUGCAUUUCGAAACAAUUCAUAUCAUAUGAAAGAUGGAAAAAAUCAUAACAAGAGAGGGAUUCAUUAUAAUUCAUGCUCUCAAUUGAAUAUUCAUCCUUAAACAUCUGCAUACAUAUAUAUAGAAUUUCAAAUCAAUUUGGGGAAGGCCUAAAUACCAAAACAAUGUUAUCGAGACUUCUAAAACAUGAUUAUAAAUCGUAAAUCUAAAACCCUUUUCUUAACAUCAUGAUUUUCAUGCCCAUGAGAUUUUAGGAAAACCCGACGUACCUCAAUAUAAGAAUUCAAUGGGUGUUUCUUGAAGCUUACGGUCUAGAGAUUCUGAAUAUCCAAUCAAUUUCUGAAACCCACAGUUGAAUCUUGAGUUAUUUGAAUUUUGGGUUAAAACCCUAAUGAGAUGUUCUUGGUGGAUUUUGAGAAAAGUAUCAGUAAAGUGGUGUUUUGGGAGUAUAAUCCCAUGUUUGGGCGUAUUAGAAUAAGGAAAAAUUACCCAACUUCCCUUUAAGAUGCGGAUUUUAAAAAGCUGAAAUAACUAGGCAUCGACGCGAUUGGCGACGCGGCACGUCGAUGCCAUUGAUGCAUACCCAACGCGUCGCGCCUUAGUCGCGCUAAGCCUUAGUACUUUUUCCUGGCAAUUCCUGCACAAAAUUUGACCAAUGCGAUGGGUGACGCAGUGCGCCAAUAUCACAUUGGUCCACUGUUUUGGUACACCAAACAAGGUCUAAAUGUGUUUUGAAAAAUCCGAAACUCGUCCGGAAACACCUAUUGAACUCCCGGAUCAUGAACUAGCUAACAUAACGACUAUUGUGGGUUGGGAAGGUCGAAAAUAAAAUCAUCAAGAAUUUGGAGCUCAAAAAUGAGACUAAGUCUCUAUGACACUUAGAAAAAAAUUCAAAUCUUUAACUUUAUGAGCAUACUACUAAGAGCUAACGCAUGGACGACUUUUUGCGGGGUGUUACACUGCCAUUUGGUAGACAGUGUAAAUUUUCAUAUUUGGUAGAUGAUAUAAAUUUAUCCAGUACACCUUAUCCUGGGCUUAAUCUUGGGAUAUAGCCUGCCCACCUUAUCUCAUCCAACUUGACAUUAUUUUUUAUCUAAAAAUUACAUAAAUACACAACUUAUGUUUUCAAUAUUAUAAAAAAUCCCAACUCCCUAAACAUAUUACAAAAAUCCCAACAUAUACAUAGAAUGCUAUGUAUAUGUCGUUUAUGUUAGGUAUAUUAAUAGGGAGAGAGAGUAAAGUAAUUAAAAAAAUGGAAGAGAGUGUAAUUACUUCCAAAAGGGUUGAUAUUUAUGUUAUUUAUACUUAUUUUAUUUCAUAUCUCACAUGGAAUAAAUUAGUCCUUAAAUUAUAGUCCCUCGAUAAUUUAAUCCUUAUACCGAAUGAUGCUAAGCAUAUAAAAGUUACACUGUAAAUAGUGAUGCCAUUUCAAUGUGGUUAAUGUACUAUAUCUGCACAAACGAUGUUAAAAAAAAAAACAAUUACAUUUAGAAGUAAUUAAGUCAAUCUUUAUUUUUUAAAAAAGAAAACAUUAAUGGUAACUUAAUAAAAAAAAUGGAUAAUUGCAAGUAAAUUAAUUCUUUCAAGUGGUGAUUGUUGUACCAGUACAAGGUUGGUUUAACAGAUCAUUAAAGAAUGAUAUAAGCAGUAAAUGUAAAUAAAUAAGUAGCAAAAUAUGUUCAACUUCUAUAUGUACAUUUACUGUGUAAAAUAAUUUAUAACUGUCAAGUCACUAAAAAAAUUACAACUAAUCAUAACAAAAAUAGAAUUUAACAUGUUGUAGCUUCUUAAAAAUUGUAAUAUCCUUUAUUUUUAAAGUAGACGAUUUUUUACUCUAUAUGAAUGGUUGUGUAUAUCUGGUAGUGUGUUUCUCUAUCUAUCUAUCUAUCUCUAUAUAUAUAUAUAUAUUACAAGUUAUACUCACAAAAAUAUCCGAUCUUACUUUAUCUGUACAGUUGUUUUUUCAUUCAGUUUUCAAUAUUAAUAUCGAGGCUCAACUAAAUUUGGAUAUACUUAUUACAAGGCUCAUUUUUGGAGACAUCGCUACCAAUUUAGAAACCUAAGAUAAAAGGCAAUCAAAGGAAUUCAAAUCAUCCUACUACAACCCAUGUUGAUACUUUAUAUAUACGGUUGUUUUUUCUUUUAUUGUUCGAUACUAGUAUCGAGGUUCAACUAAAUUUGAAUUUGCCCAUUACAAGGAUCAUUUUUGGAGACAUCGCUACCAAUUUAGAAACCUUGGAAGAAAGGUGAUCGAAGGGAUUCAAAUCAUCCUACUACAACCCAUGCUGACACUUCAUAUAUAUAGUUGUUUUUUCAUUCUACUAGUAUCGAGGCUCAACUCAAUUUUAAUUCGCGCAUUACAAGGCUGAUUUUUUAAGACAACACUGCCAAUUUAGAAACCUUGGAUAAAAGGCGAAUAUCGAAGGGAUUCAAAUCAUCCUACUACAACCUAUGUUAACCUAUGUUGAUUCUUUAUGUAUAUACGUUUACUCAAAGCUAUAAGCAAAAAUGACUCAGUAGUGUAAAACAUGUCCAAAAAAAAGGACAGUUCAGUACAUUAAAGGUCUCGCUAUGUGCAGGGUCCGGAAAAGGACCGCACCACAAGGGUAUAUUGUACGCAGCCUUACCUUGCAUUUCUGCAAGAGGCUAUUUCCCAAACUUGAACUCGUGACCUUCUGAUCACGUGACAACAACUUUACUAGUUACUCCAAGGCUUCCCAUCAGUGUAAACUAUUAGAGUGCAUACCCUACUGAUUUUACUGUUUUACUCUAAUAGUUGACUAUCAGUGGAACAAGUCAACUAAUGUGGUUCACUGAAGUAAAAAUGAAGACAAUUAUUUUUACGUGAAAAACACCCAGCUCAAGAAAGGUGUAAAAAAUCACGACCUGCACCUCUACAGGAUUUAACCCCACUUCACUAAUACUCUUGAGCCUCAACAAUUAGCAAAUUACAAGACUUCUUGUAAACUAGGAAUUAAAGCUUCUAACUUCUGUUUCUACAAUAACACAAAUCUUUCCAAGAUAAGUGUACCCAAGUCUUCAAGUUCCCUAACUUGAAGACGCAACUCCAAAUGUCACGACCCGAACCGGUGCCCUAGCUGUCACGAGCAUCUCGAACCAGGAAGGUUCAGACGCUCUUACUUGUAAUCACAUAUACUAUUCAUAUAUGUAAGAUAAUGUGGAAAAUACAUAAUGAAAAGGAAUCAUGGUCAUUAAAUCUGAAUUCAACUCAUAAUGAAAACUGCAAUUCAAAACAUCUGAACAGUAUCUAACUCAGUCUGUGAAAUCUCUAUUAUAUGCAAAACCAACUGUCUGAAAACUGGAACAAGGCCCCUAGUAGACCAAAACAUAAUAAUGAUAAAUGACUGAAGUAAACUAGACCUUCUGAAAUAUAGAAGGAUCAUCAAUGAAACUCUGCGCUUUUGUUUGGAGAAAAUCUACUGCUUAUCGGGACCCCUAGAUUGAGCCUCAGAACAUGGAAGGGGGGUCAAUACAGAUGUACUGGUACGCGAAGAAAUCCAAAAUAAAGAUUAUAUAUAAAUAAAAUAGUUGAGAGCUAGUCAUAAACAUCAUGAAAGAUAUAAUUUCAAAAUACAUGGGAAUUUUUUAAAACACAAAACCUUUCUAUCAAUGCAAUUCUAUUCUUUAUAUUACUUCUGAGUUAGGUGGCACUCCCCUACAAGUUUGAUAUUCCACGGGCUAUAUGAAAUCCACCAUUGACUCGGUGGAGAAUCCCCCAACCCAAGUUUGCCGCAAAGGUUGGAGUGUUUGAGUCUGAUACGCCAUAGGGCACUAGGCCAAUAUAGAAUAAUAUACCCAUAUUGACAAAAUAUGAUUUCGGGCAAUGAGUUGUCUGAACUCAUGCCUUCUUCGUAGAACCACCUAAGCUCUCUUUAUGUCCAAUUUUAUUCUGUUCUGAAUUAUGCACUAUUCUGGUUUCAACAUCUAGAAAAUCUGAUUUCAAAUAUGCAUUCUAUUUUGUUCUGAAUUACCAUGGCAUUAUCUGAGUUGGUGUCGUCACACCAAGACUUGCAAGUCCUAUUUCUGAGCCAUAUUGUAUCAUCCAUGAUUCUUCCAUUAAAACUCAAUUCAAACCACCCAAACAUGCAAAAAGUAUAAGAGAUCUCAUGUUUCGAAGCAUAAGUCAAAACUAUGCAAGAAUUCUUCAAACAUAUGGGGGUCAUGUGCUUUUGGAAAAACCAUGCAACUCUUUCAUCAUAUGUAUAUUCAAAAUUUAUCAAUAUGCACAACCCUCUCUUUUGAUUCCAAAAUCAUAUUCAAGUCAAAGUAUAAAUCAAGACAUUUCGUAUAAUGCUUUUCAAGAUGAAUUUCAAAACAAUCCAUAUCAUAUGAAAAAUAGGAAUAAUCAUAUCAAGAGAGGAAUUUCAUAUGAGUCAUGCUCUCAAUUAAAAUAUCCACUUGAAACACAUUCAUGCAUAUUCAUAUAAUUUCAAGUCAAUUUGGGGGAAGGCCUAAAGACCAAAACAAUAAUAAACAAGGCUUCUAAAACAUGCUAGUAAUCGUAAAUUCAAACCCUUUUCGAAAAAGUCAUGAUUUCUAAAUCCUUUGCAUAAUUACAUGAAGAUUUCUAUGCCCAUAAAAUUUUAGGAAAACCCUACGUACCUUAAUUUAGAAAUUUAUUGUAUGAUUCUUGACGCCUACUAUUUGGGGAUUCCAAAUCUUCAAUCAAUUUCUAAAACUCACGGUUGAAUCUUGAGUUAUUUAGAAAUUUGGGUUAAAACCCUUAGGAAUGUUCUUGAGUAAUUUGGGUGAAAAUAACCUUAUUUGGGUAUUUAGGUAUAUUAAUCCCGUUUUAGGGCUGAAAAGAGAUGGGGAAAAUGACUAAUUUACCCCUUAGGAUGCAGAAAUUUUAAAGUUGAAAACUAGGCAUCAACACUGCAGGCAACGCAGCGCGUUAGGGCAUCAACGCGAUACUCGACGCGUCGCGCCACCAUUGCGUUGAGCCUCAGUACUUUUCCUGCACAAAAAUUAACCAAUGCGAUGGGCGACGCUGCACGCUAAGAUCGCAUUGGUCCACUAUUUUGAAACAUCAAAUGAGGUCUAAACAUAUUUUGAAAAAGCCAAAACUCAUCCGGGAAUACCUAUUGAACUCCCAGAUCAUGAACUAGCUAACAUAACGACUAUUGAGGGUCGGGAAGGUCAAAAAUAAAAUCGUCAAGGAUUUAGAGCUAAAAAAUGAGACUAAGUCUCUUUGACACUUAGAAAAAAAUAUUCUAAUUUUCAACUCUAUGAGCAUACAACUAAGAGCUAACACAUGUAUGACUUUUGUGGGGCGUUACAUUAUCCCCCUUGGGAUCAUUCAUCCCCGAAUGAUGACGCGGAAAAUACAAACUAGCACAAUUUCAAGCAUACUAAGGACACAGGAAAAAAUAAAGCAAAGAUCGUACCUUCCGUCUCAUCAUUCACUAGAUCAAAUAGGUUUGGGUAUCUUGCUCGCAUGUCAUCUUCUGAUUCCCAAGUGUCUUUCUCAAUUUUCUGAUUUCUCCACAACACCUUGACCGAAGCUAUAUCUUUGCUCCUCAACUUUCGAACUUAGCGAUCCAAAAUUGUAAUAGGCUCUUCUUCAUAUGAUAAGGAGUCUAUCACUUUGAUCUCCUCUAUAGGCAAUACUAGAGAAUGGUCUCCAAUACACUUUUUCAACAUGAACACAUAAAAUAUCGGAUGGACAGAUCCCAGAUCAGCAGGUAACUCUAACUCAUAUGCAACUUCACUUAUUCGUCUCACAAUCUGGUAUGGCCCUAUGUAGCGAGGACUCAAAUUACCUUUCUUCCCGAAUCUCAUGACUCCCUUCAUAGGGGAGACUUUGACAAAUACCCAAUCACCAACCUCAAAUUCCAACUCCCUUAUUCUAACAUUGGCAUAGGAUUUCUAUCUACUCUGAGCUAUUUUAAAUCGUUCUCUAAUAAUUUUCACAUCCUUCAUUUCUUGCUGAACAAGAUCAGGCCCAAACAACUGAUUCUCACCCACUUCAUACAACCCUAUUAGCGACCUACAUCUCCUUCCAUACAAUGCCUCAAAAGGAGCCAUCUUAAUACUGGCAUAGUAGCUAUUAUUAUACGAAAACUCUAUCAAUGGCAAGUGAUCUACCCAACUACCUUUGAAUUCAAUCACACAAGCUCUCAACAUAUCUUUAAGGGUCUGAAUAGUAUGUUCGGCUUGCCCAUCCAUCUAAGGGUGGAAAGUCGUGCUCGGGUUCACUUGGGUACCUAAAUCCCUCUAAAACGAUCUCCAAAACUGUGAAGAGAAUUGCAUACCUUGGUCAGAUAUGAUGGACACAGUUGCCCAAUGCAAACAGACUAUCUCCUCAAUGUAUAUCUUGCCAUAGUCAUCUCUUGAAUAAUUAGUCCUCACAGGCAGAAAGUGAGCUGGCUUGAGAAAUCCAUAUUGAUCAUCUCCCACUUUCAUAAAGGCAAAGCUAUCCCUUGAGAAGUACCUCCUAGCCUCAAAUGCUCUACUUUAACUUGUUGGCAAUUCAAACACUUGGAAACAUAGUUAGCCAUAUCACGCUUCAUGUUAUUCCACCAAUAUAUAGAUUUUAAAUCAUGAUACAUAUUAGUAGAGCCUGGGUGGACAACAUAACUCAAAGUAUAAGCUUCAUCAAGGAUUAUUUUCCACAGACUAUUUACAUCUGGAACACACAAUCUACCCUGAUAUCUCAGAAUACCAUCACCACCAAUUUCGAAGGACAUCACCUUCUGUUAACCCACAUCUUUCUUGAUCUAUAUCAAGAUGGGAUAUUCAACCUAUUUUUCCUUAACCUCUGCACAAAGGGAUGAUUUAGCUAUUUCAUGAACAAUCACACCCCCAUCUUCAAAACCCAAGAGUCGGACCCCUAGAUUUGCAAGUCGGUGAAUAUCCUUCACCAUCUCUCUCUUCCCUUUCUCAACAUGAGAGAGAAUACCCUUCUAUAACCUAUUGAGAGCGUCGACUACCACAUUCUCCUUGCCCGGAUGAUAGUACAGGCUCAUAUCAUAAUCCUUCAAAAGCUCCAACCAAUGUCUCUUCUUGAGGUUCAGUUUUUUCUAUAAGAAAACAUACUGCAAACUCUUGUGGUUAGUAAAUAUAUCAACAUGCACCCCGUAAAGAUAAUGCCACUAGAUCCUAAGCGAAAACACCACAGCCGCUAACUCCAAGUCAUGAGUAGGGUAAUUUCGCUCAUGCACUUUCAACUGCCUAAAUGCAUAAGCCACCACCUUACCGUGCUGUAUAAGUACAUACCUAAGUCCCAUUCGGGAUGCAUCACAGUACACAACAAAAACUUUAGUACCUUUCAGAAAAGUCAAAAUGGAAGUAGUGGUCAAAUUAUCUUUCAACUUCUCAAAACUAUUCUCACAAAAGUCAGACCACACAAACUUUACCUUUUUCUAUGUCAACUUAGUAAGUGGUAUAGCUAUGGAGGAAAAACUCUCUACGAACUGAGUCUGGGCCAUCUUUUCACUACCUCAACCUUUUAGGGGUCAACCUUAAUUCCAUCACUAGGCACAAUAUGCCCCAAGAAAGCAAUAGCAUUCAGCUAGAAUUCACACUUGGAAAAUUUUGCAUACAACUUAUGAUCUUUGAGAGUCUAAAGGAUAAUUCGGAGGUGGUUGGAAUGGUCCUCCUCACUCUUAGAAUAGACCAAAAUAUCAUCAAUUUAAACUAUGACAAACAAAUCCAGAAACUAACUGAACACUCUAUUCAUUAGGUCCAUGAAAUCUGUAGGGGCGUUAGUCAACCCGAAGGAUAUGACUAAGAAUUCUUAAUGAUCGAAGCAGGUUCAAAAAGCUAUUUUAGGAAUAUCUGACUCUCUAACCUUCAUCUGAUGAUAUCCCGAAUAAAGGUCAAUUUUUGAAAAACAUUUAGCACCUUGAAGUUGGUCAAAAAGAUCAUCAAUCCUAGGAAGAGGAUAUUUAUUUUUAAUAGUAACCUUAUUCAGCUGGCGGUAAUCUAUGCACAUACGAAGGGAACCAUCUUUCUUUUGCCCGAAGAGUACAAGUACACCCCAGGAAGAAAUACUAAGAAGGAUAAAACCUUUAUCUAUAAGGUCUGCUAGGUGUUCUUUCAAUUUUUUCAGUUCUGCAGGGGCCAUUCUAUAUAGCAGAAUAGAGAUGGGAUGGGUGACUGGCAACAAAUCAAUACCAAACUCUAUCUCCCAAUCAGAUGGUACCUCUAGAAGAUCUUCGGGAAAGACUUCUGGAAAUUCUUUUACCACAGAGACUUAUUGAAAAGAUAGACUCUUAAUAUUAGAAUCUUUUACUUUGAUCAGAUGAUAUAGACAACCUUUGGAAAUGAGCUUACGAGCUCUAAGAUAGGAUAUAAAGUUCCCUCUAGGUGCUAAAGAAUAACCCUCCCACUCUAUGAUUGGUUCAUUCGGGAAAGAGAAAGUGACUCUUUGGGUCCUAUAAUUUAGAGUGGCAUAGCACGAAUGAAGCCAAUCUAUCCCUAAGAUAGCAUCAAAGUCAACCAUUUUAAGCUAUAUAAGGUCUGCCAUAGUAUCCUGACUAUAAAUAGACACAAUACAAUUUCUAUACACCCUCCUAACCAUAACAGAAUCUCCCACCGGAGUGGAUAUAGAGAAAGGUUCAACAGUCACAUCGGGCUCAAACCCAAAUCCAAUGGCCACAUAAGGUCCAGGGAUCAAGCAACACGUACAUAUCAUGAGAAAGAUUUGUAAUGUACCCAUGACUACUCUGGGGAAGCUUCUGCAUCCUGACGGUUGGUCAAAGCAUAUAACCGGUUGAGAUAGCUACCGACAGCUGAAGUGGUGCCCUUCUAAGGCGGCGGUGGUGCGGAAGAAUGUGCCUGAGACUUAGCUCCACCAACAUUCCUUCUAGAAGAAGGACAAUUUCUCUGAAAGUGACCCGACUGACUGCAUGAAUAGAAUACUAGUAAACCCAGCUGGCACCUCCCUGGAUGGUGCUUGCCGCAAUCUCACACCGUGGGAACGUACGGUGCUGCAGUGCCAUGCUACCCUGAGACUUGGUAUCCUGUGCCCUAGAUCCAUGAUUAGUUUGAAAAUUUUGAGUUCGUCUGUCAAUCGAGGGUCUGAGCACUGGGGCACUGGCUGCAGACUGUGCACUACCCCAAACUUCUUCUACUACCACCUAUUACCCCAAUUACUACUCUACGGUUGGUUAUGGCUCUAGUCGAUUGUUCUGGCCCUCUUGGCCUGCCUGUCCUUCUCCCUGGACUCAGCGAUUCUCUUCUUCUGCUUCUCUUUCUGCUGCAUGUGGACUGUCAGUCUAGAGAAGUCCAUAUCCAUGUUUAACAUUGGCCCCUUACAUUCAAGCACUAAGUCAUCUGAAAGGCCAGAUGCAAAUUUUCUCAUUCAGGCUCUCAUAUUACCAGCCAUCUCCAGAGCAUAUCAAGCUAGUUGGUUGAACUUCAUAGUGUACUCCUUGACACUCAUUUUCCCUGCUUUACGUUCAUAAACUCUUCAUCUUUGGCCUCCCUCAACUCUAGAGGAAAGAACCAAUCAAGGAAGGCUUUCACAAACUCGCCCCAUACUAUGGGCUCAACACUCUCACCUUUCAAAUCCUCUUACUCAUUAUACCACUGAUUAGUAACUUCUUUAAGCUGAUAAGAUGCUAAUUCCACCCCUUCUACCUCAUCUACAUGCAUCACCUUUAAAAUCUUCUCCAUCUCAUCCAUAAAUUCCUGUGGAUCCUCCUCUACUUUGGUGCCAGUAAACUUGAGUGGGUUCAUCCUCAUAAACUGACCCAACCUAGUAGCCUCAGAUAUGAUAAAUGCAAACCCAGCAUCUCUCGACCAUUGAGUCUGUGUGGCCACCAACUUCGCAAGUAUAUGAAUGGACAGUCUGAAUUCUGCAUUAGAUACCUUUCUCUCACGAGGUUGAGUUUAUUUAGUCCCUAUCCGAGGAGCGUGAGGUGCCCUGGGUGGGUUAGUCUGAGUAGGUAGGACUCCCGGAGCAACAACAGUCUCCAGAGUCUGAGCUCUAUUUUGUUUCCUCAUCCCAUGAGUGGGAUGGACCUUAUUAUUCUAGGUAUUUUGAUCGAUAACACGACGAGGAGGCGUGGCUGCUUUUUCUGAAAUACAAAAGAUCAUAUGAUUAGAGGACAGAUUGGACUCUAAGGGACGAACUGAAUUACAAAAAAGGGAAAUAUUCCUAAACGCCUAGUAGCCUCCCGCUUAUAAGUGUGGUGUACUACACACCCAUAAACAAGACUCUACCCGACAAGAUUUCACAGACACCCUACGACCAUGAACCGUGCUCUGAUACCAAGUUUUUCAUGACUCAAACUAGGGCGCUAGCCGUGAUGAGCAUCCCGAACUAGGAAGGCUCGGACGCCCUUCUCACUUGUAAUCAUAUACACUGCUCAUAUAUGUAAGAUAAUGUGGAAAAUACAUAAUGAAAUGGAAUCAUAGUCAUUAAAUCUGAAUUCAAAUCAUAAUGAAAACUGUAAUUCAAAACAUUUGAAUGAUAUCUGACUCAGUCGGCAAAAUCUCUACUACAUGCAAAACUAACUUUCUGAAAACUGGGACAAGGCCUCCAGUAGACCAAAACAUAAUAAUGAUAAAUGACUAAAGUAAACUAGGCCUUCUGAAAUAUAGAAGGCUCACUAACGGAACUCUGCUCUUCUGUCUGGAAAAAAUCUACUGCUUAUCAGGACCCCUAGAUUGAGCCUCAGAACUUGGAAGGGAAGGAGUCAAUACAGAUGUACUAGUACGUGAAGAAAUCCAAAAUAAAGCUUAUAUAUAAGUAAAAUAAUGUUCGUAAACAUCAUGAAAUAUAUAAUUUCAAAACGCAUGGGCAUUUUUGGAAACACAAAACUUUUCUGUCAAUGCAAUUCUAUUCUUUAUAUUACAUCUGAGUUAGGUGGCACUCCCCUAUAAGUCUGAUAUUCUGCGGGCUAUAUGAAAUUUGCCAUUGACUCAGUGGGGAAUCCCCCAACCCAUGUUUGCUGCAAUGGUUGGAGUGUCUGAGUCUGAUACACCAUAGGUCACUAGGCCAGUGCAGAAUAAUAUACCCAUAUUGGCAAAACACGGUUUCAAGCAAUGAGUUUUCUGAACUCAUGCCUUAUUCGGGGAACCACCUAAGCUCUUUUUAUGCCCAAUUUUAUCCUAUUCUGAAUCAUGCAUUAUUCUAGUUUCAAUAUCUGGAAAAUUUGAUUUCAAACAUCCAUUCUAUUCAGUUCUAAAUUACCAUGGCAUUAUCUGCGUUGGUGUCGUCACACCAAGACUUGCAAGUCCUAUUUCUGAGCCAUUUUGUAUCAUGUAUGAUUCUUCCAUUAAAACUCAAUUCAGACCACCCAAACAUUCAAAUAGUAUAAGAGAUUUCAUGUUUCAAAGCAUAAGUCAAAACUAUGCAAGAAUUCUUCAAACAUAUGUGGGUCAUGUGCUUUUGGCAAAACCAUGCAAAUCUUUCAUUAUAUGCAUAUUCAACAUCUAUCAACAUGCACAACCCUCUCUUUUGAUUCCAAAAUCAUAUUCAAGUCAUAGUAUAAAUCAAGACAUUUCGUAUCAUGCUUUUCAAGAUGCAUUUCAAAACAAUACAUAUCUAUGAAAAAUGGGAAAAAUCAUAUCAAGAGAGGAAUUUCAUACGAGUCAUGCUCUCAAUUAAAAUAUCCACUUGAAACACAUUCAUGCAUAUUCAUAUAAUUUCAAGCCAAUUUGGGGUAAGGUCUAAAGACCAAAACAAUAAUAAUCAAGGCUUCUAAAACAUGCUAGUAAUCGUAAAUUCAAACCCUUUUCGUAAAAGUCAUGUUUUCUAAAUCCUUUGCAUAAUUACAUGAAGAUUUCUAUGCCCAUGAAAUUUUAGAAAAAUCCUAAGUACCUCAAUUUAGGAAUUUAUUGGAUGAUUCUUGACGCCUACGGUUUGGGGAUUUUAAAUCUUCAAUCAAAUUCUAAAACUCACGGCUGAAUCUUGAGUUAUUUAGAAAUUUGGGUAAAAAUUCUUAGGAAUGUUCUUGAGUAAUUUGGGUGAAAAUAAUCUUAUUUUGGUAUUUGUGGAUAUUAAUCCCGUGUUAGGGAUGAAAAGAUAUGGGAAAAUGACUAAUUUACCCCCUAGGACACAGAAAUUUUAAAGCUAAAAACUGGGCAUCGACGUUGCACACAACGCGGCGUGUUAGGGCAUCGAUGCGAUACUCGACGCGUUGUUCCACCAUCGCAUCGAGCCUCAGUACUUUUCCUGCACAAAAAUUGACCAAUGCGUUGGGCGACACGGCACGCCAAGAUCGCGUUGGUCCACUAUUUUUGGAACAUCAAACGAGGUCUAAACGCAUUACAAAAAAUCCAAAACUCAUUCGGGAACACCUAUUGACUUCCCAGGUCAUGAACUAGCUAAAAUAACAACUAUUGAGGGUCGUAAAGGUCAAAAAUAAAAUCGUCAAGUAUUUGGAGCUCAAAAAUGAGACUAAGUCUCUUUGACACUUAGAAAAAAAUAUUCUAAUUUUCAACUCUAUGAGCAUACAACUAGGAGCUAACACAUGUACGACUUUUGUGAGGCGUUACACCUAACUCGGUUUAUAAUUUACUGAGACUAGAAAAAAGAUUCAUUACAACUUAUAGAACCUACCUAUUACACAGGAUCUAUGACUUGCUAAGAAUAAGACUAGGUUCUUCUUCAAGUUAGUGAACUUGUUUGCUGAUUGAUGAUUUUAUUGUUCAGUGCAUGAAUGAAAAACUUAAAUGUCGUUUGUUGUAUUUAAGACAACUCCUGAUUGAGUCCUUUAGAUAAUGUAUUCUUCUAUCUUCAAUACGACUCUACCAGGUAGUUUCAUUCCUUGUUGCAGCCGACUCUCUCUUCUUGUUGAAUAAAACUCUUCUACUUUAUUCCAUAGUCUGGCAGGACUCCUUGAUCAACUCAAUCUCUAAGUGUUGGAUUUAUCUUCUCUUUUUCAUCCUCUUUGCUGCAUGUGAUAUGCAUGAGAACUUAAGUUACUUUACUUGUUUAUCCACUCCCAUCUUUACACCUUAUCAGCCUUAUAUCGGCUUUAAUGUGAAAUACAUGUAAGGACCAAUAGCUUCUCGUUCUAUACUUGCAUGGACCAACUUGCACAACAUGUUUCAUUCAUAUGUCCAUCAUCAAAACUUCAAAUUCUAACAUAAACAGGUUGAAAACAAAAAUGACCUAGUAGUGUAAACAAGGGCGAACCUACAGCCUAUUUUUUGGUGCUCCGAUACCCAUUAAAUUCGAUGCAAACUAGGUAUAAUUAUAUAAAAAUUGGUAUAAGGUUUAGAAAUACACCUAGUGAAUGAAGAGGAUAAUUGUGUUUUAGUUUGCAAGUGGAACCUUAAAGCUUUGGGCAUUAAUAUACGUAUUCGAACCUUUUGAACACCCAAAAACCCUAAAUUCCGACUCCGCCACAAGGUGUAAAACAUGUCUAUAUAUAUAAAUUGAAAUUAUACUUUGCAAAAAUAUAAUAACUAUUAUUACCUGAGCAUGUUUGGCUCUAACAUAAGGUCCAUCACCAGAAGUAACUUUAUGAAACACAUGAAAUUGUUCUUUUUCCUUUUUUCUCCUUCUUUGUACUAACAACUUCCACUUCCAUGUUUCUUUUAGUUCUCUUCUUUGAUGUAUAUAUGAAGAUAAAGUACUAUAUUUUAUGAAAAGAAAUUGGAGUAUAUAUAAUAAUAUAGUUACUACAAAAAUAGUACUAAUGGUAGUAGUAUGUAAAAAUCUGAGAAAUUAACAAAAUAGUCCUUUAUGUUUGGGAGUAAGUUUGCAAUCAACCUUAAAGUAGGGGUGUACAUAGGUCGGGUUGGUUUGUUUUUUAUUAAAAAAAAUGAAACCAAUCAUAUCGGUUUAUUAAAACUAUAAACCAAAUCAAACCAACAUAAAAUUGGUUUUUUCGGUUUAGGUUUUGGUCGAUUUUUUUGAUUUUUCAGUUUUUUUCGAUUUUUUUAUAAUCUUUAGUUUUUACAAUUAUAUUGUGAUUGAACACAAGAUUAAAUAUGUUUUCACACAUGUGCUAAUGAAAAACUAUAAUUAUGAAAAAAUAAGGAGAGAAAAACUCUCUUGAAACUAUAAAGUGAGAUGAAGAAUGAAAAGUUUAGGUUUUAAGUUUAUAUUGGAUUUUCGAUCAUUUAAUUAGCAAUUAAUGAACAAAUAUUACAACUUAAAGGCCCAAAUAUAAAUAUAUAUCUACAUCUACUUUCAAAUUAUUGAAAAUUACUAAAACUAAUUGAAAAAGUAUUUAAAAAGUAGAUUAUGAUUAAUAUUUUAUGUAUAAAAAAGUUUGAAUACUAUAUCUAUGCUAUAUUAAAAGUGUGAAGGGUCUUAAAAAUGACGUUUGAACACCAAAAAUGGUCGGAUUUUUUUCUAACAUCAAAUCAAUCAAACCAAACCAUAAGUUGGUUUAUUUUCUUGGUUUAGUUUGGUUCAUCGGUUUGGUUUGACUUGACGGUUUGGUCUGUACACCCCUACCCUAAAGUAUGCUCUAAACAAUUUUGGUCCUUUAAGUUUAUCAGAAGCUAAUACGUUUAGUCUUCGUUAAAUAUUUAACAACCUUCGUCUACUCAAUUUGAAAAAGAUUUUUUGACAGAAAUUCGUAUUUGGAGGUAUAUUUUUUGGUAAUUUCUGCUAUUUUUUUUAUGUCUUUCUAUAAUUUGAUGGUGUAGUUUUUAUGUGCAAUUUAUGUUAUACUUUGAUGUUUUCGGGUACAAGAAUCUGUAUUUAGGCACAAAUUUAACAAUAGUUCAAGUUUAAAACAAGAACAAUAUGAAGUAUAAAAACACCCUUAACCCAAGAUCAAAGUGAUCUUUCUAAGAAGUGUAUUCUAUUUUUCAGAAAUUAAGAUGAAACAGAAAUAUAAAGCCAAGUUCCCCGACUUCACGGAGUGUCCUUAAGGAAUAAUUCCCCUCACUGUACCCAAGGUUUUGGAAUCUUCCUCCUAGGAUAAAAAUGGCUUUCAAUCCAACUAUAGUGGCACCUCAAAUAAUUGGAUUUGUUGAACUCACUCAAUGAUUUGAUUGAUCACAAAGAAUGUUUUGAAGACAAGAAGAGUUUUUAUUUCAAAAAAAAUUUUCAUUCAUUUCUAAACCUAUGAAAGCAGGUUUAUAGAGUCAUCAGAUCCCUCUUCUGAAAGGUGGCAAUGGUUCACUUAAAAGGUGUAUCAUUUGGAAGAGUCAUGUCUGUUCAUUCAAAAUAUUGUGUCUUUUUUUAACAGACACAACUAUCUGAACAGUCACACCUUUUCUAAAACAAUAUGUCUUCUUCUCAAAGGUUGUGUCCCUCCAUUUUCCAUUCAUACCAAUUAAAUCCAACAAUCCCCCACAUGAAUGGGGAAUGGCUAUUCUUUAUAAAAGUUUACGGAAAAGUAUGUGAUCAUCAAGCAAAGACUGAUUGCAUCUGGAUAAGUAGGUUUCCUUUUGAACUUUCCAUAGUGAAUAUACAUCGGAUGCACUCGGUCAAUCGGUAGAUUUGAUAUCUUUGAACCGUCGAGUUUUAGUGUACACCUAGAUAACACAUGUCACACAACCAGUCUUUUAUCGUUUAUGGUUCUCACGAUUUUGUUUUUUCAGCCAUGAAUACGUCCCGGUUUUAUGAGAGCUUAGAGAAUAGGCCUUUACUAACAUUCUCCUUGAAGCGGCUUCCACUUCUCCCUCACAUAGGUGAUUUUUAUACGUUCAAUCCUAUAGAUUAAACUAUUUUGUCAAAUUUGCCAAAUUUAGAUAAUCAUUAAAAGUCUUUUCACUUUAAGUCCUAUCCUUGUUUACUAUACAUUGUCUACAUCAUGAGAAUGGGUUGGGUAUUGACAAUGUUGAACCUGUCAGACACAACUUUGUUUGAUCUCUUUGAACCUAGCUCUUGGGAUCUCCAGUCUUCUAGGUAGAGUUACCGCCAUGCUAACUCGUCCUAGGCCAUAAACUCAUUUCCUUGGAUGUCCUUUCCACUUCUUCUCUUGAUAGGCCUUUUUUUAGUGGAUCCAACACAUUAUCCUUUGACUUUACAUAGUCAAAAGUGAUAAUUCUACUAAAGAGAGUUCCCUAAUAGUAUUAUGUCUCCAUCGUAAGUGAUGACAUUUACCAUUGUACAUUAUGCUCUUUGCCCUACUUAUUGCCGCUUGGCUAUCAUAGUGUAUGCAUAAUGGUUCCACUGGUUUGGGCCAAUAAAGAAUAUCUUCUAAGAAAUUCCAAAGCCAUUCUUCUUCUUCACCAGCUUUAUCCAAUGCGAUAAAUUCAGAUUCCAUUGUAGAGCGAGCAAUACAAUUCUAUUUGGAUGAUUUCACAGAGACUGCUCCUCCACCGAUAGUAAAUACAUAUCCACUUGUGGAUUUUACUUCGCUUGAUCUAGUGAUCCAAUUUGCAUCACUAUAUCCUUCAAGUAUCGCAGGAUAUUUAUUAUAAUGCAAGGCAUAGUCUUGAGUGUUUUAAGAUACUCCAAAACUCUUUUCAUUGCCAUCCAAUGAGUUUUUUUGGGAUUACUCGUGUACCGACUCAAUUUACUAAUAGCGCAUGCUAUGUCUGGUCAUGUACAAUUCAUUAUAUACAUUAAACAUCCCAAUACUCUUGCGUACUUCAAUUGUGAGUCACUUUUACCUUCAUUCUUUCAAAGUGCAAAGCUCACAUCCAAAGGAGUCUUGGCAAUACCGAAUUUUAUAUACUUAUAUUUGUCAAGUACCUUUUCGAUAUAGUGAGACUGUGACAAUGCCAACCCUUGUGGAGUUCUAUGAAUUCUUAUACCUAAGAUCACAUCCGCAACUCUAAGGUCUUUCAUAUGAAACUUGCUCUCGAGCAUUAGCUUCAUUGCAUUUAUGUCAGAAAUAUCUCUACUGAUGAUCAACAUGUCAGCCAUAUAUAAACAAAUAAUGACUUGAUAAUUUUGAGUGUCUUUAAUAUAAACACAUUUAUCUUGAACCCAUUUUCCAAUAUGGUUUGGUCAAACUCCGCAUGACAUUGUUUAGGUGCUUGCUUUAGUUGAUACAAUGACUUAAUAAGUUUACACAUCUUACUGUCCUUCCCUGGAACCACAAAACCCUCAGGCUGUUCCAUGUAAAUUUCUUCCUCCAAUUCUCCAUUAGGAAUGUGGUUUUCAUAUCCAUUUGAUGGAUUUCAAGACCAUAUACCGUCGCCAAGGCAAUUAACAUUCGAAUCGAUGUUAUCCUUGCUACUGGCAAGUAUGUAUUAACAUUCGAAUCGAUGUUAUCCUUGCUACUAGCAAGUAUGUAUCAAAGUAAUCAAGACCUUCUUGUUGUUUGAAGCCUUUUACUACAAGUUUUGCCUUGUAUUUGUCAAUAGUACCAUUUGCUUUUAUUUUUCUUUUGAAGAAAUAUUUAGAACCUAAAGGUUUAUUUCCUGGAGGAAGAUCAACCAAUUCCCAUAUAUGGUUGCUUAAGAUUGAAUCAAUCUCACUAUUGACUACCUCUUUCCAAAAGGAUGAGUCUGAAGAUGUCAUCGCUUCCUUAAAUGUUUGAGGCUCAUUUUCUUUGACGUGUACUACAUCUUGGAUUUUCUUCAUUAUGUAUAUUCUCACUUGGUUCAUCUCGAGAUCAUUUAGACCCCCCUACUAGACUAUUCAUGUCUAGUUUUAUACGGAUAAAUAUUUUUAAAAAAUUCAGCAUUAUUUGAUUCAAUUACCAUAUUUUCAUUAAUAUCCGGAUGAUCAGAUUUAUGAACCAAAAAUUGACAUGCUUUACUACUUUUUGCAUAUUCUAUGAACACGCAGUCCACCGUCUUAGGUCCUAUCUUAAUCCUUUUAGGCAUAGGAACUUGAAACUUCGCUAGACACCCCCACACUUUAAAAUAUUUCAAGUUGGGUUUCUUUUCUUUCCAUUUUUCAUAAAGAAUUGAUUGUGUCUUACUAUAGGGAACUCUAUUGAGUAUACGGUUGGCUGUAAGGAUAGCCUCCCCCCACAAGUUUUGCGGUAAACCAGAACUUAUAAGUAAGGCAUUCAUCAUUUCCUUUAAAGUUUAAUUUUUCUUUCCGCAAUUCCAUUAGAUUGAGGUGAAUACGGGACCGUAGUUUGAUGAACGAUUUCAUUCUCUACACAUAUUUCAGCGAAAGGAGAUUUAUAUUCUCUGCCCCUAUCACUUCUUAUCAUUUUUAUCUUUUUAUCUAAUUGGUUUUCAACUUCAGUUUUGUAUUGCCUAAACGCAUCUAUUACUUCAUCCUUACUGUUUAGCAAGUAGAUGUAAUAGUAUCUAAUGCAAUCGUCAAUAAAAGUUAUGAAAUACUUUUUCCCACCACAUGAUAGUGUUGACUUCAUAUCACAAAUGUCAGUGUGUAUUAAGUCUAAAGGAUUGGAAUUCCUUUCAAUGGACUUAUAAGGAUGCUUUGCAUACUUUGAUUCUACACACAUUUGGCACUUUGAUUUAUUGCACUUAAAUUUUGGCAAAACUUCUAAGUUGAUCAGUUUACGCAAUGUUUUGUAAUUAACAUGGCCUAAACGCUCAUGCCAUAAAUCAUAAGACUCAAGCAAAUAAGAAGAAUUUGAACUUUUAUUGAUUUCAACAGUCAUUACAUUCAUCUUAUAAAGGCCCUCGGUGAGAUAGCCUUUCUCUACAUACAUUUCUCAUUUGCUAAUUACAAUUUUUUCAGAAACAGUUACAUAUUUGAAUCCGUUCUAGUCUAGAAGUGAAACAGAAAUUAAGUUCCUAUAUAACUCCGGAACAUACAAGACAUUGUUAAGUGUCAAGACCUUUCCUGAAGUCAUUUUCAAGCAUAUUUUUCCUGUUCUUUCUACCUUAGCAGUAGAGGAGUUAGCCAUGUAGAUCAUUUCUUCUACUUGAGCCAGAGCGAAUGACGAAAACAACUCUUUGUUGGCACAAACAUGGCGGGGGGUACUAGAAUCUAUCCACCAAUCACGAGGAUUCCCCACCAAGUUACAUUCUGAAAGCAUAGCACACAGAUCAUCACAUUCUUUGUUGGACUCAAUCAUAUUUGCUUGAUCUUUAUUCUUGCCUUUCUUUGGGGCACGACAAUUCAUGGACUUGUGGCCAAUCUUGCCACAAUUAAAGCAUUUACCCUUGAAUUUCUUCUUGGGUUGAUUGCUUCUUUGUUCAACUUUCUUCCUUUUCUUAGAAUUAUUUUGGUCAUCUUCCACAAUAUGUGCUCCAUUAAUUGCAGAAUUCCCUUUUGAACUUUUUUCAGCAGCUUUAUUAUCCUCUUCAAUACGUAGUCAGACAAUUAGAUUUUUGAUAGCCAUCGCCUUGCAUUUAUGCUUCAAGUAGUUUUUGAAGUCUUUCGACAUUGGUGGUAGCUUCUCAAUUAUCGCUGCUACUUGGAAUGCAUUAUUCACAAUCAAACCUACAAAACAGUUUAUGUGAGUACUAAGAAUAUUUUUAAUUUGUUCAACAAAGAUAUUUUGCAAAGAUAUACCUUAUGCUAGGAGAUCAUGAAUGAUUACUUGCAAUUCUUGCACUUGAGAGAUAACCGAUUUGCUAUCUAUUAUUUUAAAGUCUAGGAACCUUGCAACAAAGAAUUUCUUAAUUUCCACAUCCUCUGUCUUAUAUUUUCGUUCAAGUGUCCCCCACAAUUGCUUCGAUGUCUUAGUUCUACUAUAAACAUUAUAAAGGUCGUCUUGGAGACCACUUAAGAUAUAAUUCCUGCAAAGGAAAUCUGAGUGUUUUCAAGCCUCUACAAUCAUGAAACGCUCUUUUUCCGAGGUUCCCUCGGACACCUCAGGAGCAUUCUCAGUAGUGAACUUUUGAAGACAUAGUGUUGUGAGGUAGAAGAACAUCUUCUGCUGCCAUCGCUUAAAGUCAAUGGCCAUAAAUUUUCCGAGCUUCUCCACAGGUACCAUUGAUUGCGGAUCAUUUGCUUGACUUGUUGAGGCAAUACUAGUUGCCCCCACAGUCGUAGCCGCAUCUUGCAUUUGACUUUCGUUAGUCAUUUUUCCUGUCACCACAAGACAAUAAAAUUUAGUAUUUUCAGAAUGUUACUUAUAAAGUUAAGCAACUUUAAACUCUUCUUCUUGUUUCUAGUUAACAAUGAAGUUUUUAUGACUUUCAAUUGUCAACCGAGUGUUUUUUAACUUGUGAUGUAGAUUUUAUGUCUUCAAAUCACUAGUUAAAUUCAAACGGAGUAGAAAGCUUAAAGCUUUAGUCUCCAAAAACAAGCAAUACAGAUUUUGUAAAAAAUUAUUCCUUAAGAUUGUUAUUUUAUGUAGUGUUUUCGGGUACACGAAUCUGUAUUUAGGCACAACAACUUCAACACUAGUUCAAGUUUAAAACAAGAACAAUAUGAAGUACAAAAACACCCUCAACACAAGAUCAAACUGAUCUUUCUAAGAAGUAUGUUUAAUUUUUUCAGAAAUUCAGAUGAAACAGAAAUAUAAAGCCAAGUCCCCCAACUUCACGGAGUGUCCUUAAGGAAUAAUUUCCCUCACUGUUCUCGAGGUUUUGGAAUCUUCUUCCCAGGAUAAAAUGGCUUUCAAUCCAACUAUAGUGGUACCUCAAAUAAUUGGAUUCGUCGAACUCACUCAACGAUUAGAUUAAUCAAAAAGAAUGUUUUGAAGACAAGAAGAGUUUUUAUUUCAGAAAUAUUUGUCAUUCAUUUCUAAACCUGUGGAUAAAAGCAGGUUUAUAUAGCCAUCAGAUCCCUCUUCUGAAAGGUGGCAAUGGUUCACUUGAAAGGUGUAUCAUUUGGAAGAGUCAUGUCUGUUCAUUCGAAACAUUGUGUCUUUUCUGAACAAACACAACUAUCUGAACAGUCACACCUUUUCCAAAAUAAUGUCUUUUGCUCAAAGGUUGUGUCCCUCCAUUUUCCAUUCAUACCAAUUAAACCCAACAAUUUCUACAUUAUUUUGGUGUAGAUUUAAUGAAACUUGUCUAGUAUUGUUGAUUAAAUCUUUAUUGUCUGUCAUUUCUUCAAACCUAACCGAAGAUGUUUGUUAGAUAUUUGAUAGAGACCAGAAAUGUUAUUUAAUGAUAAAUUUAAAGGACCAAAACGGUUCGAGACAUACUUUAUAAAGUAUUUAAACCUACUUGCAAAGACAUUUUUUUUUUUUUGGUCAUUUUGUCUAUAUAAGCUAAAAUGAUAAGAUCUAUAAACUAUGGUGGAGGAUUCAUAAAAAAGAAAGAUAUAGAGGACAAAGUUGUACAAACAUUUCAUGAAUUGUCCCUAACCUACACCAAUAAUCCAUCACUGGGGGACUUCAAUAUUGAACCUAGACGAUUAUCCGUCCAUAUUAAUUAAUUAGUUAAUCUCCUCCUCCUUUAAUGUUUUUCUAAAAAAAAGUUUAUUUUUUACGUACAGUCAUCAUGCGAGAACAGAUCUGGUAAGUUUAGUUGCUCUAGUGCAAGCCUUGUAUAUAUCAUUAUAAGAAUUCAUAGAUUAUAAAUUCAGAAUCCGUCUCAACCAUCGUAUCAUUGACAAACUAAUUAUCUACAAAAAGUAUAAUUAGAAAAUGUAACUUUACCCAUAACUCGAGCAACUAAAACAUCAUCAUUUUUAACACAAAACUCCAAACAAUCAAUUGGGAGAGCUAAAGGGAUAUAAUGUUGUUAAAUUGAUUAUAUUUUUGAGAAAAACCAUUGAACAAAAUAAGAUGAAAGUGAAGAAGAAUUUAGAAAAAAAAAACACCUCGAUUUUAAAAUGUGAAGAAGAGGAGAAACUGUGGAAUGAAACUGUCACAAAAAUUCCGCCGUUAAUGUAGGAAGAGUUGGUAAAAUUAAAACCGGAUAAAAAGAGUAUUUUAGGGUGUAUCUCAAUUUGUAACUUAAAUUAAUAAAAGUUGGGAUAUUUAUAAUUUUUUCAAAAUAAGGAAAUUUUUAGUAAUUUUAAAAAACUAAAAUUGUGCUUUUAUGAAAUUUUUUCAAUAAUUUUUUAAUAUGACAAAAGUAGAAUUGUGAUCUUAAUAUAUUCGACUAAUGAAAAUUUUUAAGGAAUAAACCAAAAAGAAGGAUUAAAGAAACUAAAAAUUACACAAAUACACAACUUAUGUUUUCAAUAUUACAAAAAAUCUCAACUCCUUAAACAUAUUACAAAAAUCCCAUAUAUACACAGAAUGUUAUGUAUAUGUCGGCUAUGUUAUGUAUAUUAAUAGGGAGAGAGAAUAAAGUAAUUAAAAAAGUAGGAGAGAGUAUAAUUACUUCCAAAAGAGUUGAUAUUUAUGUUAUUUAUACUUAAAAAAAAGGAUAACUAUUUAUUUGCAUUGGGUGUUCACCUUUAACUGCUCAUUUAAAUCUUAGUCAACUAAAAGAUAAGAAUAGUAUACAUAUCACUUAAUCAUUGACUAAGUGAUAACCUUAUGUAUAAAAGGUACAUAUCUUGUAUUCAUUAGGUUAGGUGCAAAUACCCGAUGCAGAUAAGCUUUUACUACGUAAGAUGAAAGUUGAAAUAUGAAAGAGAUGAUGAUGGCUUUUUUAUAGCUCAAAGAGAUGAAUUCGAAAUUAGAAGUUUAUGAAUUUUUCAAUUUAAAUAUUACGAAUUUUAUAAUUUAUUAUAUGUACAUAUUCACUACUCAGUAUGAAUAUUUUGAUAAACAUACAAAAUUUGGACAAAACUUACUGAGCUCUACUGAAUUCAUACAUUUAUACAUAUCACAUGCCUCUUACUUUGCACAUCUAAUUCUAAAUAAUUAACAUCUAAACCUUACUAAACUAUAAACCUUAAAUCCUAAAAAAGCAUAAAUCCAUCAACAUGCUAAUUGAUCUCUAAAUGUAGAGAUCUCCUCAAAUAUUGGCAAUCUUCUUGAUUUGGGCCGGGCCCAUUCAUGAAUCAACUGUUCAAGCCCAUUUACAAAAUCAUCAUCCAAAUCGAGGCCCGGUAUGUUUUGCAAGAAGGGCGGGGGUUGCUUCGAGUCCAAUUCCAACAAUAAUUCCUCAACUCGAUUCUUUGUUUUUUUAUCAUCAGAACCUAAAUAUUUACCUCUCCAAACAUCAUCGAGAAUAGAACGGGCCUCAUCAUAUCGGGCUUGCUUAAUCAAACAAUGUGCCAGGUUGCAGGCCUUGUUGCUGUCUGGAUAAAUCAUUUGGGCUUUCUUGUACACCACUUCUGCUGCCAUAAAGUUUCCUUUUUGCAUAUAAGCCCAACCCAAAUUACCCUACAAAAGCACAAUUAUUUUGAUGUUUUAGGGGCAAAGUCCGCAACAACAAAAAUAUCAUGAAAAAAAAAAAAAAUUGGUGUACUAAAGCUCCCGCUAUGCACGGAAUUUGGAGAAAGACCCGACCACAAGAGUGUAUUAUACGUAAUCUUACCUUAGUAUUUCUGUUAGAGGCUGUUUUCAAGGCUUGAACCAUGACUUUCUGAUUACGUGGCAAAAACUUUAUCAGUUACUCCAAGACCUGGGGUCUGGAGAAAGUAAAGUGUACAGGGUCCACAUGACUAUCUCUGAGAUGAGAUAGAGGUGUUGUUUUCGGAAGACUAAGGGCAAAGUACACAGAUAAUUUCGAUGCCACUGUUUAGUUCGUCCCCACAUUUUAAAAUCUUUUUGCACAUGUAUCUACUUUGCUAUAACUUCAGGCAUAUGGUAUCUGAAGUUAGUCUGCCUAAAGUUUCAUAUAGCUGAAGUGAAGGAAUAUAUGUGUGUAACUCAAGUUAAAUCAAUUUUACCUCACUAUAGCUAUUUUUGCUUGAACAUUAGUUAUAUAUAGUCGAAGUUCAAUAUUUCUUAUAUGUGAACUUAAGCCACAUAUGACUUAAGUUCAAAACAAAUUCUCUGACUUCUACUAUUUUUGCUUGAACUUCAAUGAUCUGUGCAUAAAUUUCGGACAAAAAUGACAGAAAUCAUGCAAAAAUGACUGAAGUCGAUCAUUCUAAUUUAAACUUCAAACAAAAACAAUUGGAUAUCAGCAUAUAUAGCCGAAGUCCACAAUAUUUCUUUUGUUGUGAACUUCAUCCACAUAUGACUGAAGUUCAAAAUUUUUGUGUGACUUCUACUAUUUUUAUUUGAACUUCAGUGAUAUGUGCAUGAACUUCAGACAAAAAUGGUUGAAUUCAUGCAAAAGUAACUGAAGUCCGCCAUUUUAAUUUAAACUUGAGACAAAAACAACUGAACAUCAGCAUGUAAUAUUUUUAAAUCAUGAAUUCACUGAGAUCAAUUCAUUACAUCAACAACACCAAUAAAAAUUAAAAGUAUAGAAUAUGGAAGAUAUAAUAUUUACCAGAACUCUUGCAGUCUCUUGGCUAAUAGUAACUUGAAUCUUCUUUCCAUGAGAUCUGGCUACUUUAACUGGCCUCCCAUUGAACAACUUUCCUUCAUAUAUUUGUCUCAGUUUAUGCUUCAAUAACAAUAUUUGUUCCUCUACUUUUCCACAUUUCUACAUUUACCAAAAAUACAUAUUACACUUAUUAAUGCAUAUGAUAAAAUCAUCUUUAUAUUAGUUUGGUUGAUUAAAAUGACAUUGCAUGUUCAUAGGAAACAAUAACAUCCAGUGUAAUUCCAUAAGUGGGGUUCAUAGUCAAAGUCAUCUAUAUCAAAGGGUGGUCAGGUACACAACCUUCGCCGAAAAAUUAUAUUGUAUAUAUAGGCUAAACAUUAGCUAUUAUGAGCGUGUAAUUAAUUUUGCACACCCUUAACGUAAUUGAGAAAAAAAUUUGCACUCUUCAUCAAAUUUUUGACUCCACCAUUAAUAAGGUCUGAGAAAGAUAAAAUAUAAACAAAUCUUCGUUCUACUUUGUAAAGUAAAGAAAUUGUUUCCACUAUACCGACCCUCGCCUUAACUGCUUGUUCAUGGGCAAGUUUAUUAAUUCCCUAACCACUUAUUGCGUAUGGUUAUUUAAUCUCUUGUUUGGUAAUGUUUUCAACCUAUAACUAAUAUAUUAGUUAUACAUUUUAUGGAGUAUUGUUCUUAUACAUAGUAAACUAUGACAUUAACACUAUGGGGUACUAUUUUACUCUAUAAUAUACCUUAUUCAGUACUACUCAUAUUCAAUUUAAUAUACCACAUUCAGAUAACAGUUUUACUCUAAUUCAUCUUAUUCAGUAUUAUACAUCCUAUUCAUUUAAUACACAAACCAAAUAGUCUAUAUAAAAUAAUGUCAGCAUGCAAAUACUAUACACUCUAUUCAGUACUACCAAACGACAAGUUUAUGUACCAAAGUCCUUGAUAUAUCAAAAGAAUAUAUUUCGGAAUAGACAACGUUAUUAUAGAGAGGUUUAAUUGUAUAAAUAAAUAUAAAAUACCUUGAAGAGAUCAAGGAGGACAUAAAAUAAUGUCAACAAAUGUUAUGCAUUCUAUUCAGUACUAUUUUUAACCAAUCCUACUAAACGACACAUUUAUGCACCAAAGGCCUUGAUAUAUCACAAAAUAUACUUCAAAACAAACAACGAUGUUAUAGAGAUGUUUAACUGUAUCAAUAAAUAUAAAAUACCUUGAAGAGAUCAAGGAGGACAUAAAAUAGUCUAUAUAAAAUAAUGUCAGCAAAUACUAUACAUUUUGUUCAGUACUGUUCUUAUCCAGUCUUAUUAAAUGACAAGUUUAUGUACCAAAGGCCUUGAUAUAUCACAAAAUAUACUUUAGAACAAACAACGCUAUUAUAGAGAAGUUUAACUGUAUCGAUAAAUAUAAAAUACCUUAAAGAGAUCAAAGAGGACAUUAAAUAGUCUAUGUAAAAUAAUGUCAACAAUACCGAUAUAUUCUAUUCAAUACUAUUCUUAUCCAGUCCUACUAAACGACAAGUUUUUGCAACUAAGGCCUCGAUAUAUCACAAAAUAUACGUCAGAACAAACAAUGUUAUUAUAGAGAGGUUUAAUUGUACUGAUAAAUAUAAAAUAGCUCGAAGAGAUCAAGGAGGACAUAAAAUAGUCUAUAUAAAAUAAUGUCAGAAAUACCGAUAUAUUCCAUUCAAUACUAUUCUUAUCCAGUCCUACUAAACGAUAAGUUUAUGCACCUAAGGCCUCGAUAUAUCACAAAAUAUACUUCAGAACAAACAACGUUAUUAUAGAGAGGUUUAAAUGUAUCGAUAAAUAUAAAAUACCUUGAAGAGAUCAAGGAGGACGUAACAUAGUCGAUAUAAAAUGAUGUCAGCAAUACUAAUACAUUCUAUUUCAGUACUAUGCUUAUCAAGUCCUGCUAAACGACAAGUUUAUGCACCUAAAGGCCUUGAUAUAUCACAAAAUAUACUUCAGAACAAAUUACACUAUUAUAGAAAGGUUUAACUGUUAUCAAUAAGUAUAAAAUAUCUUGAAGAGAUCAAGGAGGACAUAAAAUGGUCGAUAUAAAAUAAUGUCAGCCAAUUCUAUACAUUUUAUCCAGUACUAUUCUUAUCCAGUUCUAUUAAACGACAAGUUUAUGUAUCAAUGGCCUUGAUAUAUCACAAAAUACACUUCAGAACAAAUAACUUUAUUAUAGAGAUGUUUAAUUUAGCUCUAUCAAUAAAUAUAAGAUACCUUGAAGAGAUCAAGGAGGACAAAAAAUAGUCGAUAUAAAAUGAUGUCAGCAAAUACUAUACAUUCUAUUCAGUACUAUUCUUAUCCAGUCCUGCUAAACAACAAGUUUAUGUUCCAAAGGCAUUGAUAUAUCACAAAAUAUACUUUAGAACAAACAACUACAUUAUAGAGAGAUUUCACUUUAAUAAUAAAUAGAAAAUACCUAGCUAAUAUUAUUUUGUUGCAAUUCUACUAAACGACAAGUUUAUGUAUCAAACGCCUUGAUAUAUGGCAAAAUGUACUUCAGAACAAACAACGCUGUUACAGAGAGGUUUAACUAUACGUAUCUAUAAAUUUAAAAUACCUUGAAGAGAUCAAAGAGGACAUUGUCUAGGGAUUCUUGAGCUUGUUUAGAGCAAAGGUAUCUAAAAGACUUGACAGCUUCAAUGGCUUCUUCACUUCUAUCUAAUUGCUUCAUCACAACUGCCAUGUCUUUUAAUGCACUGUCCACUCUGUCCCCUUCAUUUAUGGCUUUCCAAAACCAUACUAUUGAUCCCUCUGGGUCCUUCAAAAUUAGCUACAACACAAAUUCAACAUAUAAUAUUAUUAAUAUUUAAAAAAAAUCUACCCAUAUGUAGAUAGUGUGUAUAUGUAUCAAAGGUGUGGCUUAGUGGUCAAUGAACUGUGUUACGAACAUGAAGUCUCAGGUUCAAAUCCAAGCACAAACUGUUGCUAGUGGAAGGUGACAGGUAUCUCGUGAACUUAGUCAAGGUACGCAAGAGUAUGUAUAUGAUGUAAUUUUUCACCAAAAGGUGUCGAUUAAUACUUUUUGGAGAAAACUACCAUAAAUAUAAUGAUGUGAUCGUAUCAAAGUAUUUUACACUAUAAGCAUAUAAAGGUGAUUACACAAUAAUAAUGAUGCCAUUUCAAUGUGGUUAAUGUACUACAUCUGCACAAACAAUGUUAAAAGAGAAAAAAACAAUUACAUUUAUAAGUAAAUCUUAUUUUUAAACAAGAAAACAUUAAUGGUAACUUAAUAAAAAAUGGAUAAUAACAAGUAAAUUAAUUCUUUCAAGUGGUGACUGUUGUACUUGUACCAGUACAAGGUUGGUUUAACAGAUCACUAAAGAAUGAUAGAGGCAGUAAAUGUAAAUAAAUAAGAAGCAAAACAUGUUGAACUUCUAUAUGUACAUUUACUGUGUAAAAUAAUUUAUAACUAUCAAGUCACAAAAAAAAAUUACAACUAAUCAUAACAAAAAUAGAAUUUAAUUAACUUAUAUACACCUUGUCAAUAAAAAUUUAACGACAUUAAUAUAUUUUUAACAUAUUGUAACGUGUUAAAAAUUGUAACCUCCUUUAUUUUUAAAGUAAAUGAUUUUACUCUAUAUGAAUGGUUGUGUACAUAUCUAAUAGUAUAAAAAGAAAUAUAUACUAUUACAAGUUAUACUAGCAAAAAUAUUCGAUCUUACUUUAUAUAUACAGUUGUUUUUUCAUUCAAUGUCCGAUACUCGUAUUGAGGCUCAACUACAUUUGAAUUCAUGCGUUGCAAGGCUCAUUUUUGGAGACCGCUACAAAUUUAGAAACCUUGGAUAAAAGGCGAUUGAAGGGAUUCAAAUCAUCCUAAGACAUCCCAUGUUGAUACUUUAUAUGUUAUGGUUGUUUUUUCAUUCAGUGUUCGAUACUCAUAUCGAGGCUCAAUCAAAUUUGAAUUUGCACCAAAGCUCAUCUUUGGAGAGCGCUACCUAUUUAGAAACCUUGGAUAAAAGGCGAUCGAAGGGAUUCAAAUCAUCCUGCUACAACCUAUGUUAAACUAUGUUGAUACUUUAUAUAUAUACGUUUACUAAAGCCAUAAGCAAAAAUGACCUAGUAGUGUAAAACAUGUCUAAAAAAGGGGCAGUUCGGUGUUCUAAAGCUUCCGCUAUGCACAGGAUUCGGAGAAGGGCUCCACCACAAGAGUUUAUUGUACGCAGUCUUAUUAUUGUACGCAGUCUUACCUUGCAUUUCUGCCCAAGGCUGUUUUCAAAGCUUGAACUCGUGACCUCCUAGUCACAUGGCAACAACUUUACCAGUUACUCCAAGGCUCCCUUCAGUGUAAAACAUGUCUAUAAAAAGGGCACUCCGGUGCACUAAAGUACCCACUAUGUGCAGGAUCCGAGGAAGGAUCCCACCACAAGGGUGUAUUAUACGCUGUCUUGCCUUGCAUUUCUGCCGAAGGCUAUUUGCAAGGCUUAAACUUGUGACCUCUUGGUCAUAUGAUAACAACUUUACUGGUUACUCCAAGACUCCCCUCGAGUGUAAAACAUGUCUAUAUACAUAAAUUGAAAUUAUACUGAGAAAAAAUAUAAUAAACAUUAUUACCUGAACAUGUUUGGCUCUAACAUAAGGUCCAUCACCAGAAGGAACCUUAUGAAACACAUGAAAUUGUUCUUUUUCUUUUUUCUCCUUUGUAGUUACAACUUCCAUUUCCAUGUUUCUUUUAGUUCUCUUAUUUGAUGUAUAUAUGAAGAUAAUGUACUAUAUUAGGAAAAAGAAAUGGGAGUAUAUAUAAUGAUAUAGUUACUACAAAAAUAGUAAUAGUAGUAAUAUAUACAAGUUGAGAAAAUAACAAAAUGGUCCUUUAUGUUUGGGAAUAGGUCUGAAAUCGACCCUAAAGUAUAUUCUAAACAAUUUUGGUCCUUUAAGUUUAUCAGAAGUUAAUACGUUCAGUCUACGUCAAAUAUUUAACAGCCUUCGUCUACUCAAUUAGAAAAAUGUAUUUGACGGAAGUUAUAUUUGGAGGUAUAUUUUUUGAUAGUUUCUGCUAUUUUUGUUUCGUAUAGUUUUCUAUAAGCAAUUUCUACAUUGUUUUAGUGUCUAGUAUUGUUUUUGUGUUGCAGUUUCUAAGAUUUAAUGAAAUGUUUCUAGUUUUGCGAUUAAAUCUUUAUUGACUAUCGUUUCUGUCUAACCUAACUGAAGAAGAAGUUUGUUAGAUAUUUGAUAGAGACCAAAAACAUUAUUUUAUGAUAAAUUUAAAGGACUAAAACUGUUCGAGAUAUACUUUAUGAACUAUUUAUAAUCUACUUCCAAAUAUAGGGUACAUCUUUUCGUCAUUUUGUCUAUUAUAAUAAGCUAAAUUAAUAAAAUCCAUGAAAUAUGGUGCGUAAUUCAUAAAAAAGAAAGAUAGAGGACAAAAUUGUACAAACAUUAUAUUGAUUGUCCCUAACCUACCCCAAUAAUCCAUCAUUGGGGACUUCAAUAUUGAACCUAGACGGUUAUCCGUCCAUAUUAAUUAAUUAAUUAAUCUCCUCCUCCUAUAAUAUUUUUCUAAAAAAAAAGUUUGUUUCUCAUGUACAUACAUCUAAAAGAUAUUUAUAUUAUGGUUUUAUAUUAUGAUCAUGAUGCGAGGACAAAUCUAAAAGUUUAAUUAUAAACUCAUAUAAGUUCAAUAGUUUUAGUACAAGCCUCGUAUUUAUCGUUAUAAAAAUUUAUAGAUUACUAACUUUGGAUUCAUCUCUACCAUCGUAUCAUUAAAAAACUAAUUAUCUAUAACAAGUAUAAUUAGAAAAUGUAAUUUUUGAUACUAGCUAAAUUACACCAAGUAUAUAAAAACUUCUUAGUGAUAAAUAUAUAGAUAAUUUAUAAUUAUUUAAAUAAAUCCUAGAUUUUUUCUCUUUAAGAAAUUCAAGUAAAUGCCAUCAUAUAACAAUAGGUAGAGGCAAUACUAUUUUAGUUUUUUUUAAUCCAAAUAUGUUUUAAGGUGGUGUUUUAAUUUUAUUUUUUAAGAAAGAAAAAUAAGAUUGUGCUUGUUUCCAACUUCAUCCCCUUCAAAUUUAUUUAUGAGUUUUAACUAAUAUACCUAUAAUUACAUUAUCAGAUUAUUUUAAAGAUAAUUACAGGCUAAAUUAUAACAUUAGUAUUAAACUCUCAUUUAAAUGUAAGAGGAUAUAUAUAUAUAUAUAUAUAUAUAUAUAUGAACCUGGACACUUUUUUAGGUGUUAGUUAACUUGACCAUGCACAAAAUGAUUAAUUGCUUUUCCAAUUUUGUGAGUUCACCCUCAAUUUCACAAGAUAGAGACAAAUAGGCCCUUUGAUUUCCAUAUGUUUUCAGAUUUGGCACCCAAAGAAUCUAGAUAUGGAAAUACCCUCUUAUUUUAGAAUGAAAGGCAAAGUCGUGUAAUUUGUCACUCCCCCGGUCCAAUUUGGGUGAUAUUGUUUGAUUUGACAGAAAAUUUUAGAAAACAAAGUAAGAUUUUUGAAAUUUAUGAUCUAAAACACUCAAUGAUUAAUUACAAAAAUGUGAUACUCUUUUUGCUACGAAUUAUAAAUAAAAGUGUCUUACAUCAAUUCGAAAUUAUAUAUAUUGGCAAUACAUUGUUUUCUUUAAUUCUUCAUGCAGUUUUACUCCACGAAGCAAGUUAAUUACUACUAUUUAUAUUAAGUUAUCAAAUGGGAAGAAGCUGUCACAUGGAAUUGAUAGAAUUCAAUUACUACUAUUUAUAUUAAGUUAUCAAAUGGGAAGAAGCUGUCACAUGGAAUUGAUAGAAUUCAGUGGUUUUAAUUCAAAUUUUGUAUAUCAAUUGAAAAAUAAUAUAUAUGUAUAAUAAACUUUAAAAUCUAUCUAACUCCAAAUUUUGAAUCAGUAUUUGAUUAUUUUACCUAUGGUAAAGUUCUACCUGUAACAGUACCUUACAAUCAAUCUGAUUGUGUAAAUGGAAGUGCUUGGUGUGUAUGUUUCAAAUAUCUAAAGCAUUACAACAAAUAACAGUUCUAGUGCAAUCUCGCAAGUGAAAUUAGAGGAACGCUGGGCCGUUUGGUAAAUCGGACCAAAUUAACUUUAUCCUAUAUAAGUAUUAAAUAAUCUCACAAUCAUUUUAUCCCACCAUUUAUACUAAAAUGAUGAGAUGAAUAUCUCAUAUGAAGGAUGGUAUGAAGUAGUCUCACGGGAUAUUCCUACUUAUCCUAUCCGAUAUACCAAACGACAGUAUGUUCGCAUACCUUAUCUCUACCUAGGAAAAAGGUUGUUUCCGGUAAACCCUCAACUCAAAUAACUAAACAACUAAAUAUAAUCUAUACAGUUGAAUUUCGGAUCCGACAUUGAAAGUGAGGAAUCUGUUCAACAUAGAUUAAGCAUGAGGCUCGGGUUUAAUAUAAAUGUGGUAAUACCAGAGAGCAAAGGCAAGGAAAAAACGACUCUUCAUUUAGGGCUCAUUUGGUAAGGGAUAAGAGAUAGCUAAUUUCAGAAUUAAUUUUAUGAAGAGUUUAUCUCAUAAACAGGACCUUUAACUUGACAUCAAAUUAUAACUAUGACCUUUAACUUUGUCAGUGUACAAGUAGGCCCUUUAACUAUACAAAAGCUAAACAAAAAAAUAUCUCAAUCUUGCAACACAUAUGUGGGAAACUCAAUUGCUCGUACGUAGACUAGUACUCUAACAAAAUGUUGUCACCUAAUUAAAAAGAUAUACGUAGAUUUUAGAUAUUAACUUUGGCAGUGUAUAAGUAGGCCCUUUAAGUAUAUAAAAGCUGAACAAAAAACACUUCAAUCUUGCAACACAUAUGCAUGAAAAUCACUCCUACAUGGACUAGUACUCCAACCAAAUGCUACCACCAAAUUAAAAAGAUACACGUAAAUUUUAUAUAUUAAAAAAAAACCUUAAUAUACCACCAUCACAAAUACAUAUACAUUUUAGAUUUUUUCUUUCAAAAAAAUAAAAACAAUUCAUUAAAGGCUGCCCUCGUUAAAAUAACUUUCAAGUCUGAUGAAAAUUGAAAGGUUCAUUUAGAAGAAUAUGUGAAAUCCGAUGAAAAUCUUAUAAAAUUUUCAUCUCUUAUUCCCUUUCAAUUAAGGAAAUUUUUUUAAAAAAUUUUCAUUGAAGAUUCACAAAAUAGAAGCCAUUUAACAUGAAAGCUGCACAAUUCCUUUACAACUUUUAGCUCUUCAGAUAUACAAAUGAAGCAUACACCAUCGUUUAAAGGAGAAACAGAAGAGCUCUAGAUAAUUGAUCGUACUUUUCCUAAUUGAGUUACUUUUUCUAAAUUUUUUAGAGUUGUUGGAGAAAAUAAAAAGAAAAUAAAGUGGGAAUUCGAUUUGUAAGAAGGGGAUAUAUAUAUAUAUAUAUAUAUAUAUAUAUAUAUAUAUAUAGAGAAAGGAUUCAUUAAGGGAAUAAUAGUCAUUUAAGUAUUUUUUUUAACUGUUGGGAGCUCCAAUUUUUACUCCCACACGCGUCAUUUUGAGUGUAAUCACGCAUUUUGCCAGGUAGGAUUGGAGUGUUUUUUGUUCAGCUUUUAUAUAUUUAAAGGGUCUAUUUGUGCAUGAGCAAAGUUAAAGAUCAUAAUUAUAAUUUGAUAAUAAGUUAAAGGUCCUAUUUAUGUAUUAUGUCUGAAUAACUCAUUCCAAAUUAGUUAUUUUAGGAUUAUAGUGUUAUUUAUAUUCCAUCUUGAGGGUGAAAAAACUAAUCUUCGAAUAGCCAAUUUCGUAAUGGUUAAUUUUGGGAUAACUUGUUUCGUAUGUAUCGUUUAGUUGAGCUACAAGUUAUUUGGGAUAAAUUAUUUUGGAAUUAACUAUUCCAAAAUAUAUCUGGCAUUAAUAGAAUCGGAGAGCCAACUAUAUUUUUUAUGUCUUUUAUAUAUUUUAAGUUGUUAAUUAUUGUGAUUUAUAAAACUUUUAAAAUUUGGGGAGUUAACUAAAUUUUUUAUGUCAAUUAUAUAUAUUAAGUUGUUAAUUAUUGUGAUUUAUAGUACUUUUAGAGAAUAUUCAAUAAUAUAUGUUACUUCAAUAUUGAUUUUAGUAUUUUCAUAUUUUGUAUUUUUUUUUUACACUAUAGUUACAUCUUUUGAUCAACUUUUGAAGCUUAAAAAGUAAAUUAAGCCGUUUUUUUCCUGUUAAAACUCAUUUAUAAAUUCAAGAGAAUUGAUGCAGUAAAAGAUGAUUCGAGGAAGCGAUUCAAAAUAAAAGAUGUAGGACAAAUAACAAGGAAUGCUAGUAAUAUAAACUUAGACUACAUAAAAUAAAACAAUUUGUAUGAAAUGGAAAUGGUUGCAUUUUGGGCUAAAUAGUGUAAAUAACAUAAAUACCAACCUUUUUGGAAGUAAUUACACUCUCUUCCAUUUUUUUAAUUAUUUUACUCUCUCUCCCUGUUAAUAUACAUAACAUAGCCAACAUAUACAUAGCAUUCUGUGUAUAUAUUGGAAUUUUUGUAAUAUGUUUAGAGAGUUAAAAUUUUUUGUAAUAUUGAAAACAUAAGUUGUGUAUUUGCAUAAUUUUUAGAUAAAUAAUAUAAAUACCAAUUCUUUUGGAAGUAAUUACACUCUCUCACUUUAUAAUUACUUUACUCUCUCUCUAUUAAUAUACAUAACAUAACCGACAUAUAUAUAAUAUUCUGUGUAUAUGUUGGAAUUUUUGUAAUAUGUUUAGAGAGUUAAAAUUUUUUGUAAUAUUGAAAACAUAAAUUGUGUAUUUGUGUAAUUUUUAGAUUAAUAUUGGACUAUAAGACCUCCAACAUUAGGAGCCCAAUUAUUUUUAGACCGACUCAAUAACUCGUACUUAAGUAAACUACAAACAUAAACUCUCACAAUUUCCAUUAAAUUGGAGAUUAAACUCUAACCAUUAAAUGAAGUAUAAUUAAAGACACUACAAAUUUUUCUUCACCAACAAAAGGCACUGCAUAUAAAAUAAUUAAGAAUUCUAAUCCCUGCUUUGUUUUUAAAAAAACAAAACUUAACCUUUUUCAUAAUAAUCACAGUUUUGUCAUCAUGGGAUUUCCUCUUUCAGAAUUUUAUUCUUCUUGUUGGGGAUGUUAAAUAUCAAAUCCUUCAGAUCGUCAGACAAAGAAAUUCAUCUGACCUAGCAUAUGUUUGUAAGCUUCAAAUGUUAUCCCACAGUGCCAAGCAUUUCUGCAUCUCACACAAAAAAUCCUUCAAAAAUUAGGACAUGUCCUAAUCAAAUAUUCCUUUCCAUCAUCAACCAGUUUUCCCGUGCAAUCUACAUAAGGGCAAUCCACAAUAUAUGGCGAAGCCAGAACUUUAGCUUCUCGAUUAGCAUUUUCUACACGAUCAAGAACAUCAUAAGGUAGUAAUAAUUCAAGAUCCACAGUUCUCUUACAGUUCGCAAUAGGACACUUAACUUUUUGAAUUUUAUUGCUUACUUUUUUUUAGCUAUAUGCCUUUGUAAACAUUCUUUGCAGUAUAAAUGUUGGCCAAUGCUGCCCGGAAUCAGCAUGUUCGGAGGAAGUGCAUCUUCACAUAUGUCGCAAUAGGUACAUGAGGAUUCCCCCUUUUCCCAAAUAUUAUUCAAUUUUUCAGUUAAUCCAAAAAUAAAGGAAUGAUGUGGUUCAACAAUUUUCUUACCAGCAGCAUUGCUAGAUCUUGAUUCUGAGUUCUUACCUGAGUGAAAUUGUGCAGAAUAAAAGAGGAUUUGCUGCAACUCUAUAUCAUUAUCUUCGUCCAUGAUGCCUUCCUCAUUUUCAUUGAUAUCAAAACUCAGCUGGCUGUCAGUUUUUUCAUCGCGAUUGAAGAUCUGAAUAUCUCUUGGAUCCAUUUUGAUUUUACUAGGGCCUUCAGAUUUACUAAAUUUAUGUCUUUUUUAACGGAUGCAAAGACUCUUAAAUCUUUUAGAAGUUGAAUUAAUCUUGAUUUUGACCUUUCAAUUUUGGUGCAAGAGAUGAUACAACAACAACAACAAACCCAGUGUAUUCCCACCUAGUGGGGUCUGGGGGGGUAAGAUGUACGCGGUCCAUACCUCUACCUCUGAUGAGGUAGAAAGGCUGUUUCCGAUAGACCCCCGGCUUAAGGCACGAGAUACCACACAAACACAUAGUAAAGCAUAGAAGCAGAUUACAUAACAUAAAUACGGCACCCAUAAGUAAUAUAAAACAGAGGAAAGCAGAGGAAAGCACACAGAUUCGUAAUAAAACAUGGAACACGGAACACGGAAUCAUAACAAGAAUAAAACCCCCACCAAGUAAUUCCCAGCACUAGCGACCCAAACUGGCCCUAAUCCUCUGCCGUAAUUCGCGUCCUCCAGACCUUCCUAUCUAGGGUCAUGUCCUCGGUGAGCUGUAACUGUUCCAUGUCCCGCCUAAUCACCUCACCCCAGUACUUCUUCGGCCUACCCCUACCCCGCCUAAAACCAUCCAACGCUAGCCUCUCACCCCUACGGACCGGGGCAUCCAUGCCCCUCCUCUUCACGUGUCCGAACCAUCUCAAUCGUGCAUCCCGCAUCUUGCACUCCACUGAAGUCACACCAACCUUCUCCUGGAUAGUCUCAUUCCGAACUCUAUCCCCUCUAGUCAGUCCAUACAUCNNNNNNNNNNNNNNNNNNNNNNNNNNNNNNNNNNNNNNNNNNNNNNNNNNNNNNNNNNNNNNNNNNNNNNNNNNNNNNNNNNNNNNNNNNNNNNNNNNNNNNNNNNNNNNNNNNNNNNNNNNNNNNNNNNNNNNNNNNNNNNNNNNNNNNNNNNNNNNNNNNNNNNNNNNNNNNNNNNNNNNNNNNNNNNNNNNNNNNNNNNNNNNNNNNNNNNNNNNNNNNNNNNNNNNNNNNNNNNNNNNNNNNNNNNNNNNNNNNNNNNNNNNNNNNNNNNNNNNNNNNNNNNNNNNNNNNNNNNNNNNNNNNNNNNNNNNNNNNNNNNNNNNNNNNNNNNNNNNNNNNNNNNNNNNNNNNNNNNNNNNNNNNNNNNNNNNNNNNNNNNNNNNNNNNNNNNNNNNNNNNNNNNNNNNNNNNNNNNNNNNNNNNNNNNNNNNNNNNNNNNNNNNNNNNNNNNNNNNNNNNNNNNNNNNNNNNNNNNNNNNNNNNNNNNNNNNNNNNNNNNNNNNNNNNNNNNNNNNNNNNNNNNNNNNNNNNNNNNNNNNNNNNNNNNNNNNNNNNNNNNNNNNNNNNNNNNNNNNNNNNNNNNNNNNNNNNNNNNNNNNNNNNNNNNNNNNNNNNNNNNNNNNNNNNNNNNNNNNNNNNNNNNNNNNNNNNNNNNNNNNNNNNNNNNNNNNNNNNNNNNNNNNNNNNNNNNNNNNNNNNNNNNNNNNNNNNNNNNNNNNNNNNNNNNNNNNNNNNNNNNNNNNNNNNNNNNNNNNNNNNNNNNNNNNNNNNNNNNNNNNNNNNNNNNNNNNNNNNNNNNNNNNNNNNNNNNNNNNNNNNNNNNNNNNNNNNNNNNNNNNNNNNNNNNNNNNNNNNNNNNNNNNNNNNNNNNNNNNNNNNNNNNNNNNNNNNNNNNNNNNNNNNNNNNNNNNNNNNNNNNNNNNNNNNNNNNNNNNNNNNNNNNNNNNNNNNNNNNNNNNNNNNNNNNNNNNNNNNNNNNNNNNNNNNNNNNNNNNNNNNNNNNNNNNNNNNNNNNNNNNNNNNNNNNNNNNNNNNNNNNNNNNNNNNNNNNNNNNNNNNNNNNNNNNNNNNNNNNNNNNNNNNNNNNNNNNNNNNNNNNNNNNNNNNNNNNNNNNNNNNNNNNNNNNNNNNNNNNNNNNNNNNNNNNNNNNNNNNNNNNNNNNNNNNNNNNNNNNNNNNNNNNNNNNNNNNNNNNNNNNNNNNNNNNNNNNNNNNNNNNNNNNNNNNNNNNNNNNNNNNNNNNNNNNNNNNNNNNNNNNNNNNNNNNNNNNNNNNNNNNNNNNNNNNNNNNNNNNNNNNNNNNNNNNNNNNNNNNNNNNNNNNNNNNNNNNNNNNNNNNNNNNNNNNNNNNNNNNNNNNNNNNNNNNNNNNNNNNNNNNNNNNNNNNNNNNNNNNNNNNNNNNNNNNNNNNNNNNNNNNNNNNNNNNNNNNNNNNNNNNNNNNNNNNNNNNNNNNNNNNNNNNNNNNNNNNNNNNNNNNNNNNNNNNNNNNNNNNNNNNNNNNNNNNNNNNNNNNNNNNNNNNNNNNNNNNNNNNNNNNNNNNNNNNNNNNNNNNNNNNNNNNNNNNNNNNNNNNNNNNNNNNNNNNNNNNNNNNNNNNNNNNNNNNNNNNNNNNNNNNNNNNNNNNNNNNNNNNNNNNNNNNNNNNNNNNNNNNNNNNNNNNNNNNNNNNNNNNNNNNNNNNNNNNNNNNNNNNNNNNNNNNNNNNNNNNNNNNNNNNNNNNNNNNNNNNNNNNNNNNNNNNNNNNNNNNNNNNNNNNNNNNNNNNNNNNNNNNNNNNNNNNNNNNNNNNNNNNNNNNNNNNNNNNNNNNNNNNNNNNNNNNNNNNNNNNNNNNNNNNNNNNNNNNNNNNNNNNNNNNNNNNNNNNNNNNNNNNNNNNNNNNNNNNNNNNNNNNNNNNNNNNNNNNNNNNNNNNNNNNNNNNNNNNNNNNNNNNNNNNNNNNNNNNNNNNNNNNNNNNNNNNNNNNNNNNNNNNNNNNNNNNNNNNNNNNNNNNNNNNNNNNNNNNNNNNNNNNNNNNNNNNNNNNNNNNNNNNNNNNNNNNNNNNNNNNNNNNNNNNNNNNNNNNNNNNNNNNNNNNNNNNNNNNNNNNNNNNNNNNNNNNNNNNNNNNNNNNNNNNNNNNNNNNNNNNNNNNCCUCUUCAUUUCUCUCCCCAAAACCAAAACCACCAUGCACAUCACCAAAGCCUCCCGGUAGCGCCCCAAUGUGCCCGUUGAAAUCCCCUGCUACAACCAUCUUCUCCGAACUAGGCACGCCUCUCACCACCUCCUCCAACGCCUCCCAAAACUGCAUCUUCUCCUCCCUCCCCGAUCCCACUUACGGCGCAUAAGCACUACACACAUUCAGGGUGAACCCCCGAAUGACCAACUUAAUAGUCAUCAACCUAUCGUUGAUCCUCUUCACCUCCACUACCUGACCUCUAAGCUCUUCAUCUACUAAGAUGCCAACUCCAUUCCUACGCCUGUCGCUCCCAGAGUACCACAGCUUGUAACCAUCCACAUCCCUAGCCUUAGACCCUACACACUUGGUCUCCCGAACACACGCAAUGUUGAUCCUCCUCUUCCUAAGAAUCUUCACAAGCUCUACGGACUUACCCUGAAGAGUCCCUAUAUUCCAAGACCCAACCCUCAGCCUACCGUCACUAUCCACACGCCCUNNNNNNNNNNNNNNNNNNNNNNNNNNNNNNNNNNNNNNNNNNNNNNNNNNNNNNNNNNNNNNNNNNNNNNNNNNNNNNNNNNNNNNNNNNNNNNNNNNNNNNNNNNNNNNNNNNNNNNNNNNNNNNNNNNNNNNNNNNNNNNNNNNNNNNNNNNNNNNNNNNNNNNNNNNNNNNNNNNNNNNNNNNNNNNNNNNNNNNNNNNNNNNNNNNNNNNNNNNNNNNNNNNNNNNNNNNNNNNNNNNNNNNNNNNNNNNNNNNNNNNNNNNNNNNNNNNNNNNNNNNNNNNNNNNNNNNNNNNNNNNNNNNNNNNNNNNNNNNNNNNNNNNNNNNNNNNNNNNNNNNNNNNNNNNNNNNNNNNNNNNNNNNNNNNNNNNNNNNNNNNNNNNNNNNNNNNNNNNNNNNNNNNNNNNNNNNNNNNNNNNNNNNNNNNNNNNNNNNNNNNNNNNNNNNNNNNNNNNNNNNNNNNNNNNNNNNNNNNNNNNNNNNNNNNNNNNNNNNNNNNNNNNNNNNNNNNNNNNNNNNNNNNNNNNNNNNNNNNNNNNNNNNNNNNNNNNNNNNNNNNNNNNNNNNNNNNNNNNNNNNNNNNNNNNNNNNNNNNNNNNNNNNNNNNNNNNNNNNNNNNNNNNNNNNNNNNNNNNNNNNNNNNNNNNNNNNNNNNNNNNNNNNNNNNNNNNNNNNNNNNNNNNNNNNNNNNNNNNNNNNNNNNNNNNNNNNNNNNNNNNNNNNNNNNNNNNNNNNNNNNNNNNNNNNNNNNNNNNNNNNNNNNNNNNNNNNNNNNNNNNNNNNNNNNNNNNNNNNNNNNNNNNNNNNNNNNNNNNNNNNNNNNNNNNNNNNNNNNNNNNNNNNNNNNNNNNNNNNNNNNNNNNNNNNNNNNAGAGAGGGAGAGAGGGGCGACGCCAGAGCCGGAGGUCGGGCCCGGAGGUUGGGUCGGGUCGGUGCCGAUGGUAGGCGACGGCGACGGGGGCCGGUGAUCGGUGCGAGCGAGAGAGAGGGUAGGGAGGAAGAGAGAGAGCCGUUAGAGUUUGGUGCAAGAGAUGAUGUGACACUUAAUUCAAUCAGCAACAACACCCGUUUGAGAACUCCGCCUUAAAUAUUUAAGGAUUGCUAUAUUUGUUUCCCAAUAUGCAUAUAAGUUGAAUAAAUACCGUUGCAAACAACAAAAUAAGUCAACAAUAAAUUUAGAGUAUGUAAUGUGUCAGGGACUGACACUUUUAGUCAAAUUAAAGAACAAUGAGCAUGUUUUUUGUGCACCACUGAUAUGUUCCGACUAAUAAAAUAUCACCACGUCAACUUCAAUCUGUAUGGUCAAAAAAAGUUAUCUUCCUCAUAACUCUUCCACCUCAGCACAAUUGACAUGUACCCUCCGAUAAAGUAUUGCCAGGUCAAGCUCAACAUGAAUUGUCAAACAAUGCUUGUCGUCAUCACAAUCUUCCAUCUUAGCAUGAGUGACAUGUUUCAGCCAAUAAAUUAUCGGUCGAUCAACAUUAAUUUGAAUGGUUAAUAAAAGUUUAUCCUUGUCAUAAAUAUUCCAUCUCAACACGAGUGAUGUUUUCAACCAAUUAAAUAUCACCAUAUCAACUUCAAUUUAAUUGGUUAAUAAAAAUUUGUUCUCGUCAAAAUAUUUUUAUCUCAGCACAUGUUCCAGCAAAUCAAAUGUUGUCAUGGCAACUUCAAUUUGAUUAAUUGAAAAGAGGUUGUCCGUGCGAUAACUCUUUCAAUUAUGCACAAAUGACAUGUUUCAACCAAUCAAAUAUUGUUAUGCCAACUUUAAUCUGAUUGGGUGAAAAAAAUAGUCCCCAACACAAUUCUUUCAACCAGUACAAGAGACACAUUUCAAUCGAUCAAAUAUCAUCAUGUGAACUUAAAUUUGAUUGGCCGAAAAGACUUUGCCCUCCCACAACACUUCCAUCCUAGCAUAAGUGACAUAUAUUAACCAAUCAAAUAUUAUCAAGUCAACUACAAUCAAAUUAGCAUAAAAAACUAUCCUCGUCUAAGGGUGUUAAGUGGGCCGGGCCGGGUCAAUUCGAAACCAGUCCAUUAAAUUUAUCUGGUUUGUGGGCCGAAUCGGAUCGGGGUUGGGGUUAAGUGGGGUGGGUCGGGCCGUGUUCAACAAUAAAAUUUUUAAAAAUAGCCCUAACCCGGUCCACUUAACCCAACCCGAUCAAACCCACCUAAACCCGGUCAAACCCAGUUAAAAAUCUGAUCACACCCGGUCAAAAAUUUUUAAAAACUUUUUUUCAAUAUACACUAUAUAUACCCACCUAUAUACAUUUUAAAUACGUUAAACAAUAUAUAUACACUAUAUAUAUAGUAUAUACUAAUAAGAAUUUAAAAGAUAUAUACACAUAUACACAAUUACACAUAUAUACGUAACAUUCAAUAUAUACGACCAUACGUACUACUUUAAAUAAAACAUAUACUACAGCAAAUAUAUACUACAAUUUAUAUAAGUAUAUAUAUAGAGUUAUAUACUAAUUUAUAAAACAUAUACACAUGUAUAUGUUAAAUAUAUACGUCUAUAGAAGAUAUAUACACAUAUAUACGCAACAUUCAAUAUAUAUGUACUACUUUAAAUAAAACAUAUACUACNNNNNNNNNNNNNNNNNNNNNNNNNNNNNNNNNNNNNNNNNNNNNNNNNNNNNNNNNNNNNNNNNNNNNNNNNNNNNNNNNNNNNNNNNNNNNNNNNNNNNNNNNNNNNNNNNNNNNNNNNNNNNNNNNNNNNNNNNNNNNNNNNNNNNNNNNNNNNNNNNNNNNNNNNNNNNNNNNNNNNNNNNNNNNNNNNNNNNNNNNNNNNNNNNNNNNNNNNNNNNNNNNNNNNNNNNNNNNNNNNNNNNNNNNNNNNNNNNNNNNNNNNNNNNNNNNNNNNNNNNNNNNNNNNNNNNNNNNNNNNNNNNNNNNNNNNNNNNNNNNNNNNNNNNNNNNNNNNNNNNNNNNNNNNNNNNNNNNNNNNNNNNNNNNNNNNNNNNNNNNNNNNNNNNNNNNNNNNNNNNNNNNNNNNNNNNNNNNNNNNNNNNNNNNNNNNNNNNNNNNNNNNNNNNNNNNNNNNNNNNNNNNNNNNNNNNNNNNNNNNNNNNNNNNNNNNNNNNNNNNNNNNNNNNNNNNNNNNNNNNNNNNNNNNNNNNNNNNNNNNNNNNNNNNNNNNNNNNNNNNNNNNNNNNNNNNNNNNNNNNNNNNNNNNNNNNNNNNNNNNNNNNNNNNNNNNNNNNNNNNNNNNNNNNNNNNNNNNNNNNNNNNNNNNNNNNNNNNNNNNNNNNNNNNNNNNNNNNNNNNNNNNNNNNNNNNNNNNNNNNNNNNNNNNNNNNNNNNNNNNNNNNNNNNNNNNNNNNNNNNNNNNNNNNNNNNNNNNNNNNNNNNNNNNNNNNNNNNNNNNNNNNNNNNNNNNNNNNNNNNNNNNNNNNNNNNNNNNNNNNNNNNNNNNNNNNNNNNNNNNNNNNNNNNNNNNNNNNNNNNNNNNNNNNNNNNNNNNNNNNNNNNNNNNNNNNNNNNNNNNNNNNNNNNNNNNNNNNNNNNNNNNNNNNNNNNNNNNNNNNNNNNNNNNNNNNNNNNNNNNNNNNNNNNNNNNNNNNNNNNNNNNNNNNNNNNNNNNNNNNNNNNNNNNNNNNNNNNNNNNNNNNNNNNNNNNNNNNNNNNNNNNNNNNNNNNNNNNNNNNNNNNNNNNNNNNNNNNNNNNNNNNNNNNNNNNNNNNNNNNNNNNNNNNNNNNNNNNNNNNNNNNNNNNNNNNNNNNNNNNNNNNNNNNNNNNNNNNNNNNNNNNNNNNNNNNNNNNNNNNNNNNNNNNNNNNNNNNNNNNNNNNNNNNNNNNNNNNNNNNNNNNNNNNNNNNNNNNNNNNNNNNNNNNNNNNNNNNNNNNNNNNNNNNNNNNNNNNNNNNNNNNNNNNNNNNNNNNNNNNNNNNNNNNNNNNNNNNNNNNNNNNNNNNNNNNNNNNNNNNNNNNNNNNNNNNNNNNNNNNNNNNNNNNNNNNNNNNNNNNNNNNNNNNNNNNNNNNNNNNNNNNNNNNNNNNNNNNNNNNNNNNNNNNNNNNNCAACGUGUUGAUCCGUCGUCUGCGAUCCUCUGGCGGCGACCAAAGAUAAUAUUUCAGGUCUUCCCGAUAACUUGAUGUGUAAGCUCUCUCAUCAACACUGUUCCAAUAAGGUAAAUCAUAAAAGGAAUCAGGAAAACCACUAUGUGCCGGCCUUUUAGAAGAUGAUGGCUCCUCGGGAAGAUGAGGAGCGACUGUUGGAGUGAUAUUUGUAGGUACGGCUGAAUCAACUAAAUCAGCAUAGUGAUUAUAUAAUUUUUCUAUGUAUUCAUUUGCAUCACCCAUAGCCGUUCACAAAUCAGGUUGUACUUGUUCAAAAUCAUUGUUAGUAUUUAUUUCUAAGUUAGCAUAAAUAAUAGUACUAAAGUGGCACAUAGUAUUAUAUUUCAUGCACGGAUUUAGCAUAGAACCAACCAAGUAAAUAGGGGAAAUUGGGAAAAAAUAUUUUUUAAAUUUAGUAAACAUGGCAUCAAUAGGUUCUUUAUAACCUUCUUUAUUUUUAUAUUCUUUGAGCAAACCAGAAAUAUCGGCUAUAUAUAUCAAAAUAUUACAAACAGUAGGAUAAUAAGCAUCGGAAAAUUCAACCGUAGCUACAUAAAAUUUUUCUAAAAACUUAACAAGAUCAUUAAUUACAACCCAAUCAGAAUUAUGUAGCAUGCAAUUAGCAAAAUCAGCAAAUGAACCACCAUGUUGGUUAAAAGCUAGUGUAAUAGGAGCUCUAUAUUUAUAACAAGUUUUUAAAAGAUCAUACGUAGAAUUUUAUCUAAUAUCAAUUCCUCAGGCAUCAAUAUCGGUGCAAGUUCAUUUUCUUGACAUUUAACUUUAAAUUCCUUAAUUCUCAAUCUACGAUUAUUUCCUUGAAUAAAACCAACAACAAGACAAAUUUUUUCAAUAUAAAGCUCAAAAAACUCAAGACCAUCUUUUACAAUUAAAUUAUAUAUAUGACAUGCACACUUAAUAUGAAAAAUUUUAGGUAAUAACGGAGAUAGAUUAAAUUUUAACUUUGUUAUAGCAGUCUUAUUGUUAGAAGCAUUAUCAAAAGCAAUACAUAAGAUUUUAUUUUCGAUACCAUAAAAUUCGGCAACUUUAACAAUAGAAUCAACAAUAAAAUCUCCAGCAUGUUUACGAUCUUAAUAAUCUAUAAAAGCAAGAAUACGUUUUUGCAUCACAAAAUUAAUAUCCAUUCAGUGACAAGUAACGGUUAAAUAAUUAUUUUUAUUUACGCGACCAAGAUCAGAAGUUAGGGACAAUCUACAUUGAAUAUUUUUUAACAAUAUUGAUAAAUAAAAAUAAUAUUGUGAAUGAAGUCUAAAAAUAUCAGACCGAAAAGUACUUCUAGGAAUACCAUUAAACAUAGGAUUAUAAAUUGCUUGAAUAUAUUGAAUAAAGGCAUUAGAAGAAGGAAAACUAAAAGGCAAACAACCCACAGCUACCAUUUUAGCUAUUUCUUCCCGGUUCCUCGAUUUAUUAUACUUCUUCGUUACCUGAUCGGUUGCUGGGUUCAUUCUAGUUUGCAUUGGCCACCAACAUCCCCACCACCUCAUGCAAUAUUUAACUCUCUUUCGUGAGCAUCACCUAUAUGUCUUGUUAACGUACCCGUAUACCCCCCUACUUGCCUCCACUUUUAUGCUUAUAUAUUUGUUGACAAAUAUUACAUUGCACCUCAGUAUCAGAUACACGUUCAAAAAAUUUUCAUGCAAUACUAGUUGUUUUACGAGCUCUUGGGGCACAAAGAGGACGGGAAGGGAGAUUAACCGAUUCAGAUCUAACGUUAGCAUUCCCUACUGCAGGUGUCUCACCAAUAUUUUCAUCAUCUUCGUCUAAAUUAACCGCAUCUACUUUAUUUUCUUCUUCUAUACCGUAAUUUUCCUGAGUUUCUACGUAAUCCAUAUUGUGAGCACCUACACCUAUUUCUUUCUCAAAAGGUGCACCAAGCGAUACUGGAGGCAAAGACACACGGGUAUAUCUACUACUUGAAGUACCUCUACCGCUAGUAAUUCGCUUUUUACUACCACUACCCCUUCCGGAACUUUUUUUUAACACCUUUAGUAGCGAGAUUUCUUAAUUUAUCCAUAGUAUAAAUUAAAUUAAAAAAAUUUAAAAUACACAAAUAUAAUAAAAUUAAAUAUUCAACAAUUAAUACACUAAAUAAAAAUUAAACGUAAGAGAUGAAACAACAAUACCAAAUUUUGGAAGUAUCCGAAGGUUUUGACUUUAGAAACUUCCACUCGUACUUGGUAA